AUGCCUUAGAAACACGGUUCAACCUGCAAAAACAAAAGGUAGAGGCUUAUUACCAUGGCAUAUGAGAAGUGUAUCAAGGGCUCUAUGAUCAAUUACCAAUAUUUGGUCAUGGACCCUCUGCUGGAUUUGAUGCACGAAACAUGUGGCCUAGGGAUAGACCACAAGAAGGAGAAGGUGACAGUGGUACCCAUGCACAAGGAUGUGAAGAAGAUCUUGCUCUUGGGCUCGGCACAUUUUGAUGAAGACACCAAGAUCACAAAUAAAAGAAAAAGGAAGAAGAAUAUGAAGACAUAAAAUAUUCAAGCUUCAAAGAAAUUAUAGAUUAAGUCUUCAAUAGGUACUUUCAUCCUUAUGCUCAAUUUAGAUUUAGUAGCAAUGCUCAAAGAAAUUCAAAGAAAUCAAAAGUAUUUUCAAAAGAAUGAGAUAAAUCAUGACACAAUGUCAAAAAUGCUAAGAAACGAGUUACUCGACCUGAGUAACAGGUUAUUAGAUCUGGGUAACAGGUUACCUGAACUGUGUGAUAGUUGGUAAUAGGUUACUAGAACUACGUAUUAGGUUACUUGACUAAGAAAACAGUUACAAAGCAUAAAUGACACUGAGUAACCAAUUAAUUACUUGUAUUCAUUACCACCUUGGAUAGAAAGUUUUGGCAAUCGAUUACACCAUCGUGACAAUUUAUUACCCAUAGUUGUUGGAAUCUAGAUUUUCAAAUUUUAAUGAACAAUUUUCAUCCAAAGUGAAUGGGUUUCAUUCCAAUCGUGUCUCCUCUUCAUGGAAGGAUAAUUUUGAUGAUUGGAAGCCUAUUUAAAGCCAUUGAGACAAUCAAUUCAAAUAAGAAUUAAUAGAAAUAUUUUUCACAAGUUAGUUAAACAAUUUCUGCACUCUUUUGCAACUUUGUUUCCAAACUUUCAAAUUUUAUGAAGUUGCUUCAAGUGCAAAGUUCUCAAGUUUUUCAAACAUUUUUUAGUAUUGUUUUACUAAGUGUAUUGAGAGCAAAAAAUAUUGCAAGUUAUCACAUUGUCAAAUUUGCAAAGGCAAUCCUGCCAUUGAUAUAUACAUCAUCUUGCUCUUAACUUUUCAUCACAAGGAUAUGGUGAGAAGGGGAAAAGAUGUCACUUGGAAAGAUUGUUUUCCAAUGGUAGAUAUUUGUGAGUGUGUUAGGUACAAGGGUCUCAAAGAGAGAAUUUGUAAUUGAAACUCAAAGUAUCUACUGGAAAAAUCUCUUGUGUGGCAAGAGUACUAGAUGUAACCUUCAGUAAACAAGAAGGUGAACCAAUAUCAAAAUUCUCUAUGUAAUCUUCCUCUACUCUAUUCUCGUGAUUUCAUUCUUGCUUUAACUUGGUUGAUUUCUACAGCAACAUUCCGCUGCACAAACACUUUGAUAUCACAACAGAAAAAUUGACCAUUUCUCUCAAUAACUAAUUCACCCUCCUUGUCUUAGUUGCCAUAUAAUACUUACAUUUGGUACCAGAGCUUAUUUUCGAUAAAUUACUCUCAAACCGAUCCUACUUCAUAGAUGGCCUUCAGAUCAUUUUUGGGAGAAGGUUCCAACAUCAAUUGGCAUCCAAGCUUCGUUGGAGAAUGCUAUGAUUUCUGGAAAAUCAGGAUGAGAAUCUAUAUACAGUCUCAAGACCUGGACAUAUGGAAUGUCAUUGAGGAAGGACCUUAUGAAUCUUUCACUUUUGUUAAUGGUGUAAGGGAAUGAAAGCCAAAAUCCUCUUGGAAUGAUGAAGAUAAGAAGAAAGUCCAAUAUGAUCUCAAAGCUUAGAACAUUCUCACUAUUGAAAAGCGAGAUUUCACUAAGCCAUGAAUUCCCCCUUCAACAACAAAAUAUGUCACUUUGUUGGAAGGGAUUUCCUGAUUGUUGCAAGUUUAUUUUAUUUUAGAAUGAUGAGUGAUGAACAACUUAUUUAUUUCGUGACUUUAUUUAUUUACUCCAUUUUUAGGUUUCUUUUAACCAUACCAUAAAGGUCGGUCUCAUUUUAUUAAGUUAGUCAUACCAUUUCUUAUGACAGGUUGGUAUCAAAGAAUAAAAUGAACAUUCAAAAUCUGCCUGUAGCAUUCACUGUUUGAUGUCUUGUUUAGUUAUUUAAAUGUUGGUUGAUUCGGGUGUAUGUUGGUUAAUAUAGUUGUGGUUGAAAUUUUUGUAUGAAACUUUGUUUCCACACUUCUUUCAUCACAUAUUGAAUACUGGAUGCAUCAUAGUCAAUCACCUUGCUGCUGGUUGUGAGAUACAAACAAGUAGUGUCUAGUUUUACAAGUUUAUUUUUCCAAUUAUUUUGAUUUUGUUGCAUUUAAUUAAAUUAGUCAGGCUUUGAGUUCUGUCCUGAAACGUUUUGUGUAUGUUUCCUAUGGUAUUAGGAUUUUAUUGAAGCAAAGUUUUGGUUGAUUAUUGAAAUUUAACAUGUAUUUCUCUUACUGUCCUACAUGUUUCUUACUGCUGCAUUUAGUGCAUGACUAGGGCAAAUCCUAACUCUUUGCAUCCAAUAAAUCCUGAAAUUGAUAGAACAUUUCAUAGUUUGGUUAGACAAGUUAGGAAUUUAAAUUUAGAUAGUGAGUCUUUUCAUCUUAGUGUUAAUCUACCUGAUAGUGAUACUGAUUAUGCUGUUUCUGUGCAUUCUGCUGUAUCUGUGCAUUCUGUUGCAUACUCUGAUAAUAUGGCUGAACCACCUCCAAUCCCACAUGAGAGGACAUUAAGGGAGCUGGCUGCACCUGAUUUCACAUAUGAAAGCUUGUGUAUCCAGUAUCCCAAUGAGGAUGUACCAUAUGUGCUCAAAACUAGACUAAUCCAUUUUUGCCUAGGUUUCAUGGACUUGCACGUGAAUGUCCUCAUAAGCAUCUUAAGGAGUUCCACAUUGUAUGUUCCACCAUGAAGCCUCGUGAUGUCCAAGAGGAUCACAUAUGGUUGAAGGCAUUCCCACAUUCACUUGAGGGCACUUCAAAAGUUUGGUUGUAUUACUUGACCCAUGGUUCUAUUACUAGUUGGGAUGACCUAAAGAGAAUCUUCCUUGAAAAUUAUUUCCUGCCUCCAGGACCACUGCAACCAGAAAAUAUAUUUCUGGAAUCAGACAACUGCAUGCAGAAGGUUUAUAUGAAUAUUGGGAGAGAUUCAAGAGACUAUGUGCAAGCUGCCCCCAUCAUCAUAUCUUUGAACAACUCCUCCUGCAAUAUUUCUAUGAGGGUCUGAACAACAUGGAGAGGAAUAUCAUUGAUGCUGCUAGUGGUGGUGCACUUGGAGAUAUGACCCCUUUUGAGGCUAGAGGUUUGAUUGAGAAGAUGUCUUCCAACUCUCAACAGUUCAGUGCAAGAAGUAGUGAUGUUAUAGUGGUCAGAGGUGUCCAUGAUGUUGGGACAGAUACGGUGAGGCAAGAUAAACUUGAGAAAACAUUUGAAUCCCUUGCUACCUUAGUCACUCAACGUGCCAUGAAUCAGCAAAAACCUCCACUUGCAGCACGAGUUUGUGGCAUUUGCACCGCAACUGACCAUUAUGCUGAUGUUUGUCCUUCUCUCUUGGAGCCCAAAACUGGUGACCACCCUCAAGCCUAUGCUGCAAAUAUUUACAACAAUAGACCUCAACAAAACAACAGAAUUAUGAUCAUUCAUCAAGCAGAUACAACCCUGGUUGGAGGAAUCAUCCGAAUCUUAGAUGGUCUGAUCCUUCACAACCUCAUCCAGAGGCACCAUUUCAGAAUAAUAAUGCUGCACAAAAUAGACCAUAUGUGCCUCCCCCAAUCCAACAGUAGAGGCAACAACAAGUGAAUAACAAUCCUUCUCCUGGAUCUAGUGAACCUUCAUUAAAAGAAUUGGUGAGGUAAAUGACAUUGCGGAAUAUGAAAUUCCAGCAAGAGACCAGAGCUUCCAUUCAGAGACAAGAGUCCUCUAUUCAGAAUUUGACCAUCCAGAUGGGACAGAUGGUUACUUCAUUAAACACAUUACACUCUCAGAAUUCUGAUACGUUACCUUCCCAAAAUGUGGUCAACCCGAAGAAUAUGAGUGUCAUCACUCUAAGGUCAGGCAAAUAGAUUGAAGUUGAUCUAGCUGCAUCAAAAAUGAAGCAACCAGUUUUAAAANNNNNNNNNNNNNNNNNNNNNNNNNNNNNNNNNNNNNNNNNNNNNNNNNNNNNNNNNNNNNNNNNNNNNNNNNNNNNNNNNNNNNNNNNNNNNNNNNNNNUGCAUAAUAGGUAAUAGAAAAUUUGAGAAUGCCAUGCUAUAUCUAGGUGCUUCGAUUAAUGUUAUGCCUAUGUCCGUUUCAUGUCUCUUUCACUUGGACCUAUGCAACCCAAUGGGGUAGUGAUUCAAUUAGCAAACAAAAGUACUGCUUACCCUGCUGGUUUGAUAGAGGAUGUCUUGGUUCGGGUUGGUGAACUUAUUUUUCCUGCUGAUGUUUAUAUUCUCGAUAUUGAAGACAGAUCCUCCCGUAACACAGUUCAUAUCAUUUUGGGAGGCCAUUUUUUAGAACAGCCCGAACCAAGAUACAUGUCCAUGCUAGAACAUUAUCUAUGGAGUUUGGUGAUAUUAUGGUCCGGUUUAAUAUUUUUGAUGCUAUGAAACAUCCAUAUGAGGACCAUUCUGUGUUUCAUAUUGAUUUACUUGAUGAGUUAACUAAUGAACAUAUCUGCGAUUUCCUUAAUGAUUUUGCUUCUAUGUCAUUGAUAGACUCAUACACUUGUCAUACAUACACCGAUUCUGAAAUGUGUAAUUCUUGUUUGGAUGAGUUUCUGCAUAUUUCUGUUGAUCCAAAUGUUGUAGAAUCAGAUUGCACUAACCCAAUUGCUGCAGACAUCAUCUGUUUUGCAGGCACCUGUAUUGGAUCUUAAACCUUUGCCUGAAAAACUCAAGUAUGCUUACUUAGAUGAUGAUGAGAAGCUUCCUGUUAUUGUUUCCACCUCCCUUGAUGAUGAUCAAGAUGAGAAGUUGUUGCAAGUGUUGAAGAAGCAUAAGAAGGAAAUUGGUUGGACCUUAGCUGGUAUUCCUGGUAUUAGCCCAUCUAUGUGCAUGCAUAGGAUACUCUUGGAAGAUNNNNNNNNNNNNNNNNNNNNNNNNNNNNNNNNNNNNNNNNNNNNNNNNNNNNNNNNNNNNNNNNNNNNNNNNNNNNNNNNNNNNNNNNNNNNNNNNNNNNCCUAUAGGAGGAUGCCUUUUGGCCUAUGCAACGCCCCUGGUACAUUCCAGCGGUGUAUGGUGAGCAUUUUCAGUGAUUUUUUAGAGAAUUGCAUAGAGGUGUUUAUGGAUGAUUUUACAGUUUAUGGAUCUUCAUUUGAUGCAUGUUUGGAUAGUCUAGAUAGAGUUCUUCAUAAAUGUAUCGAAACUAACCUUGUUCUAAAUUACAAAAAAUGUCAUUUCAUGGUAGAGCAAGGCAUAGUUUUGAGGCAUGUGAUCUCAAAUAGGGGAAUCGGGAUAGACCCUGCCAAGAUAGAUGUUAUUUCACAAUUGCCUUACCCCUCUUGCAUGCGAGAGGUUCGUUCUUUUCUUGGUCAUGCAGGUUUCUAUCGUAGGUUCAUUAAAGAUUUUAGGAGGAAGGCUCUUCCACUAUCCAACCUGUGGCAAAAGGAGGUGGUCUUUGAUUUUGAUGAGAGAUGUAUGCAGGCGUUUGAUUGCCUCAAGACAACCUUGACCACCACUCCUAUUAUCCAGGCACCUGAUUGGACAGUCCCAUUUGAGCUGAUGUGUGAUGCUUCUAAUUAUGCAUUGGGGGUUGUCCUUGCUCAAAAAGUGGACAAUCUGCCUAGGGUAAUUUAUUAUGCUUCUAGGACUUUAGAUGCUGCACAUGCAAAUUACACCACAACUGAAAAAGAGCUUUUAGCUAUUGUAUUUGCUCUAGAUAAGUUUAGGUCUUAUUUGCUUGGUUCUAGAAUUGUUGUUUUCACAACAAAACCGAAUCAAUCAACCAACCUUUUUGCUUCCUUGUUUAUGAUUUAAAGAACUAAUGUAUGCUUUAAUAACAAUCCCUAUGGUUCGACAUAACCCUAUAUUAUACUACAAUUGAAUAUUAGAAGGGAUUUAAGAGUUAAUAUAUUAAAGGAAAUAACAAAAUUUUUUAUUUAAAACCAAGGAAUGUACUUCAAAGAGCCUUACUUCCAAACCUUUUAACUGUAACAUGUUACCCGAAUAGAGAAACAUGUUUUUUAAAACAAAGUAACAUGUUACCCAAAACAAAUUAACGAGUUAGUAGAUAACAUGAUUGAGUAACAAAACUAAUUCACCCUCUCUUAGUUUGCUAUCUAUACUUACAAUUGGCCACAUAGAAAAGAUUGGAUAAGAUAGUACUUGCUCCUAUUAGUAUAUCUUAGAUGUCCUCUACAAAGUAUUUCCUAGGUUAAGGUUCAAACAUAAAUCUUCCUCCAAGUUUUUUGGAGAGUGCUAUGAUUUUUGGAAGGUCCAUCAAUCCCUGGUGUAGUGGUAGAUGGAGUCAAGCAGCCAAAACCUAAGGGAGUAGGGUACGAUGAUGAUAAAAUGAGAGUCCAAAAUAACCUCAAGGCCAAAAACACUUUGACCUUGGCACUAGACAUAGAUGAGUUCUUUAAGUGUCUAACUAAAAAUCUUAUAAGGGAUUGUAGGACACUUUAGAGACAAUCCAUGAAGGUACCGAGACGUAAAGAGGUCUAGGCUCAAUACUCUUUCACAAGAAUAUGAGAUGUAUAGGAUGAGGUCUGGAGAGAAAAUUGUAGAUAUUCGAAAGAUAUUUUCUCAUCUUACUAAUCAUAUGAUUGCUCUUGGAAAAGUCUUAACCAAUAGUGACUAAAACCUUAAAGUCCUUAGGUCACUAACAAGGGAAUGACAACCUAAAUUGACAGUCAUUUAUAAAAAGAAAAGUUUAUCCAAAAUGUCUUCGGUUGCCCAUUUUGGAAAUUGUAGGAACAUGAAUUGGAGUUAAGCCCAUUAGAGCAACAUGAAGAACACGAGGAAAAGCACAAGACUAUAUCAUUGAAGACAAAUGUAUAUUCUUGUGAUACAUCACAAAAUAAAGAGUUUGACGAUGUCCACAUGGAGAAUAUGAAUAUACUAGUGAAGAAGUUUAGAAAAUUCCUAAGGAAGAAUAAAAGAUCAAAGGUUGUCCCAAGAAAGCAAUGCCUCAAAGGCAAUGAAGCUUUGACUUCUAGACAAAACUUCACAUAUUUCAAAUGCGACAAGCCUGGACACAUAAAGUUGGACUGUCCAUCUCUAGUAAAGAUGAAUUCUUUGAUGGGAAUACGAAAAAGAAAACCAGGAGAGCCUACAUUAUAUGGGAUGACAAUGAUGUAAGUUCUAACUCAGAACCAGAAAAUGAAUAAUAAACACAUUUAUUCCUUAUGGCCUCCCACCAAUCUAUUGACGAGGUUAGUGAGUAUGAACUUUAUGAUUAAACUUCUUAUCAUGAACUACAAAGUUAUUUUAAUGAACUUCACAAAGAAUCCUUAAAACUUUCAAAACUAUGUUUGAAAUAGAAGAAUGUUAUAGACAUUCUAGAAAGUCAAAAUAAUGCUAAGAACAAUGAUUUGGAAUUUUGAAGUCAAAACUAAUCAAUGAUGUCCAACAAGUGAUACUCUUGAGACUACAAUAGUUUCAUUAAACAAGAGUUAAAUGUGUUAAAAAAGAGUACUCACAAGUUUGACAAUAUAUUAAGCAAUCAAAGACAUACUAAUGACCGAAGAGGUUUAGGCUACACCAAUCAUCGUCAAACAAAUGGUAUGAAGAAAACCAUUUUUAUAAAGACUAAUAGUACUUUCUAGAAUAAUUUUCAUAAAUAAAGUUUUAUUAAAUUUAUUUCUAAAUGUCUAAACAAAAUAUGCAUAAAAAACAACCCACAUGCUUUUAUUGUAAUUGUAUACGCCAUACACCUAAUACUUGUUAUAUUAGAAAAGUUGGUAUUCCAUGUGGCCAAUACAUAUGGGUUAAGAAAAGUGCUAACUACAAAGGAUCCAAUCAUAUUGGGUACCAAAUACUUUUUUUUGUAGGAGUGCUUGAUAGUCGUGACUGAUGGCAAGUCAAAAUAUUUAGUUUUCACUCCAAGAGACAACUGAUUUGCACGUAUGGAAACACCAAGAAGGGAAAACAUCUUGGAGUCGGUCGAGUUGGAUAGCCACCUUCCGCAACCAAUGAUGGAGUCCUAUAUGUUGAAGGCCUUAAGUGUACCUUCUUAGCAUAAGCCAACGAUGUUACAAAGGCUUCAGCAAGGUUUUCAACUCCAACACCUUCAUCAUUGAAGAUAAGGUAACUCAUGAUGCAAAAAUUAUAGGAAAUAAAAUAAUAAUAUCUAUAUGAUUUCCUUAGAUGAUAUUUCCUUUAAAAUUAAAUGUUUAUUUGUUAAUAAUGAUGAUGCAUGACUAUGGGAUAGGAGAAUUGUGCACAUCUAUAUGGAUCAUUUGAACAAAUUAACUUAACAUAAACUAGUUGUUUGUUUGCCCAAAAUAAAAUUUGUUAAUGACAAAUUGUGUGAUACUUGUCAAAAGAUCAAAGAAACAAAAGUUUCUUUUAAGCCUAAGCAUAUAGUUUCUACUGAUAGGCUAUUACAAUUGUUGCGUAUGAAUUUGUUUGGUGAAAAUUACUAUGCUCUUGUAAUAUUAGAUGUUUUUUCAAAGAUUCACAUCGAUAUUAUUUUUAAUACAUAAAAAUGAACCAUUUUAUGCUUUUCGAAAAUAUGCAAAAUGUGUUCAAAAUGAGAAAUCCUUGAAAACCUCCUAUAUUAGAAGUGAUCAUGGGGGAGAAUUUCAAAAUGCCCUAUUUAAAGAGUUUUGUGAUUAACAUGACAUCUCACAUAAAUUUUCAUCACCUAAAUACCACAUCAUAAUGAUGUUGUAGAAAUGAAAAAUAGGUCAUUAGAGGAACUAGCAAGGACUAUGCUAAAUGAAACCAAUCUGCCUAAAUACUUUUAGGCUUAUACGGUAAGUGGUUCUAGUUAUGUUCCUAAUCGAUUUAUAAUUAUAGCUAUUUUAAAUAAAACUCCCCAAGAAUUCUAUAAGGGUAAAAAACUUAACAUUGCUCAUUUUCAUGUGUAUGAUUGUAAAUGUUUUGUUCUAAACAAUGCAAAAGAUAACCUUGGUAAAUUUGAUGCUAAAUCAGAUGAAUGAAUCUUUCCUGGUUAUUCUCUUACUAGCAAAGAAUAUAGAAUUUUCAAAAGAGAACAUUCACCUUAGAAGACUCAAUGCAUGUAUCAUGAGAUGAAACUAACCCCUAUAAGGAGGAACACAUUUUCUUUAAUGAUGACAAUGAUGUUGAUAGAAAUUUACAAAGUACUUCACAACGUGAAGUUCCAAUUAUUGAAGAAUAUGAUUAUCUAGAGAAAAUGAAGUCAAAUGAAUAUCAACAUCAAACUGGAGAGCAAGUACACUCUGACCUACCAAAAUAAUGGAUAACUCAUAGAGAUCAUCUUAUUGACAAUGUUAUUGGUGUAAAAAACAUGGUAGUUUCUAUCUGUCUUAAUAUAAAUGAUGCUUGUCUAAAUAUAACAUUUGUUUCUCAAAUAAAAUCGUCUAAGAUAUAUGAUCUUAUAGAUGAAUAGGACUGGAUUCUUGACAUGGAAGAAUAGCUCAAUCAGUUUUAGAAAAAUAAGGUUGGGGAACUUGUUCCUAGACCUAAGAAUAGGCAAAUCAUAGGAACUCGUUGGGUUUUUAGAAAUAAAUUAGAUAAAAAUGACACAAUUAUUAGAAACAAAGCUAGGUUGGUAGCCCAAGGAUAUAACCAAGAGGAGGGAAUUGAUUUUAGUGAAACAUUCGCUUAUAGGGCUAUACUUGAGGCGACUUCUUUUAGCAUAUGCUUCCAAGUUAAAUUUUCAAUACAUGGAUGUUAAGAGUACUUUCUUAAAGAAUUAUAUAUAAGAGGAGGUAUAUGUUGAACAACCUCUAGGUUCUGAGGAUUACAAACACCUUUCUCAUGUAUAUAAAAUAAAAGAAAACACUUUAUGGUUUUGUUGAAAGCGUAUAUUCGGUGUUUUUAUUUUAGUUGAGAGUUUUCUCCUCUCAACAAAUCGUCCUGAUAGCAGUGCCAAUUUGUUGAAAGGUUAAUACUGUCAUUUUCGUUAUGUUCAUGUUGUAAGUAAGUGAACUCGGUUUUAUUCUUUGUUCGCCAUCUCGGCUUUGUUGAAAUAAAUUCCAACGCCGGUAUAAUGGUUUCAAGAAUAUUCCAGUUACAACUUACUUUCUUAAUAAUCAUGUGAAUAAGUCAUUCCUUCUUUGCCCCAUCUCGGCUUUGUUAGAAUAAGUUCUAACGCCAGCAUAAUGGUAUCGAAGCAAUUACCUAUUACAUAAUUAUUAAGUACCUUUGAAUACCAUCUGCAUUUUGUGGAAUAGAUUCCAACAUCGGUUUAAUGGUAUUCUAAUAUAUAAAAGUGAUGAAUAGUUAGUUGUUAGAUACAAAUAAAUAAAUAAAGAACACAAGAAUAAUAAAUUUAGUGACCUUUUAUUUAUUUACUCCCUUUUGGGUUCAUUUUAUUAACAAAUCACACUUCUUCCUUAAGGAAGGUUGGUAUUAAAGAAUAAAUAAAAUGAGGAAAAUAAAUAACAAUAAAUAAAAAUUAGUACGUUAGUUUCAUCACUUUUGUAUAUUAAAAGGUGUUUUCAACAAAUAACUUUAUUGUUAACACUUUACUAUUUUAAAAUUUACACCUCUUUCAAGAUUCAAUUGUAGUAUAGUAUAGGGUUAUGUCGAACCACAAGGAAUUGCCUAGUAAAAUAAAUCAUGUAAACAUGUCAAAGCACAAAUAAUGGUUUAAACAUAUUUUUGUUGGUUUGAAUGUGAAUAUGAACAAGUACACAUAAUAAACAUACAACUAAAUAUUAAAAAAAUUCUUGAGGAGACAAAUUCUUUUUGAAUAAGGAAAAUAUAUUGUGGGAGAAAUUCCUUCUCCAUCCAAAAUCCUUAGAGUGAAUGCGGAAGUCCUUAUGACCAUGGCUUUGUUCCCACAACCGAAUGUGUAUGCCCAUACAUACACCCGAAUGGAACAUCCAUGAUCCAGACCGAAGAAAUCCCAAUUGAAUUCAUGGUGAAGAUGAAGAACAUACCUUGUUGAGCCAUUUCGGAAUCUCGAAGGUUUGAGGGUGCGAUGAUCUUCCAGAUGAUAGAGCGCCUUACGGUUUUCCUUUAGUUCUCUCUAGAGGGGAAUGAGAGAAUACAUUAGUUUCUGAAAAGUGUUCUUGUGAGGUUAGUUGGAGGAGGCUUACCCUUAUGCCUUAUAAGCCCUUAUGGAUGAGUGGAUAGUGUUAUCCUAUUCUGGAUAACACUAUUCUCAUCCUACCUUAUUCUCCUCCACCUUUACACUUGAAAACCUGUUGCUCUACAAAUGGGGACCAUAACCCAUAAAAGUAACCCCGUAGUGGUUACUACUUUAGUUGCAAUAAUUCUGAUUCAGUCCCUUCAUCAAAUCAGAAAUUGCCUGAAGGUAUCUACACUUAUUAUUAUUUCAUGACACAUAUGCCCUUAGCCACCAAAUUAAUUACUUAAGAUCAUUUUAUAUUUUGGCUAAUUACAUAAUGGCCAUAACACAAUUAUAGAAUUAUAUUUGUGACCCAUAAAUUGUCAGAAAUUCCAACAAUAGAAAGCCAAGAUGCAUGAAAAGGGAAAGACAAACAUGAUCAGGUACUUUUGCAAAAAAAUUAACAUCAACAUGACACAAUUUUUUUUAAGGCAUGGGACAAUAUUUUUAAUGACAAAGGUAGAUGCUAUAGAUUUAUUUAGGGCUGUAAGAAAUAGAGUACAACAUUAUUUGAAAACAAUUUAUUUAUUGAUAAGCAUACUCAUGCAGAAAAGCUUGAGUGCUCACAUCUUUGUCUACACGUGUUUGAGACUAUUGUUAAAAUAGUUAUUUUUUUUGUUAAGUGAAAAUUUUAUUAAAAAGAACAAAAAUUACAAAUAGGAAAAAAUAAAUAUACAAUUCUCGAAAAUGAGAUGAUAAAAAUAUUACAUGGUUCAAAAGAGAUCCACUAAAAUCCAAUCUAACAAAACAACAAUAAUAAUAGCACUCCAAGUAUAAAAUUGAAUUAGAGAUCUACUAAAACCAAAAUAUAAUUGCACCUUUAUAUUUACCUUUAAUCCAAAAUGAUGAUUUUUGUUUACCUUUGUGUUAACUUAUGUGAAGGGUAUGGAGUUAAACUAAGGCGAUUUGCAAAUUCGUUAAUUAAUUGUAAUGAUAUCAUUCAUCAUAUCAUACUUAGUGACUUAAAUCUAUGAAAACAAUCAACACGUAUUUAUACAUGUUAAUCUCUGAGGCAAGUGUACAUUAGAAAAAUAAGAUAAUUAGUUCUCCAAUCCAUAAUUUUCCACUACAAUUUACUCUUUUAAAUUCAUUAUUGUCAUGUUAGGAUAAAGUAUUAACCCCUACAAGAAUUUAAAGUGAGAUUAACUAUUGUCUAGUAAAAACACACCAUUUGUGCAAGAGUGGGCCAAUCAUAAGAUCGCUAAAACAAUGGCUUUAGAUCUCAAAUAUGGUCCGUUCGUAAAUAAUAGACUUCAAACUAUUUGUAUUAAUAAUGUUAUUGUUUUAAGACUAGUUGACUACAUAUUUUUCUUAUAACAUAAUAAUUAUAAGACUAUUUAAGUAGGGUAAAUAGAUUUUUUGUAAUCUAAGACUUUAUUAUCUCAUGAAUCCUAUUUUUUCCUAUAAAAAAUACAAUGGAGAAACUUUAAUAAUUAUUGAUGAAUUGAUUGUAAUUAAAAUUGGUGAUUCGCUUUGUCUAAAUGCAUGACAUCUUCAAAAGGGCGGUUUACUGUAUUAUACUAUAGUGAAAUUUGAGAAUAGUAUAUAUAUAUGUAGCCCCAUCUUUAUAAGGGAAUAGGUUAUUUCUAUGACAUUAAGUAUUUGGAUGUGUCUUAAUGUAAUAAUAAAGUUGUUUGUCUUAUAAUUUACAAGUAAAAAAUUCUAUGAAUAAAUUCUUCAGUUACAAGGAUAUGAUAGUAUGUACUUAUCAUCCUCAAAACCUAUUAAAUAGAAAUCCCAUACAUUAGGCUAUCAAAUUUAUUAAAUAAAACUAAUUAAAAUAAUUUAAUUAAUAAAUUUUGACACAAAAAGGAGAAUAUAAAAUUCUAAGUAAUAAACAAAUUUUAAAUUUCUUUUUGUAUUAUGUACAUAUACCGAAGGUUCAUCCUAUUAGGAAGUAAGUACAGCUGGCUCACCUCAUUCUUUUAAUUAGUUUUGAAAUGAUACAUUAAUAUUAUAUCAGAAUGAAAUAAUAACUUAUUUUAUGUUGUUAUUGACUAAAAUAUAUCACUUCGUCAUCGAUCAAAUGUAAGUCUUUCGCCUCAUAUAAUAUAUUUUUAUAAAUGAGACAUGUUGGAAGUAAUUCUCACAUCUCCUCCCUCAUUUUACUAGGCACUAUUCAAAUAGUUAUUGGAUUAUUUCCUUUAUUGCUUAUUGAUUUUGAAAUAUCCCAUUAAUACAUCGACCAAAACCUUCCCAAUUUAUCUCUCUCUUCAAAAUUGACUUUAUUUUACCAUGUUCACAAGAGGGAGGUCGAUCAAUUAUGUUCCAUCAACUUGUGAAUCUCUUGUAGUAGCCACAAGUUUCAAUGAAUGUUAUACUCACUUUUAGAAAUCUCCAUUUUCCAAGUGAAUCCAUCAUAACAAGUCCUUUAGACUUCAGAUGUUGUUAUUAUUGAGUUGAGAACCCAACUCAAAGGGUAGUACUAUCAUAAGGCCUAUAAGGCCUUGCCUCAGUUGGACAUCCCCACACAUGAAAAUGCUUCAGACUUGGCUUUCGCCCAGUCCAAUGCUCAUAAGGUGUUUUAGCAGUUGCCUUAGUUGGUACCCUAUUAAGAAUAUAAGCUGCUGUCUUAAGUGCCUCUCCCCAGAGUGACUCUGGUAAGGUAGAGUGACAAAUCAUACUCCUUACCAUGUCCUUAAGAGUCCGGUUUCGUCUUUCAGACACACCAUUCAUGCUAGGCGAUCCUGGCAUGGUGUACUGUGGGACUAUACCACAUUCCUCUAGGUAUUUGGCAAAAGGCCCUGGACGUUGUUCACCUGAACCGUCAUAUCUACCGUAGUAUUCACCACCACGGUCAGAUCUGACGCACUUAAUCCUUUUGCCGAGUUGAUUUUCAACCUCAGCCUUAAAAGUUUUGAACACGUCCACCGAUUGGGACUUUUCAUGAAUUAGAAAAAUGUAUGCAUAACGAGAAUAAUCGUCUAUGAAUGAUAUGAAAUAUCGUUGACCAUUCCAGGAAGCCGUAGGGAAUGGCCCACAGAUAUCCGUAUGUAUCAAUUCUAAGACGUCCGAAGCUCUAUAUGCACCAUAUUUCGAUUGUUUGGUUUGUUUUCCUUUUAUGCAUUUAACACAAACAUUAAGGUUUGUGAAGUCAAUGGAAUCCAAAAUCCCAUCUGACACAAGACGCUCAAUUCUCUUUUGAGAAAUGUGACCUAGGCGCUUGUGCCAUAAUGCACCUGAAUUAUUAUUUUCAAUCUUACGCUUAGUACCACGUGAUUCCACAUUCAGGGUUUCGCUAUAAUCAGUUAUGAUAUUCAGCAUAUAAAGGUUGUCAUUCAACAUAAGUGAACCAGUUCCAAUAACAUUUGAAUUUAAAGACAAUUGAACCGAAUUGUUUCCAAAUGAACAACAAUAACCAAAUUUGUCCAAAUAUGAAACAGAAAUCAAAUUCCGUCUAAAAGACGGUACAACAAAAGUGUCUUUCAAAUCCAAAUAGAAACCAGUACAUAAUAACAACCUAAAAUGCCCUAUAGCUUCCACUUCUACCGAUUUCCCAUCGCCAACAUAUAUGUAUCUUUCAACAUGAUUAGGCUUUCGGUAGCUCAGGCAACCCUGCAUUGAAACACUGAUGUUAGAAGUUGAACCGGAGUCUAACCACCAGGUGUUUCCAGGUACUGAAGUUAAAUUGACCUCAGAACAAACCAAAGCAAGAAAUGUACCUUUCUUAGCACGCCAGGCGUGAUACUUUACACAUUUCUUCUUUUGAUGUCCAGUUGCUUUGCAAAAGAAACAGACAUCAUCCUGCUUCUGUUUCUUUUGCACUGAACCCUUAGCAGCUUCAUUCUUGGGCUCUGAAGUGAUUUUCCUUUUGCCCUUGUCUUUAGAGGUAGUAACAUAAUGGGCACUUUCAGUCCUUUCUCGUUUCAAUCUUUCCUCUUCUUGCACACAAAAUGAAAUGAGCUCAUUAAGAGUCCAUUUCUCCCUUUGACAGUUAUAAGAAAUCUUAAACUGACUGAAUUGUGCAGGAAGAGACAGUAAGACCAAAUGAAUGAGCAAGUCUUCCGACAUGUCAAGCUUAAGGGCCUUAAGUUUUGAAAUGAUGUUGGGCAUUCCCAUAAUGUAUUCCCUUAUGUUUCCCUUGCCUUGAUACCUCAUGGAAAUCAAGUUCUGUAACAGAGUACUUGUUUCCGCCUUAUCGCUCUUUGCAAAGCGCUUUUCAAUCUCAGCAAGGAAAUCUUUGGCACUAUUUAUCUCAUCCGAGAUAGUACCCCUAAAGACUUCUGGAAUGCCGCGCUUAAUGAUCAUUAGACUCAUGCGAUUAGAGCGAUCCCACUUCUCAUAAUCCUUCCUCUCUUCAGAGGCACUGGAUUCCAAAGGAGAAGGGGGUUGCUCUACCCUUAAUGCAUAGUCCAGAUCCAUGCAGCCAAGAACAAUUUCCAUGUUCUCUUUCCAAUCCUUAAAAUUUUCACCAUUAAGGACCGGAACCGAAUUCAAAUUCGCAGAUAUAGAAGCAAUUGAUGUAGCUGAUUGAAACAAAAGACAAAAUACUAAAUAUGCUCACAACCCAAAAUUAUCAAUGUGCUUAAAACAAUGUAUAUCCAAAUCAAGAUACCUAGUGCACCAUGAAUAUCAAGUCUUUGGACAGUAAUAUCAACUGCAAGUGGUACUCUUGUUGUAAUGAGCAAACAUUCAUAAGAAGACAUGUCAACUGACGAAUCCCUCUUUGGAUUGAUUCAUCAGUCACACGUAUAAAACUUUAGAAUUAUGACAUGUUUAUCAUCACAAGUGUGUAUGAUCUUCGGCCAAAUAUUAACUUUCCUUUGGGCCAGCUAAUAUCCGCAUGAAUGACCAUACACACUUACAUCCAUUAUUCCUCAUGAGUUAUAUCCAUGAAAGAGGUCACUUUGGCGACAUUUCACUUCAUUUGGCUCAUUUGAAAUAACAGACAACCUUAAUGGACAUACAAAUAACAAUUAAAAUCAAUGCACAAAGAUACUGAAGCCCAAAAAAACAAAAAAAAAUUUAAUUUUUUUUUUGUUUUUUCUUCGCUCGGGCGAGCAAAAUCUCGCCCGGGCGAGCCAAAUCUCGCUUGAGCCCCAUUUAAGGCGAUUUGCCUCUGUUAUCCUCUCGCUUGAGCGAGAGCACUGCAGUAGAACAUGAAANNNNNNNNNNNNNNNNNNNNNNNNNNNNNNNNNNNNNNNNNNNNNNNNNNNNNNNNNNNNNNNNNNNNNNNNNNNNNNNNNNNNNNNNNNNNNNNNNNNNAAACAGCAGAAAACAACAUUCAAUCAUUUCAAAUCGUUUUGUUUCAUAUUGAAAAGCAUAACUAUUUUCAUAAUCGAUUCAUAACAUAAACAAAACACCAAACCCUAAAUCAAACCAGAUUUGGGGAAGAACAUGAAAACCUAAUUUCACCCAUGAAUCAAUUUGGGGUGGCUCUGAUACCACUUGUGGGAGAAAUUCCUUCUCCAUCCGAAAUCCUUAGAGUGAAUGCGGAAGUCCUUAUGACCAUGGCUUUGUUCCCACAACCUAAUGUGUAUGACCAUACAUACACCCGAAUGGAACAUCCAUGGUCCAGACCGAAGAAACCCCAAAUGAGUUCAUGGUGAAGAAGAAGAACAUACCUUGUUGAGCCAUUUCCGGAAUCUCGAAGGUAUGAGGGUGCGAUGAUCUUCCAGANNNNNNNNNNNNNNNNNNNNNNNNNNNNNNNNNNNNNNNNNNNNNNNNNNNNNNNNNNNNNNNNNNNNNNNNNNNNNNNNNNNNNNNNNNNNNNNNNNNNCUUUUAGUGUAUGUCCUAAAAUGGUAGAAUCAUAAACACUUAUAUUCAUCACUUAAACAAUACUACGACCAUAAAAGAGAUUAGGUUGUCACGCCCUAACCAUUGGUGACUCCAAAGUUUAUUUGCUAAGUGUUUGAGACAAAUAAUUUUUACUUGAAAUCAUUUUUUAGGUGAUCAAUCUAAAAAGAGCAUUAAGCACUUCUCAAACAAAUAAUAUUAACCAAAGCACAAACUUGAAUGAUUAAAAUUCAAACUUUUGUAAAUUUAAGAAGAAGUAGAAAAUUACAUAACCUUGUUCAAAGGAAAAUGUUAACCAAAGAUUGGAUGCUUUUGAGUUCCAAAUGAGAGUACAAAAUUGAUUUUUGCAUCUAUUACAAUCUGUUUUGCUCGAAGGAAAUGGCCUCUAUUUAUAGGCUUCAGAUCCUGACCGCUGAGCUGCUGAGCUGGACUGCUCAGCAGCUGACCAAACCCUUCAGCAUGGGUUUGGUCCCUUGACCAAGUAGCUUAGUCACCUUUGUGUAUGACUCACCAAAGCUAGUUGUGGGCUAUGAAACCAGCUAUUGUGAGCUACUUCUGAAAAGCCUAUGGUGGGCUACUUGAGGUGAGGUCAUGGAUGACUUCAUGGUUUGCUUGAUGGUUAAGUUAAGUCUGGUAAGCACCACCCAGCGCACCUGCUUCACCGUUGAGCUGCUUGUUCAGCAGCUUCUGACCGUGUUGACUAGGACGUGGCUUGGUGCUUGAUGAUCUGGCCAGGAGUCUGGUUCUCCGUUGAGCAGCUUGGUUUGAACGCUGAGCAGCUUGUUUAGCAGCUUGGCUUUGCCAAGCUCGUGUCUGACCGUGUCAAGCAUAUUUCUGCCCGUGCCAGGCCUUGUCUGAUGCUAGGCUGAGCGGGGCUUGUUCCAUGCUCAGCUGCCUGGUUGAGCACCCUGAUUUUCUUGACUUUUGUUGCUUUUUGACCAUGAAUCUUUUCUCUUCUUUUCUUCAUUUUAUUUCCUACAAAAUACAUAAAAAGGCAAUACAAACACAAAUAUACGAAAUUGUGAUAUUUUAUACAAAAAGUAUUGUUUUAAGUUGGUUUUUCUCAAUUAUGCUUAAGGUAAGUGCCAUAAAAGUGUAUGAUUUUUAGGUAUGUUUGGCACUUAUCAGGUUUAAAACAAUAUCAUAGAGUGUGAUAUGAUUGGUUAAACAAUUAUCCUUGUUAAAAAGAUUUCGAAAAGGGUAAGGUCAACACUACACUAUUCAUAAAACAAAAUUGAUCAACAUUAUUUACUUGUGUAAAUUUAUGUUGAUGAUAUCAUUUUCAUUUCUACUAACGAGUCUUUGUGUUGUUAAUUUAAUAAUAUCGCAAUGAUUUGUUGAAAAUAUUCAAUAUUGAUGAAUGCAAAGCAAUAUUCACUUCCACAAGUUCAAACACAUAUGUUAAUAAUGAUGUGGUCGGAAAUCCUGUAAAUAUUACCAAGCAUUGAGGUACGAUAGGAUCUCUACUUUAACUCACUACAAGUAGACCAAAUAUUAUGUUUAAUGUCUACUUAAGUGCUAGGUAUCAAUCCAAAUCAAAGGAAUCACAUCUAGUUGUUGUUAAAAGAAUUUGAAAUAUCUUAAGGCUUUGUUUGGUAGUCUUGUUUCAGUGGAGGAGAGAUGAAAGAUAUGACUUUGGAAAGAGAAUCCCUUGUUCGGGGGAGUUAAGGGAUGUAUAGUGAAGGGCUUUGGAGUUUUACUGAGGCCCUCUAAAACUCUCAACAUGCCUAUUUCCAUGGUUCCACUAAUUUGGGGUUUAUCUAGAGAUAAACAUGUCAAAUUAUCUAGAUGCCUUUAGAAAAAAAAUAUAAUUAUAUUUUUUUUACAUUUCCCAUUAUUAAUGAGAUGUUUAAAGGAAAAAUAAAAAAAAUCAUACAUUCUCAUUACUUUCGCCUUCUCCCAUGUAAUUUCGCUCUCUCAAACAAGAGAGAGGUUGGUCUUCCUUUACCCUUCCCAUCCUCUCCUAUCUCUGUCCCUUGAUCUCUAUCCUUCCCUUGUCUUCAUAACACCCAAAGGAACAACAAAUGUAGGCUUACGGUAUCCUAAGGGAAGUAUAUGUGUCAUGGUAUGAUAUUCUAAUUCAAAUUGUGUUGGAUGCAAAAUUAAAAGGAAAAGUACUAGUGAAACUUGUCACAUACUAGGAAAUACCCUAGUCACUUGGUCCUGUAUUGCAGCAUGUAGUUUUUAUGUACAAGUGUUGUGUUUCAAACAACAACUAUGUGACUAUGAUCUACAUUUAGGAUGUAUUCCUAUUAGAUAUAAUAACACCAUGCUAUUAACUUCACUAAGAAUCAAGUCAUGCAUUAUAGAACCAAACACAUAGGCAUAAGACAUUAUUUCAUAAGGGACUAUUUGCUUAAAAAUAAUGUGCAAUUAGAAUUUGGAGGUACAAAUGUGCUUAAAAAGGAUGUGAAAUUUCCUGAACUCAUUAAGCAUCAAAAUCUUAGAGAUUUUUGUAUAGAGAAAAUUGGUUAUUACCCUGAACUUGUGCGAGUAUUUUUUUGCAAUUUGUCACUAAGGAACAAUAGGGUACACUACUAUGUUAAAGGAAAGGAUAUCAUUCUUGAACGUACCGCCUUUGACAAUGAUUGCUUAAAAAAUACUCACUAAAGGAACAUAAAUUGGCUUUUGGUUACCUUGUCCAUGGGAUGAGUUCAUCGAAAGAAUUUCUACUACUCUAUGUGUAUAUUCCCAAAAGUGGAAAUUGUGAGUAAGAAGCAAUGCAUAGUGGCUGAAUCCUCUAAGCAUAAAGUUACCCUUUUUGUAGGAGAUCUCAAUAUAGAUGAUCGUCUAUUGUAUUACGUUAUCAGCUAUAUUGUCAUUCCAAAGUUUUCAAAUCACUCUCAAAUAAAUGAUUUGGAAUUACAAUUGAUGUUUGCCUUCAAAACUUUUAAAUUUGUUAAUCGGGAAUUCAUCAUCAUGCAACGUAUGAAUUAUCUUAGGGAGAAGAAUGACACACUAUCAUAUGCUAUCCUAGUAACUACCAUACCACAUAAUUUUGGAAUUUCGACUGUUGGAGAGUCAAAAGUUGAACUUCACUCUUGGGACAAUAAGAUACACUUAGAUGUUAUCCAUAAGAUGGGUUCUACCAAAAUCAAGUUGACCUAAGUUUCAAGCAUAUGAAUGAGCAUGUUGAACCCUCUAAACCUCGUACUUCUAAACCAAAACCACCCAAUAACAUGAUAAUGGAUGAACUUGUUAAUAUUGCAAGAGGAGUCAAAGUUUACAAGUCUGAUCUUCUACACAGUUUUGAUAAAGACAAAGAUUUCAGGAAAGCUUGAAUAUUGAUUCAACUCAACAAACAACAAGCCGAAGACUCAAGGUCAUAUAGAAUUAGGAAAUUCUUUUAUAUUUUUUUAGAGUUCUAAGAUGAUUACUUAGUUUGAGUCUAGUUUAGGUAAACCAAUGAUGAGAAUCUCACAAAGCUAAAAUUUAGUAAAACUUAAAAUAAGAGAGUCCUUCAUCUAUUCAUAAUGGAUAGUAUGCAUUGAUUUUAUUAAACAAAAAUAUCACUGAUUUUGAAAUCAUACUUUUCAUAUUCAUACAUCUCAUAGAAGGUUUUAUGUUGCAUCAGAAAAUCACUUUUCACACUUUUAAUCGAUUAAGAAAGAAGUUAAUCGAUUAUGUAAAGUUCCGGUUACUGUUGAUUAAGGUUGAUGAACUUAUAUAAUUGAUUAAACAUUUCAGUAUUCGAUUAAUGCUUUAUGUCCAACAAAAUUAAAACUAUUUUCACAUAUGUUAAUCGAUUAACUGAAUAGAUAAUCGAUUAAGGGCAGUUAAUAUUGGUUUUAUAUAUAAGGUUGUGUUUUAACACAUGAGUAAGAAUUAGGCAUUCAAAAAUUUCACAUCAUACUCCUAUCAUACGAAAAUUCUCUGCAUUAAUUUUCAAGCGAAAAAGUUUUAAGUUCUUGAGUGAUUGUCAAAGAGAAUAGGGAACUUGAUUCACAAAGUAUUUUCAAAGAGUGAUUUACAUUUUCAUACACAAAACCCCCCAUAGUAUUUCACCAAUUUUAGUGCAUCUUUGUGAGAUUCUUGUGUUAGGUUUUGUAGGUGAUCAUUAGAGUGAUCUAAUUGUACUUAGUGAGUGCAUCACAUCUAAUUGUGGUUCGGACACUGCUUAUACAAGGGUAUUAUUGAAAAGAAGCAAGAAUCGGCUAGGACAGAUUCAUGAGUAACAGGGGUUUCCAAAAGAGGCAAGAGAAGGUCCAACUAUAUUGCAUGGCUAAGAGUUCAAGAAAGGAGCGCUUGUAGAAGUGUGAAAUUGGAAGUUUGUUUGUAAUUGACAAUUAAAGUUUCUAGUGAAGAAAAAUCUCCCAAACCAGAUGGGAGGACUGGAUGUAGUUUGCAAGUGGCCCCACAAACGAACCAAGAUAAAAUUCUUCGGCUUCAUCUUCUCUUCUCUUAUAUCGUUUAUUUUACGCCAUUACAUUCCUUGAAUUGUCUAAAGAUUAGUUUUAUUAAUUCAUUGCCUGCUCAUUAAUUGAUAACUGCAUGGAGCAUUCUGUGAACUAAUCAAUUUUGUAAGGAAUUAAUUUCUAGGAUCUCGGUUGUGAAAUAAUUGUUUUUAAGAGUAUCAAGAAUUGUUAAGAUAAUUGAUUAAGAUUGUUGUUAAUCGAUUAAGACAUCACUAUAUUUAAUCGAUUAAAACCCCUGAUAAUCAAUUAUACUAGAUAUUUUUCAGAAAGUUAAAUUAACCGUAAAAGUGGUAAUCUUGUAGCCCGAUACAUAUUCACCCCCUCUAGGUGUGUUUAUACUCUGAUCGUAUCCAACAAGUGAUAUCAGAGCUAGUACGAAAGUGUUAGCUCGACCGUUUACUUCGUUGAUCCAAGUGAUAUUACGAUGGGUUCUACCAACCCUUUCGGCGGUGAUGGUGCAUCCAUCAAUCGUCCUCUGGUUUUCAGUGGCGAGGUGUACGCCUAUUGGAAGGUUCAAAUGAGAUUCUUUAUCAAGGCCAUUGAAACAUAAAUUUGGCAGGCCUUGGUCAAUGGACCUUACAUUCCACUCCAUUUAGUAAAGGAGAAACCAAAGAAAACUCAUAAAGCCUUUGGAGUGAUGAUGAGAAAAGAAAGGUUCAACACAUUUUAAAAGCGAAAAAUAUUAUCACUUCGACAUUAUCUUAUGACAAGUUUUUAGGGUUUCUCAAUGUUAUAGUGCCAAGGAUAUGUGGGACACUUUACAAGUUACCCACAAAUGCACAAGCGAAGUAAAACGUGCGCGACUAAAUUCUUUGAUGCAUGAAUAUGAGUUGUUUAGAAUGUUUCCUAAUGAAUCUAUUAGCGAUAUGCAAAAGUGCUUUAUUCAUAUCAUAAAUAAUUUAGUUGCAUUGGAUAAAUUAUAUUCCAAAGAUGAACUAACUAAUAAAGUAUUGAGAUAUCUUGAUAGGAACUGACAGCCAAAAGUGACCGCCAUUAUGGAGUCUAAGUAUCUCGAUUUGAUGCCUUUAACAACCCUAUUUGGAAAGCUUCAUGAACACGAGAUGGAGUUAGGGCAUUUGACUUUGCACGAGGUAUCACACAAGCACCAGAAAGAAAUUUUUCUUAAUGCUUCAAUAUCAUAUAUUCAAGAGGAAAAAUGCGAUGAAGAUUUUGACUCCAAUAUAGAUGAUGAGACCUUAACCUUCUUAGUCAGAAAAUUCAAUAAGUUUUUGAAACGAAAAGGAGGGAUAAAGAGGUUUCAACGAAAGGAAGGAAAAGACUCAACCCGUAGAAGCAAUGCUCCCAAAGAAUGUCCUACUUGCUUUUAAUGUGAAAAUUUAGGGCACAUGAAGUUCCAAUGCCCAACCUAUUUGCAAAAAGGUUGAGGGUAAGAAGAACACCUCAAGGGACUUUAAGUCAAAGGAAUCAUACAUAUGGGAUGUUCUCGAGGAAGAAUUGACAUCAACCAUAUGAGAUGAAGAGGAGACAACAAAACUAUGUCUUAUGGUUCACACACCAGAUUCCACAAACUUAUCAGAUAAAAGAGAAUCUAGUGAGGUACAAUCCCUUCAUUCUAGUUCAUGUUUGGAGAAUUCUGAAAACAUUCUUGAUUAUGAUGAACUGUAUGCUCCUUUUGUCGAAUUGCAUAAGGAACUUAAGAAACUUGCUAGGAUAAAUGCAGAUCGUAAAAUGGUAUUACUAUUGAAUGAGAAAAAAAUAAUUGAAAUGAAGACUUUGAUUGCUGAACUUAAACUUGAAAAUAAAGCCUUAGAUCUUAUCUAUGUAUGUAGCUCAUGUAAAAGUUCUUCUAAAUUACGUGAGACUUAUAUUUGUGAAAGUUGCGAAUAGUUAGAAUAUGAGAAUUCUGUUUUAAAAGAAAAACUCGCAAAGUUCACAAAUAGUCGUCAAAAUCUUGACAAUUUACUUGAAAACACAAGAAACAUUGGUAAUUAUGUUGGAAUUGGAUUCAUUCAUGCUAAAAAUAAGAAACCACUUAGAAAACAUGUAGCUCAAAAUAAAUAUAUGCACAAUCUUAAAAUGCCUACAUGCUUUUAUUGCGGUAUUCAUGGUCAUAAUUCUACUUCAUGUUAUAUUCGUAAGGGACCCAACAUAAAUUGGGUACCUGAGAGAAAUAAGUAAAUCUGAUUUUCAGGUAUGCCUUCGAACACUUGGACCAACAUUGGUACUUAGACAGUGGAUGUUCGAAGUAUAUAACUGGAGAUAGAUUCAAAUUCCUCAAACUAUCGUUAAAAGAUAAAGGGUAUGUGACUUAUGGAGACAACAAUCAUGGGAAAAGACUUAGAGUUGGAAAAGUUGGAAUUACCUCUCAUACUAUCAUUAAUAAUGUUCUCUAUGUCGAGGGACUUAAGCAUAAUCUGUUGAGUAUCAACCAACUUUGUGAUAGAAGUAUCAAUGUAUUUUUUAAUCUGAUUGUUGUGUUAUUCGUGAUAACAUAGAUAAUAAGGUUAAGUAUAUAGGUCAUAGGAUAAGCAAUAUCGAUAUGACUAAUUUGGAUGAAAUCACGUCUCUGUUUUCAAACUGUUUUAUCUAUAAGGAUAAUGAUAUAUGGGUUUAGCAUAGGAGAGUCUCUCAUAUACAUUUAAAACAUUUAGAAAAAGUGUCGAAAAAGAAACAUGUGGUAGGGCUACCUAAACAAAAUUUCAAAAGUAAUAAUAUUUGUGACACCUGUCAAAGGUGUAAGCAAAUUAGAAAUUUAUUUUCUUCAAAAUCUAUGAUAUCCACAACAAGGCCAUUGAAGCUUCUUCAUAUGGACUUGUUUCGACCAUCACAGGUCAUGAGUUUUGAAGGUAGCUAUUAUGCACUAGUUAUUGUUGAUGCUUUUUCUAGAUUCACUUGGACACUAUUUCUUGUGUUAAAAAGCGAUGCAUUUAAUUCUUUCAAAAACCUUACCAAACAAAUACAAAACCAGUUCAAUCAUAAAAUAGUGUUCAUCCGUAGCGAUCAUGGUCGUGAGUUUGAGAACCACCAAUUUGAAACUUUUUGCGAGAAAAACGGUAUCCUACGCAAAUUCUCGGCUCCUCGCACCCUUGAACAAAAUGGAUUGGUUGAGAGGAAAAAUCGAGUCUUGGAGGCGUUAGCAAGAACUAUGCUUAAUGAAAUCAAAGUUCCAAAAUAUUUUUAGGCUAACACGGUUCACACUGCAUGUUAUGUUAUUACCCAAAUAUUGGUUAGACCCGCACUCUCUAAAACACCUUAUGAACAAUUAAGGGGUCGUAAACCGAACAUAUCUCAUCUUCAUGAUUUUGGGUGUAAAUGUUUUAUAUUGAAUAAUGGAAAAGAUAAUUCUGGAAAAUUGGACUCAAAAGCAAAUGAAGGAAUAUUCUAAGGUUACUCGUUACAUAGUAAAACCUAUCGAGUCUAUAAUAAGCAUACAAUUAAUGUAAAAGAAUCUACGCACACAUUUUAAUGAAUCUUAUUCAAAAGAGAAGAGGAAUGUUGUAUUUGAUGAUGUUUCAGGUGCAAUAGAGGAUGUAUAUACAAAGAAAUUUGAAAUGGAAAAGGCAUCACACAGAGCUAACCAAUUUCUUGAAUUAAAUGGUAACAUUUACCCAUAUUUUUUUAGAGAAUUCUAUAGCAAUUUUCAGUUAGGGAGGGAUUGCAUAUGAUUAUGGUUAUAGGGAAAUUAAUCAAUUUGGAUGAAAGGCUGUUUAUGGAAGUAGGAGAUUUGUCUAGUACUGGAUUGCCCUUAGGUAGUUGCGAUGAUAGUGCCUGGGAAACUUUUGAUGUUAUUAAGAUGUACAAAUCAUGCUUAAGGAGUCCUCAAUACUACGUGCAAGGUGAGCUACUCAAAGUUGGGUCUCUCAUUGUAGAAAAUCGUCUUCUUCAUUACUUAAUUACCUAUAUCAUUGUUCAAAGGAACACCAAUCAUGCUCAACAAAAAAUGAAUGACUUGAAGUUUAUGUUUACCAUUAAGGAGGGAAUAAUGGUAAACCGGUCUGCUGAAAUCUUCAACGUUAUGCUUCAGAUUGCGUCUUCUUCUUCAAGUCUACUGCCAUAUGAGAUCUUUGUUUACCGAAUUUUCAGUCAUCUAGGCAUUGAUACCUCUACUAAGAAGACUAUAAGUAUGAAUUGCCACAUGCACUUCAAACGUGAAAAUCUUAUUCAUAAGUUGGGAAUUCAUAAAUUCAAUGCAGGAUGAAUGUAUGAGUAUGACUACAAUUUGGUAGUCGGUUUUGUUCCUAUUGAAGAAGAUGACUCAGAUGACACUAUAAGCCCAGACAUAGAUUGGGCUAAAUUUCUCUCUUUGGUCGAAGCACCCGAAUUACCACCAUCACCACCGCCACCUGAAGAAUAGUUUAGCUUAGGAUUAUCUAAGUUAGAUUAGCAUUUAGUGUGAGUGUGAGUGUUUUGCUUCUAUAUUUGGUAUUUCUUUUUUCUUGACUCGUUUUAUAUUUUCGGUUUGUAAUAUUUUGGAUAUAUUGCUUUCUCGUACUUCAAUAUGUAACUUGUUAUGAACAUGUUCAACUUUAUUUGCAAUGUACAUUAACUUCUUGACAUAUCAUGCGUGUCUGGUGCUUAAAUUGUGUACGAAACAAUAUGUGCAAAUGAUUGUUCUAAAUGUAUGUUCAUUACGUUGUUGAAAAACUAUAUAUUUUAUGUCUUUUAAUAUAUCAUAUGCAACACUUAAUCAAUUAACGGUAGGUUGUGUGCAUUUUUUCAAUUUUCUUGACUGAGUUUAAUCAAUUAUAUACUCCCUUAAUCGAUUAACAUCAGUAAAAUAUGUUAUAUCUUUCCUAGCUUUUGGCUCAUUUUAUCAUAUUAUAUCAUAUAUAUUUAUUGAUAAUGCCAAAAGGGGGAAAAGUUAUUGUUUGAAGAAUUGCAGGUUGCGAUGCUUCCUUAUCUACUCCAAGGAGGAAAAAAAGCUUCCUGCACUACCAUCAUUGAUGAAAUGAGGGGGAGCAGCACACAAAAUUUUCAACCUUGCAAAGGUAAUUGUUGAUCAAGCAAAUCAACCUUCAAAACAUAUGGUGUUUGUCAUCAUCAAAAAGGGGGAGAUUUAUAUUACAAGAGGAGUAAAAGUUUACAAGUCUGAUCUUCUACGGAAUUUUGAUGAACACAAAGAUUAUAGGAAAGCUUGAAGAUUGAUUCAACUCAACAAAUAACAAGUCGAAGACUCAAGGCCAUCUAGAAUUAGGAAAUUAUUUUAUAUCUGUUUAGAGUUCUAGGAUGAUUUCUUAGUUUGAGUCUAGGUUAGGUAAAUUAAGGAUGAGAAUCUCACAAAGCUAAAAUUAAGUAAAACUUAAAAUAAGAGACUCUUUCAUACAUUCAAAAUGGGUAGUAUGCAUUGAUUUCAUUGCAUAAAAAUAUCACUUAUUUUGAAAUCAUACUUUUCAUAUUCAUACAUCUCAUAGAAGGUUUUACCUUGCAUCAGAAAAUCAUUUUUCAUACUAUUAAUCGAUUAAGCAAGAAGUUAAUUGAUUUAGUAAAGUUCUAGAGACUAUCGAUUAAGUUUGAUGAACUUAGAUAAUUGAUUAAACAUUUCAGUAAUCCAUUAAGGCUUUAUGUCCAACAGAAUUGAAGCUAUUUUCACAUACAUUAAUCAAGGAGCAUUAAUUUAAAAUGAAUUAAACCAUGAUUAAGGGACGUUUAAUGGGAUUAGUAAUACUGACUUCGUAAAGUGAGAAAUAAAACUCAAUACUUAACUUAUCUAAACAUUUAAAACCAUGGGAAUAUGGAACAAAAAAGUAAAUCCACGUAGAUGUAAACACAUAAGCAUGACUUGGACGAGCACAUACCAAGCAUUUAAAUGGUAUACAAUUGUUUCAUUGGAUGAUUCAAAUAAAAAAAAUUAAUAUGCAAUGAACGAGACUACAAUCCACUUAAAGUGAAAAUUACUAGACACGACGGAUAUCCAAUAUUGAACAUGAUUAGUACUGAAGGACUAAGUGAGUAGUCCAUCAUUUCACAUAAAUCAUAUUCAAAAUUUUCAGAAUAAAAAUGAAUUGAUCAUCUGAUAAAGAUUAUGUUAAUAUGUAUGCCCAAUGAUGAUUAGUGACAAUAAAAAGAAUAUGAAUUAUGCUUUUCUAAGCAUGAUCUUUCAUGAAAUGGUGUUUAAUUUCUAUAUGCUUAACCCUAGAAAGCAAAAUUGGAUUCUUCGGAACAUUAAAAGCAACAUUAUUAUCACACAUUAAAUGAUUUUGGCUUACAAAGAUGUUAAAAUCCUAUUGUUGAUGCUUGAUCUGUAGUGAUUAACAACAGCAAAUAACAGCAUACACAUAUUAAGCUUCAACUGCUGAUAAUGCAACAAUACUCUGCCUCCUGCUAGACCACGAGAUAAUGAAGUGACAUCCUUUAUUAGCAUUGUUUCUAUCAACUUUAUCUCCAUUAUAGACAAUAUCGUAGAAUAAAACUAAUUUAUGCUUAUCAUUUUUCUCUGUAUACCUUGUUGUCUAUGUUUUUAUAUUUUCCGUCCCUGUUCAGAAUAGAUGUAGGGUGCAUUGGAGUGCUCAUCAGUUUAGAAUCAUCCAUCUUAAACUUCUUCAUAAGCUGUAUUGUGUAUUUCGUCUGAUGGGUGUAUAAAAAGCUUUAGCUCCCCCAUCAUGCUCAUUUCGAGUUCUUUCUAUUCUGGCUUAGAAAAUUCUUGACAUAGAGAAUCAUCAAUUCAACCAAAAAAAAUAUCAUCCAUAUAUAUAUAUGUACAACAAUGAAGUAUUCAUCAUAUAAUUUGCUAAAAUGGUUGUGUUAACCUUUCCUGUCUCAAAACAUUCAUCAUCACAAGUGAAUCGAGCCUCACAUACUAAGUUGUCGGUGGUUGUUUGCGACCAUAUAAAGCUUUUUUUAGCUUAUGUACGUGAUCUAGAUUAGUAACAUCUUCGAUGCCUAUGGGUUGUAACACAUAUAUUCUUCAUUUAUUAAUUCAUUCUAGAAUUCAAUUUCACAUCCAUUUGAUAAAGAAUAAUAUAAUGAUGGACAUCAAAAGAUAGUAAGAUAUUAAAUAAAAAAUAUUAUGAUGAGCAUCAAAAGAUAAUAAGAUUUGAAUUUUUUCUAGUCUUUUUACCGCUACAAUGAUUUCAGAAACAUCAAUACCUUGUUCUAGAGAGUAAUUGUGUGCAGUGAAUCUAGCUUUAGCUAUUACAAUGUUAUCUUCCUUGUGAAGUUUAUUCUUGAAAAACAAUUUUUUUCAUUAUCUGACAUAUAUUCGAGUAAGGGUACGAGUGUUCAAACAUCACUCCUAUAGAACAUGUUAAACUCUUCUGGCAUCGCUUAAAUCUAGCCUUCAUGAAGUAGAACAUCAUCUACAUUCCUUGAUCCUAUUCAAGAUAUCAAUGUAGAAUGUUCUAGCUCUAUGAAACUUGAUGGUGUCAUGAUCCUAUCACUGGAGUUUUUAUUGAUGAUUUAUUGAGAGUAAAAAAAAUACUUACGUUAUUCUCUAUAUCCCUUAUCUCUUUACUCAUUUCAUUUAUACAAAGUGUGGGUAUUUGAACUUGUUGUAAGUUAAUCUUUUGGAAUUUAUUAAUUCUUGCACUCACCAUAUAAUUGUGUGCCCAAAGUUUUUCAUAGCAAAUUGUUUGAUAAGAUCUUAACAGAUACAAUUAAACACCCACACAUGUGCUUGCAUGUGAGGACUAAAUCAUCGUUUGUAGGAAGGUUGUGGUAGGCUUAUAAUCCUUCAUAUUUGGAUCAACUAAAUCUAGAUGGAUAGAUUUAGCUCUCUGGUCUCUAUUCGGGAACAUGUAUUAAUAUCUAUUAUGUCCUUUUUCACUAUAAUAAUAGCAUAUUAUUGACUUUUGCGAUAUUGAGAAGGAUAUUUGAUUUUGUUUUCAAUUAUUCCACGAGAUCUAUUCAUCCCAUGAUUUUUAGUUUUUCCUCAUCUCUCCACAAUGUUUGCUUGAGAAGGGUAGGAUGUACAACGUUAUUUCCUUAUGGAUUAUUCAUUCAAUAGACUUUUUAAAACAAUAUCUAUUGAGACCAUCACAUUUGAGACUGAGUUGUUGUCUUGUUGAGUGUGAACACCCAUGUGUGCCAAAUUUCGGGCAAUGAUUUGAGUUGUAGAAGUGCUUGACACUAGUCUUCUAUCUUCAUAUCUAUCUAUGUCAAUUGAUUAACAAGGCCAUUGAAUGAACUCAAGUUCUUUGUCAUAUAUUGAUCAUCUUUGUAAUCGAGUUUCACUAGGCUUCUGACAACAGAUGUGUUUUUCUAGGCCUUCCCUAUGAAUCAUAGAUUCAUAGUUCUACAUCUACUAAUAAGCAUUUAUGUAUGUAGAAACAUGUUCAAACAACCUUCUAUCAAUAUUAUGACAAAUAAUGACAACAAAUUUUCAAUUCGAAUGUUCCCAUUCUUUAGAAGUUUUACCUUUUGUCUUGUCUGCAAGAAAUGGGCUCAUGCAUGUCAUUACGGUAUAAUUGAUCCUUCAUUAUGGGCUUUUAUUAUGAAUAUUUGUUUGUUGUGAAUUUGAACAUGUAUCCAUUAAGUGAGAUGGUAUAUGCUUAUUUCCUCUUGGAUCACAAAGGCUAUAUUCUCGAGCUGAAUUUGAGCUUUAAUACCAUUGUUUGAAGAAAAAAUCAUUUUAGCUCCAAUGUGUGACGAAAUGGCAAGUAUAUAAAUAAAAUAGAGUAAAGUUAGAUGAAUAACAUCGAGAGUUUUAAUAUGUAAAACAUCCUCAAAUUGAGAAAUAAAAAAACAUAGGACCUAACCUAUAAAUAUCUUGACUAUAAAAAGUAGGAUUAUAGUAUUUAUUUCUCUCAUUUUAAAAGGAUAACAAUCAACCAUAGAUAUCAAUUAUCUCACUUAUUCUCUAUGUUGGUUUUCUCAAUUGCUUGUGUUAUUUCUCUUCUCACUAUGUCCCUUUAUAUAGUGAAUGAGAGGAAGACUUCUUCAUGAAGAGAUAAUUAAUAAUUAACAUUAGACACGUUGAAAAUAUAUCAUUAACUUUUUAGGUUGGACUAAAUAGUCUUGAAGUGUCAAUGAGUAAUUCCAAGACUUUAUAAUAUUUUCAAGACACUUUAAAAAUUCUAUAUUUAAUUUUGUAUAUUGUACUUCAUAGUCUUCGACAGUCAAGAAAUAGUUCUAAUAUUUUGAAAAGACCAUAAUUCAAUACAUCAAUGGUUCACCUACUAAAAUUAAAUGGUCAUUAAAUCUCAUUAAUCAAGUAGAGAUUCCCACAUGAACCAUUAUAGAUUGAACUUGACUGAUAAAGAUAUAAAUAUAAAUUUUGCAAUGUGCAUGACUAUGCACAACACUAGUUUUGAGGUAUGCGUGUAUACUUUAUGCAUGGGAUACUCUAGAGCAUUUCGCAAGGUGUGCUUGGGUCCUUAAGUGUGCAUAGGGUGUGCUUCAACUGAAUCUUGGCUAAGCAACUUCCUUCAUUUUCUUACCAGAUGUAGCUCCUUUGGUUUGAAUUUCAUAUUUUCAUGCUCAAGUCUCUAUUCUACACAAACAAACAAAAUUGGGGUACUUGUUAGUAUAAGAGAAUCAAACGCAAAAUAAAGUUAUCCAAUUUUCUUUCAUAAAAUAAUUUCAAAAUUGGCUAGUUGGAUCUAAGAAUAUUAUCUCAAAGGGACUAACAUAUGGCAGUUUGAAUGCAAGUCUAAUGCAUCUAGCAAUUGGAGAGUGUUCUUUGGUGUGGAGGAACCUGAGCUGGAACUCUAGAAUUCAGGCAAGAUGAGGUCUGGUUGCACUUGAGUGGUUACCUGAAAAGACACUCUGACGCUCAAUUUAGUAUAUGAAGAAGUGUGUAGAGAAAAUAAGAUGGAAGAGUGUAAGACAGGGUAUUAGGUUUUAACUUCAUUAUGAGGGAUCUCCUCUACUUCUAGAGGAAAUAGACAUGGAAUAUUCUCUAGUGGAUGUUGUCGGGAAACCCUGACAUGCACAUACUUUUGGCUAGUACAAUGUUAUACUGAAGGUGUGUUGUUUUGUCGAAUGUCCCAAUUGUCAUAGUCGUAUGUUAGGCUUGUCCUCUCUACAUGACAAAGGGUGGUACAUGGUUUAGAAGGCAUGUUCUACUCUAUAGCAGAGGUUUGUAUUGUUCAAGCGGUGUGACAGUAAUGUUCAGACGGCUUGACAAUCCUGUACAUUGUUGACUAGUUCUUGUCGUCUCACUAUCGUCCUUUAUCUCGUUAGGUUGACUAUCAGAGCACGACUGAUAGCUGCAUGAUUCGGAUCAUACUUGUCCGACAUUUGGGCAUGACAUGUGUAGAUUUGGACGGUCAUGGCAUUUCCUAGAACCAGGGGGGAUAUAUUAUGCUUGUUGCGACAAGGUGUUUGGCUCCACAUCGUUUUUGGUCUGAUGGUUGAGAAAGGAUGGUCAUGGUUUUGGUUUUGUUGAGUGUUGAUUUGUAGGUAGGGCGAGAUUCACCACUAAACUCAACCUCGUAGGCAUUAGGGGCUGGUCUUGGUGGUAUGUAGCUAGUAUCAGUUUUGGACUAUCAGAGCGCAUUCAACAAAUGGGCUUGUUGUUGGAUGAGAUGUUGCUAUCUUUCAAUCAUUUGAAUGUGUUGUUGGGUGGUUGGUUGUGAUGGUUUGGCAAUUGUAUCAUGGGUUUUUUUGGCUUGAUCAGAUGGUUGUAUGUGAGAUUGAAGGUUUAAUGAUGGAUUUUUACGGUUUUGGGGCAUGUUUAUAGGUAUUGCUUUGACGUGGCUUGCAUGCUUUCUCAUGGUUAGAAUGGUGAAGGAAAGACAUAGAUGGCGACAAUAUUAUUUGGUUUGGAGGAAGUCGGGCUGAAACUCUAGAAUUCAGGCAAGAUGAGGUUUGGAUGUGCCUAAAUUAGUACCUGAAAAGAUACACCAACACUCAAGUAUACCAACCCAAAGGAAAAUAGGAUACGAGUUAACCCGCUUGCCCGAGUCCGAGUUGACGAGGUGAAAGAGUUCAGACUAGGACAGUUCAGGCCGGUGGAAGCCAAUGAAAGGGAGAAGCGUUCAACCACUAGAGCAGAAGCCGAGUAUAAGAUCGCCCUUAUCGUCUAUGAUUUGGCCGUGAAAGAAGCCCACUUCACCAUUUCUCUUGGGAUGGGAAAGAUCAAAUGAAGCAAGCCCUCCUCAAAGCCUUUUUCAAGCUUCGAGGGAAAGUAGCCCUUAUUCUAUAUCACAUUCUUCAGAUAAAAUAACUUUCCUUCCCUGACCUACUUUGAGUCUCACUAACGUAGGGAAACCGGCCUGGCAAGGAGGCUAGAGGAAGGAAACUGCUCAAGUGAGCUUGAAGCAACAAGGGUUGUGGGUUAAGUUCCCACGUGGGGAAGAAAGUUAAUAAUAAUAAGUAGAGCUGCUCCUGGUGUUCCAGGGAGAGAAUGUCUUUUCUAAUCUGUUCUCAAAAGCAAGAUGAGCUAUGAUAAAGAGAAAGAACCCGGAGCGAUUGGACUAUCUUUGUAGCUCCAUAAUCUUUCAGUUUAUGCUCCUACCUACUAUUUGGAUAUACCAAGAAAGAUGUACGGUCUAAUGAGGCUACUACGAAAUAUGUACUCAUGGGUGGGGCCUUAUAUUCUGGUUCAUGGUUUAUCUUGGCUAUAUGGUUCAUCCAGGGGAGAGAUCAAGCUUCAAGAAAUAGUGAAUGGUCUUAUCAAUACACAAAUGUAUAACUCCCCAGGAAUUUCAAUUGCGCUUAUAUUAAUCACUAUAGGAAUUGGGUUCAAGCUUGCCCCAACCCCUUCUCAUCAAUGGAAUCCUGACGUAUACGAAGGAGUGUGGUUCGUUCGAUAAAUUCCUACCUUAUCUCUCUAUCUAUUUCUGAGAUGUUUGGAUUUUUCAAAACUCCAUGGACAUGCAGAAGAGAAAUGCUAUUCCCAUUCGGACCAAGACAUAACUUUACUUGUUCAAAUAACAAUUAAGGUGAAGCAAAGUCAGGAACAAAAAAUCCCUUUAUGAUAAACAAAUUCAUUUUUCAAUUUCGUUAUUACGGGUAAUUCCUACAAAGGAUCAGACUAAUGACAUAUACAAUACUUGAAUUAUCGAUGAAGAUGCUACAUAGUUGGUUCUCAUCCUUUAGAGACUACGAGUAUAAUAAAUAGGAGCAUCCGUCGACAAAAGGAUCACCCUAAGAUGAUCAUCUCGUGGCUAUUGAGAACGAAUCAAAUCAGAUGGUUCUACUUCUCAAUCUUUUUUACCUUAGUUCCGUAGGAGCAAGUCAUAAAGAUUGAGAAAAAUCGGUCACUCACAACCACUGAUGAAGGAUUCCUCGAAAAGUUAACGAUGACUAAUCCUUUUGAAAAUUUAAAAUAGAAUGGAUUAGGUCUUAUACAUACGCGAGGAAGGUAAUAAAAAACUAAAUAAGAUAAAUUGGGCCAUGUUUCCCGAGGGAGGCCGCCUUCUCUCAGGCCAGCAGUCUUCUACUUCUAGUCGACUGCUCUAUGACGGGCUUCCCUGUAUCUUGGGCUCUACUCGCUCGUCUAUGCUCCGACCCAACAAGUAAUAUAAUAAAAAACGAUGUAUAUGAAGAAGCGUGUAAAGAAAACAAGAUGCAAGAGCGUAAGAGAGAGUAUUAGAGAUCUCUAAUAUUUAUGGAGGAAAUUGGCAUAAAUUAUUAUCUGGUGAAUGUCAUUGGCAUGCCAGACUUUCCUUUUCUAUCAGGCCUACCUAAAACAAGCAGGGAUUACUUUGUCCAUGUCUAGCGAUCCUCACAUGCACGUGCCCUGGCUAGUUGAGUGCUUUACAUAGGGUGGGUCGUUUUGUCUCAUGUUCGAGUUGUCAUAGUCGUAUGUUCGGUUUGUCUUUACCGCAUGGUAGAGGGUGGUACAUGGAACAAAUGACAUAUUUAGAUCUGUUUAGGCAGCGUGAUAGUUCUGUUCAAACGACAUGAGAGGCUUGUAUAUUGAUGACUAAGCCUUGUCCUAUCAUUGUCCUCCUUUACCUGGAUAUGUCAGCUAUUUGGGCAUGAUCGACAGCUGCAUGAGCCAGACCUUACUUGCCCAAUGUUUAGUCAUGACAUGUGCGUAUAUGGUUGAUCGUGAUGUUUCGUGGAACUAGGAUGGAAUAAACAGAACUAGUUGGAGUAAAGAUAGAUUACAGUGGUCUUCCGUGGAUCGUCAGGGAGAAACUACAAAGGUGGUUGUAAGUAUUAGAUGGAAACAAAGAGGGGGAGGGUGAAUUAGUUGUAUGUGGUAAUGGUCAAUUUUUCUGCUAAGAUAUCAAAGUGUUUAUGCAGUGGAAAUAUUACAGAAAGAUUCCAAAUUGAUAACUUAAAAAUAAAGAGACAAAGUAGAGAGAAUAAAGAAAGAACACGACGUUUUUAUACUGGUUCACUUUCUUGUCCACCUAAGGCUACAUCCAAUACUCUUGCAGCACAAGAGAUUUAUUUACUAGAUAUUAUAAUUUGUAAUUAUAAUCUCUCUCCUUGAGACCCUUUUACCUUACGCACUCACAAAUACCUCACCCUUGGAAAACAACCAUUCCAAGUACUCUCUUCCCCCUUCUCACCACAUCCUUGUGAUGACAAGUUUACAACAAUUUUGAAGAAUGAAUUCUAUGGCAAGAUUGCCUUUAAAAGAUAUAACAAUUCUAUUCUUGCAAUCCUUAGACUUAACAGACUUAGUAUAUAAUUCUCUUGAAAGAAUUAAGUAUGAAAACUUUAGGACUUUGCACUUGGGGCAACUUUAGAUUUUUUUUGAAAGAUUAGAACUAAAUUUGCAAGAAAAAGUGCAGAGAAUUAUAUAUGUAAUUGUGUAUAAUUUGUGUGUAUUGAUUGUGUUUCAAAUGCAGUGUUAAUGCCUUUAAAUAGGAUUCCAAUCAGCCAAUAUACCCUUCCAUGAAGUUGGGACGCGAUUGGAAUGAAACCCAUUGAGUUUGAAUGAAAGUUGUUCAGUUUGGAUUUGAAAAUCUGGUUGUAACAACUCUGUGUAAUUGGUUACACCAUGAUUUAAUUGAUUACUUAAACUAUUUGUCUAGAGAUGUAAUCGAUUAAUCAUUGAUUUUAUCGGUUACUUUUUGUCAAUUAUGAUGGGUAACUAUUUACUACGUUAGGUAACAUGUUACCAACUGUCACACAGUUCUGGUAAUCUGUUACCAAGGUCUAGUAACCUAUUACUCAGGUCAAGUAACCUGCUACUUAGCUUCUUAAAAUUUUAUUUAAAUUUUUCUAAGAGUUUUCAAUUACUUUUCAAAAUAGCUUUUCACUUUCAUUUGAGAAUCACUUACUAUUUAUAUUGGAGUGUAAAUGAUAUAAGUACCUUUUGAAGACUUAGACUCUAAUUGAAGCUUGAUCUAAAUGUAUCUUCAAUGUCUUCUUCCUUUUUUCUUGUUUUUGUGUGAUCUCGGUGUCUUCAUCAAAGCUGUGUCAAGGUCAGGAGCAUGAUCUUCUUCACAAUCUCCCCUUUUUUGAUGAUGACAAAACAACACCUUUUGAAAUUGGAGUUUUUCUAAAAUCAGCAUACUUCAUGAGAUAUGACAUGUUUUGAUUUUAAGUAUGUUCCCCUUUGUUUUUAAGUUUUGUUCCUGAAAUAAACGUUGGGGAAAAAAAUACAUACUCCAACUUUUCUCCCCCCUUUGACUUCAUCAAAUAGAAGGAAAAUCUAGGUUUCUAGCACAAUAUAUCUAUACUAUAUAUAAAGCCAAAACUUGAAAUAACUUCCCUCAUGGUAUAAUUUUCAUUUCCUAUAUUGCCCUUAACAUUAUUUAAUUUUUACAAAAAAACUAUAUAAUCCUAAGCAACUACCACCAAUACAUUAAUUAAUCAUAUGUCUCACCUUAAAUUAAACAUUAUCGUAAAAACAAAAAAAAUAAUAUAAAGUACACCGAACACAAAAAUACAUUUUAAUUCAAAAAAAUGAAAUAUAUAAAAAUUGAAUAUGUAGUAUCACAAUAUUCACUAGUAGUCACGAAGUGCCUGUACACACUAGUAUAUAUAAUAUAUAUACAAAAAAGGUAACAAAAUAUAUUUUGACUUUAUUUAAAAGCUAAGGUCAAAAUAAAUGAGAUGAACUCAAUUUUGGGAAAUGCAAUAAGAUAAUUAAAUAACUUGAAAUACCAUAGCAUUAUAACAUAGUAAAGCAUAGUAACUUCAUACAUAAAUAGUAAAUAAAUGUUCAAACCAAGUACUUAACAAACAAUAAUAGAAAAUCCGAACAAGUUCAAUAACAACAUCAAAGAAACAGAUAAACUACACAAAUCCUAAUCACAUCUACUCUAAGAAUCAGGCCCAAGCUAAUCAAUUUGUUCAAUAUCCAAAUCCAUGUAGUCCAAUCGAUCAGAUAGUCGACGAAGUUUUGUUUAGACUUGUUGAUUCACAUCAUCAAGAGCAUCCAUCCUAGUAGUGAUGUAGCCUUGAAGUGAGAAUAACUCAUCCAUAUCCAUUUGACUAGAUGGCAUAGAACCAGACGAUGAUGACUCAGCAUGAAAUGAAGAAGGUUGUUGAGUAGGAGGUCAGUAGAGGGGUUUUCAGCUUGAGCAGUUUGAUGAUCACCAUGAUGCUUAUAGAUCAUAUCAGUGGUAUCCCGAAAGAAUCAUAUUUUGUGGAUGUCAUCCACAUCAAUCUUAUUUUCUCAAGCAUCGAGAACGACCUUUGACUCUCUAGCAAGAGAUACACCCAAAUGCUAAAAAAUGACAGUUAUGAUGAUAUCAUAAGGUAAGGGACCCAAAUCACCUCUAAAGGCCCACAUUUGUCUCAUUACCAUCAAUGUCCAAUUUAUCGGGACAUUUUGCUUAAGAGCAUACAUCAAUUGUAGUUCCAUAUCAUUGAGUUGAGAAUGAUUUGAAAUUUUCGGAACUAUGAUGUAACUAAGAAAGUAAUGAAGCAAACAAUCAUCUAGGUUUAAAUUUCCAGCAUAAAGGAUAUUUCUACUUUUUAUAGUAUCACCUAUGGUCCUUUGCCUAUGCAAUUCAAUUUCCUUCUUGGAAUAUCUACACAUAGAGUAGUAGAAAUCAUGUUUGACAUAUCCUUCUAUGUCAUCACAGUGUAAGCCCAAUUCUACUAUAGUCCCUAUGUAAGGUAUGUUACCGCAAAUUGAACUUAAAGUUCAAAAAUCAAUGGCAAGUUGCUUGCCUUUGACAAAAGAAAAGAGUUUGUUCAUCAUAAAAAUCAAAUUUUAGUAAAAUACCCUUCCUAGUUCUAGGUAGUAGGCAUAGUGCAUUUCACAGAGAUUAAGCAAUUUUUGUUGUAAAAAAAGGGUGGGGAAAAUGAAAUCGUCAGACUCAAAUGAGUAUAACUUACCAAAUUUUGGAGCAAAACUAGGCCUCUACAUGAAAUUCUCGUUAACACCUUGCGUUGUUCUUCGUUUUCCAGAAUUCGAGCCAAUUCCAAAGGAUUUGUCUAUGAGGAUGUUUGUUGCCUCCUUGGAGCCACAUUGGUUCAGUGCUUCUUAGUUCUUGAAGAUGAAGCCAAAAAUUUGAAGGUCUCAGAUAUUGGGUUUUUUUAUUUAAGCCACCAAACACGAAAAUGAGGAUUGUAAAGUGUUUGGAAAUGAUAAUGUGAUAUGAAUGGCUUCAAAAAUUAGUCAAAACGAUUGAAAAUGGAGGUUUUUCGAAGUUAUCAGUUUUCAUAGUAGAGUAAUCGGUUAUAUCAAGUGUAUUUUCCCUGUUUUCAGAAUUAUAGACAGUGUAAUUGGUUACUCUCCAUUCGCAAUCAGUUACAGUUUGCUCUUGUCUAAGAAAUUAGUCGGUUACAUAGUAGUGUAAUCGGUUAUAUACUCCAGAAAAUGAAAUUUUUAGCAUUUUUAAGCGAAGAUAAACACAUGUAGGCAUGGGAUACACAUAAUGAAGCACACAUAGAAAUAUAAAAGCAAGUUUAGCAUAAGUAAGCUUCAUCGAGAAUACCUAAUUCUUAUAUAAUCUUAUAAAAAUGUUCUUUAACCAGAUGUUUAGUAAAGAUGUCCGCUAAUUGGUCAUGUGUAUCAACAAAUUCCAAGAAUAUAUCUUUUUUGGACAUGUUCCCUAAGGAAGUGAUUCCUUAUAUCAAUGUGUUUGGUUCAGGACUAUAUCACUAAAUUUGUUGUGAGGUUUAUAGCAUUGGUACUGUCAUAUUUUAAGCGAAAGCAACCCAAGUCUAAUCCAUAAUCUCUCAAUUGUUGCUUGAGCCAUAAUAUUUAGACACAAUAACUUCCUACUGCUAUAUAUUCUGCCUUAACAAUAUUUAGAGCCACAUAGGCUUAUUUCGUACAAGACUAUGAGACUAGAGCAUUUCCUAGAAUAUGAUAAGUACCACUAGUACUCUUCCUCUCAAAUUUGCAUCCAACAAAAUAUAAAUAUGAAUAUCCCACCAAGUCACAUAGACUUCCUUUUGGAUACCAUAGUCCAACAUCAAGUGUGCCUUUAAGAUAUUUCAUAAUUUUUUUAACGACUUUAAGAUGUGACUCUUUAGGUUUUGACUAAUAAGAUACACAGAUAGACACUAAACAUUAUAUUAGGUAUACUUGCAGUAAGGUAAAGUAGAGAACUGAUCAUACAUCGAUACUUAGAAAUAUGAACACAUUUUCCAGCUUCAUUAGUAUCUAUGUAUGUUCUAGAAUCCACAUGAGUGACAAUUGGUUUGUAGUCAUCCAUUUCAAAGCGCUUUAGCAGAUCCCCACAAUAUUCAGAUUGACUAACAAAGAAACCACCUUUGAGUUGUUGGAUUUGUAGUCCAAGAAAAUAGUUCAACUUUCCCAUUAUGGACAUCUCAAACUCCCCUUGCAUCAUUUUACUAAAAUCACUACACAAGAAAAUAGUUCGACAUAUACCUCUUCUUGAAUAUAACCAUUCAAAUAUACACUCAUUACUCCCAUUUAAUGUAACUGAAAAUCCAAAGAACAUGCAUAUGCUAUCAAUAAUCUAAUGGCUUCAAGUCUAGCAAUUUUAUCAAUUCCUGAUUGUAUCCUUGGGCUACUAGUCUUGUUUUGUUUCUUACGAUAAUACAAUUUUCAUCUGAUUUAUUUCAAAAGACCCAACGUGUUCCUAUGUCAUGCCUAUCAUGACGUCUAGGAAGAAGUUCCUAAACUUCGUUUCUCUUAAACUGGUUAAGUUCUUCUUGCAUAGCAAGAAUCUAGUGCUCGUCUUUGCUUGCAUCAUCAAUCAUGGAUGGUUCCACUUGAGAUGUGAAGGCCAUGUUUAGGCAAGAAUCAUUUAACUUAAGUCUAGUGAUAACUCUCUUUCUUAUAUCACCAAUGAUGUUGUCAAUAGGAUAAUAUCGAUGGGUUCUCCAUUCAUUUGGUAAAUCAGAAUGAAUAUUUUCUUCUUGUGAAGGUAAGGCACCAUCUAUUUUCAAAUGCUCCGUGUUGGUUGUGGUUUCACAAAUGGAUUUCUCUAAGGAUAAACUAGGUAAGUCAUCAUCAUCUAUAAUGGACUUUUCUUCCAUAGAAGAGUUAGUCUCAUCAAAAGUUACAUGAACAAAAUCUUCCAUGGCUAAAGUUCUCUUAUUAAAAAUUCUAAAAGCUUUGCUUGUAAGAGAAUAGACUAGAAAAAUUCUUUCAUACACUUUUGCAUCAAACUUACCCAAGUUAUAAUUACCAUUAUUUAGCACAAAAAAUCUACAACCAAACAUAUGAAAGUGAGAAAUAUUUGGUUUUCUACCUUUCAAGAGCUCAUAGGGGGUUUUCUUUAGAAUUGGUCUUAUAAGAACUCGAUUGGAGACAUAAUAAGUCGUACUAACUGCAUCAGCCCAAAAGUACUUUGGGAGAUUAGUUUCAUUUAAUAUGGUAUGAGAAAGUUCCUCCAAAGACCUAUUCUUUCUCUUUACAAGACCAUUUAGUUGAGGAGUUCUAGGAGAAGAGAAAUUGUGAGUGAUACCAAUAUCAUCAUAGAAUUCCUCAAAACAAGCAUUUUGAAAUUCUUCCAUGAUCACUUCUUAUAGCAACAAUUUUCAAGGAUUUUUCAUUUUGAACUCUUUUAACAUAUUUGUUAAAGGAAUUGAAUGCCUCAUUGUUGCGUACCAAGAAUAGAGUCAAUGUGUAUCUUGAAAAAUCAUCUACUAUCAUAAGAGUAUAGUAGUAACCACCAAAAUGUUUUGUCCAAGAGGGACCAAAUAAGUCCAUAUGUAGUAACCGCAAUGGUCUAUCAGAAGAAACUAUAUGCUUUGGUAUGAAAUAAGUCUUUUUUUGUUUACCCUUUUGUCAAACACUACAUAGUUUAUCUUUAACAAACUUCAUGUUAGGUAAACCAACAACUAAAUCUUUCUUGAUUAGUUUACUCAAAUGAUCCAUAUGAAUAUGAGAAAUUCUCCUAUUCCAUAGCCAUGAGUCAUGUUCAUUAAUAGCUAAGCAUUUAAUGGGAAGAAAAUAGUUAUUUAAAGCAAUCAUAUAGAUAUUAUUAAUUCUCUUACGAAUAAGUUUAGAGUUUCCGGAUACCUUGUUGUUUUGUUCAAUUGAUUUGUUAUUCUUUGACAAUAAACUUAAGACUUUUAUCAUUGAUAAUUCUUCAAAAGAAAUCAAUAAUUUGUCAUAGAAGUUGGUUGAAAGUGGAAGACACGGUAUUUACCCAUUAGUUUAUAUUCUUCUGAAACUAGCAAUGACUUUGCCUGUGGUCAUGGCAACUAUAGAAAGAGCUUUUUCACCUAUGAAGAUUGCAUAAAUUAGGUUGCAUAAUUUAAUGGUAGAUGCAUCGAUAAAUAAUUGUCUACUAACUUAUAUUGAGCGAGAUGUGUUCAACAACAUUAACAGUGGGUUGAUCAUUCAAUGAUUUUAAAAUAUGAAGUCACAUAGAUAUCAAUUAUGAAGUAUUUAAUUUAUUUGAUUAGCUAUAUUUAAAUUUUGUGAUUUUGACAUCAAUAUUUUAUCCUUUAAUACAUAAUGAUAUUUAUUAUUUUAAUUUUUAACAUAUGUUGUACACCCUAUUAUCGGGUCUUGGCUCUGUUACUAGGUUGAUAGUAGAUAAAAACUCAUUUAGCUUUGAUAUAACUAAAUCUAACUUUUGAACUUUAUGUCCUACUAAAAUAUAUUGUUGUGUGUCAAUAUAUUAUGCACAUGCUUUUUAUUGUCGAAAAUAUCAUUAAUUCUCUAAUUUUUUAUAGUAUAUACAUGAUUAACUAUAUAUGUACAUAUAUUAUUUUAUAUGUCAAAUUACAUAUCCAUACUAAUAAGUAAUAAUGAGAAUACUUUAUCUAAACUAAGUACGUAUUAUAUUUAAUUGGGUCUAGGACUGGGUCCAGGUCCAAAGGCUGACUUGAUUGACAUUUAGGGUCGGAUUAUCUUCGGGUCUAGAGUCGGGUCCGAAUUCAAAAAAUGAAUCGACCAACAUUUAGGACCGGACAAUGGACAAACCUUUACCCGUGGUUACAUAUAAAGAUUGACACUUAAUCAGAAAUAAUAAUAGGAACAUGGGUUCAUACACUAGUUAUACAUAAUUUUCAACAUUUUAUGGAGACAAUUUCAGGCAUAAGAAAACAAAACUUCUCUUAUAGUAAAGACGCAUUUAUUUCUCUAUUCUCUCCCCUACUCCUUGACUUUCUGAGUAGGGAUGACAAUGAAAAAUGAACUCAUAGGUAUCCGUCCAAACCCAACCUGAAUUUAAUAGGUUAAACCUCUUGUUAUUGGGUUUAGGUUCGAGUUCGGGUUUUAGCCGAUAUUAAUUUUCAGGUUCGAGUUUGGUAUAUGUGGUACCCUACCCUGAACCAGUCCCAAUUAAUAAAUUGAAUAAAUUAAUAUUUUAAUAUAUCUUUUUCUAAUCCUAGUUUUGUAUUAAAAUUAGAAACAAAGAGAAGUGAGGAACGACAAAGAGAAGUUCCAAUAGGGAACCAUCUUCUAACCCUACUCCAUUUGUUUUCGUCUUCCUGUCUUCCUCUUUUCUGAAGGCAAAGGAAAAACCAUCUUGAUAUUCUCCAUUCGUCUUCCUCUUCUCAGGUAGCCUUUUUUUUUCCUCUUCUCCGAUAAAUCUUUGUCCUUUAUUUCCCCAUUGGUUCAAAAUUAGAGAUUUUGAUUCUUUCUUCUGGAUUUAGAUAACGAUUUAUGAUUUGGGUCUUAAACUUAACCAAUUUCCUGGAAACUAUAGAGAUAUGUUUAUGUGAUUUUGCUACUUUUCUUCAUAUUAUGAUAUUAGUCAUGGUGAAUGGUUGUUUUCUUCUUUUUUAUUUGUGAAUAAAACUGAAGUCUUAGUGAUAAUUUGAUUUUUUUUACCUUUGUUGUUUGGCUAAUGGUACUUAAUUUGUUUGCUGCUGAUGAUUAGAUUUUACUCAUAGGAAAAAGUUAAGAGCUAGUUAUUAAGCUUGAUAAUCUGAUUUGAGUGGAAAAAUGUGAUUCUCAUUCAUUAAUUAAGCGUUUGCAUUUAGAUGAUAAUAGGCCAUAUGUAGUAUUAGCUUAGUUAACUUUGGAAGUUUUCCUCAGAAUUAUAUUAGAAUUUAUUUUGAGAAGAGGCAACAACUAAAUACAUGAAAGAAGAUAUAGAAACUCGAGUAGUAUUAUUUUGAGAACCAAUGUAUGCUAAAGUUGAAAGGCUUUAGAUGCCGAUAUUCCCAUCUAUUUAUGUGUAAGUUGUGAGUAUUGAGUAGCUAUAUUGAUUUUCUUUUAUUCACUGAUUACUCAUAAUAUUAAGAUAAAAAUUGUGGAUAUGUAAAGCCAUGAUUGAGGUAUGAUUAAGAUAAAUCUGACGUCAAGAACAAAUGGGUUAAUGUGAGAAAUAAAUUGGUGAAAAGGAUGAAUGAAUUGCAAGUCUGUGGUCUAUGUAUGCAGUUAAGGGUGGAAACAGACCAGGCUAGGCCAGGCUUUGCCUUAAACAUACCCAACCUAUAUAGCAUAUAGGAGCCUGAGCCUGGCCUGUUAGCUUGUUUAAAAAAAAAAUUCAAAGCCUGAGUCUGGUCUGUUUAAAAGCCUGGUCUGACCUGUUAGUCUGUUUAAAGGCCUAUUAUACUAUAUAGUCAUGAAAUAGGCUACUAUGUCUACAUUUAAAUGGGUUUAUAGGCCUACUUUUAGUUAGGCCCAUCUAAUUCUAAUAAUUAAAUUAUAUUUUUGUAUACAUUUUUAUAUUAAUAUUACAUAUAUAAUAAUAUUAUUUAUAUUAAAAUAGUAUAAAUUCAACAUUCAUAUAUAAUAUAACUAAAUAGGCCGGCCUGUUAGGCUUAAUAUGCCUUUUAGGUGGCCUAAAGCCUGGCCUAUUAAGCUAAAUAGGCUUUUUAGAAAGCCUGAGCCUGAUCUGUUAAUGAAAAAAGCCUGGCCUGGCCUAGCCUAUUAUAGGCCAGGUAAUAGGCCCCUGAUAGGCGGCCUGGCCUGUUUACACAUAUGAAGUGUACUUUGUUGUAUGGUUUUGUCUAUCUUUGUCGAAAUCAAUGUAGAACAUGCAUUUAUUGGAGAAUUGUCAUCUUCAAUCUUAAAUUGUACCAAUCAAACAUGGUAGCUUAUAUAUAAUGGCAAUGCACUUUUCACUUAAUCAAUCUUCAUCUAUAAAUAAAUGAGUUUGGUCAUUAAUACUCUAUGACAAGUUCAUGUUUGUCAUAUCCGUGCAGUUAGAGAAUCAAUCAUCAAUCCCCUAAUUCUUGGAUCCUAUGAUCAAGGACGAACAUGAGUAUAAUGUUAUGAAUAAGUCAAUCCCUAUAGUUAAGCUAUUAUGUGAUCAUACUACCUUAAUGUAAUCAAUAUUAUUAGUCAUUGUAAUCCUCAUAGGAUCAUUGCUAUAAGUAUCAUGAUUAUAGGAUCAACACCUGUUGUUAUUGUUGUAUAUAUUCAUGUACUCGUCUAUGUAACAAAACACAGAAGCUAAUAUACAAUCUUCAUUUUUCUAACUUGGCAUCAGAGCACUUAAGCCUUGAAGGCUCUUGAUCCAAAAAACAAACCAUGUCAUCUGCUACCUACCACAAAAAUGAUCUUCCGUCCAGUGUAUCUGUCAAGCUGGACCAAGACAACUUUCCACUAUGGAAAUCACUGGUGUUACCUCUCAUUAGAGGUGCCAGACUCGAUGGCUACAUGCUAGGGAAAAAGGAGUGCCUUGAAGAAUUCAUCACUACUGUAGAUUCAAGCAGAAGUUCCAAUUCUGACUUUGAAGAAUGGCAAGCAUAUGAUCAACAACUCCUUGGUUGGUUGAUAAAUUCAAUGGUUGCUGACAUAGCAACACAAUUAUUACACUGUGAAAUAUCAAAACAACUUUGAGACGAAGCUCAAAGUUUAGCCGAUGCUCACACAAGGUCACGAGUUACUUACCUCAAAUCUGAGUUCCAUAGCACCAGAAAAGGAGGCAUGAAAAUGGAAGAUUAUCUAAUCAAAAUGAAGAAUUUGGCUGAUAAACUUAAACUUGCAGGCAAUCAUAUCUCAAAUUCUGAUCCAAUCAUUCGAACUCUGAAUGGUUUGGACUCUGAAUAUAAUCAUGUAGUUGUUAAACUAUCUAAUCAAUACAUUCAGUUGGGUCGAUCUACAUGCUCAAUUGCUAACCUUUGAAAGUAGAAUUGAGCAGCUAAACAACCUCCCCAACCUAACCCUCAAUGCAAUAUCAAAUGUUGUUAACAAAGUUGAUAAACUUAAACUUGCAGGCAAUCAUAUCUCAAAUUCUGAUCCAAUGAUUCGAACUCUGAAUGGUUUGGACUCUGAAUAUAAUCAUGUAGUUGUUAAACUAUCUAAUCAAUACAUUCAGUUGGGUCGAUCUACAUGCUCAAUUGCUAACCUUUGAAAGUAGAAUUGAGCAGCUAAACAACCUCCCCAACCUAACCCUCAAUGCAAUAUCAAAUGUUGUUAACAAAGUUGAUCACAAGGGCAAUAGGUUCAAUACAAACAAUUUCAGAGGUUGGAGAGGAGGCAGAGGAAGAGUUAGAACAUCUAAGCCAACAUGUCAGGUCUGUAACAAGAUUGGACACACAACAAUGCACUACUACUACACGUUUGAUAAAGCCUACUCAAGCUCUAAUCGUUCAACAGAAAAUGACAAAGAAGAACCUCACGAUGCCUUCAUAGUUUCUCGAAACUCAAUUCAAGAUUAUGACUGGUACUUUGAUAGUGGUGUACGCAAUCAUGUAUUGCACCAAACUGAUAUGUUUCAAGAUCUAACGGAGCAUCAUGGUAAGAAUUCUCUAGUAGUUGGAAAUGGUGAAAAGUUAGAGAUUGUUGGAACAGGCUCCUCAAAACUAAAUUUAAUCAACUUACAUGAUGUUUUAUAUGUGCCUAAUAUUACCAAAAACCUAUUGAGUGUGUCUAAAUUAGCUACUGAUAAUAAUAUUGUUGUUGAGUUUGAUGCAAAAUCUUGUUUUGUGAAGGACAAGCUGACAGGGAAGGAUAUUCUAAAAGGGAGACUUAAGAAUGGCCUAUAUUAGCUCCCAGGAGUAGAAAGAGAUUCAUGUGCUUAUGUAUCUGUCCAGGAGGGCUGGCAUAGGAAACUUGGACACCCUAAUAAUAAAAUCUUAGACAAAGUCUUAAAAGACUAUAAUAUGAAAUUAUCACCUAGUGAUCAUCUCAGUUUUUGUGCGGCUUGUCAGUAUGGCAAGAUGAAUUUUUCACCUUUUUAAACCUCUUCCUCUCAUGCUCAGGAAAUCCACACUGAUGUAUGGGGUCCUGCACCAAUAAUAUCAUCAUAUCAUUUUAUAUAUUAUGUUCAUUUCAUUGAUGAUUUCACUAGGUCUACAUGGAUUUACCCUUUAAAACAAAAAUUAGAUAUUGCACAUGUCUUCAUUCAAUUAAAAAACAUGGUAGAAAAGCAGUUCAACAAAAAGGAUUAAAAUAAUUCAGUGUGGUGGUGGUGAAUAUAAAGUUGUUCAGAAGCAUGCUAUAGAAUCAAGAAUACAAUUCAGAAUGUCAUGUCCAUAUACAUCACAACAAAAUGGCAGGGCUGAAAGAAAACACAGGCACACUAUAGAACUUGGGUAGACACUAUUAGCACAAGCUAAAAUGCCUCUAAAUUACUGGUGGGAAGCAUUCUCCACUGCAACUUUCUUUAUAAACAGGUUGCCUUCACUAGUCACUCAAAAUAAAAUUCCUUAUUAUGUACUACAUAAAAAGGAACCUGAUUACAACAACUUGAAAACCUUUGGAUGUACCUGCUACCCUUGUCUCAUGCCUUACAAUCAACACAAGUUGCAGUUUCACACAACUAGAUGUGUGUUCUUGGGCUACACCAACUCUCCCAAAAGCUAUAAAUGUGUUAAUUCUCAUGGAAGAAUCUUCAUAUCAAGACAUGUAGUCUUCAAUGAAGAUCAUUUCUCAUUCCAUGAUGGCUUUCUUAAUACAAGAGUCCCUCCAAAAACAUUAAUUGAUAGUCCAUCUAUCCUUUUUCCACUGCAUGUUACAGGUACACCACUUAGAGAAGAUAUUGUUCCAGCUAACUACAACUCAAAUAUUGAACAAGAACCAAUUGAGAAAUCACAAGCUUCCAAUGAACAAGUUCAAGAUAAUGCUAUUGAACAUGCUGAACCAGACACAAUCACAGGCCCUACCAAACAAGUUCAAGAUAAUGAUACGAACCUGCUGAACAAGACACAAUCCCAGACCCUACUGAGGUAGGAACAAGCAACAACACUCACAGGAUGCGUACCAGGAGCAAAGAUGGGAUCCACAAGCCAAAGCUACCAUAUACCGGAUUAGCUGAAAAUUGUAUAGAAGAAAAUGAACCAGAAAAUGCAAAAGAAGCUCUCACAAGACCAUAGUGGAAAGAAGCCAUGCACAAGGAAAUUCAGGCACUAAUAAUAAAUCAGACUUGGACACUAGUACCCUAUCAAGACCAAGAAAGCAUCAUUGACUCCAAGUGAGUUUUCAAAACCAAAUACAAAGCAAAUGGCACAAUUGAAAGCAGAAAAGCCAGAUUAGUUGCAAAAGGAUUUCAACAAACAUCUGGAUUAGAUUAUGAAGAAACCUUCGGUCUUGAUGUCAAGGUCUUGAAAGAGUUUUCUCGCUUUCUUUAUUGAGCCAAGUUUCUAAUUAAUUUAUUUAAUGACAUGUUGAUUCUUUGCUCGCCAUCUCGGUUUUUUUGGAAUAAAUUCACACGCCGAUAUAAUGGUUUCAAGAAUGUUCCUUUAAUAAAAAACAUAGCUUUAUUGAAAUAUUAUCAUACCAUCUCGAUUUUGUUGGAUUAAUUCCCACGCCGGUAUAAUGGUAUGAAUAUAGCAUUUUAAUACAAGUGGUAAUGAGUAAUAUUUAUUUUUUUUUCCUUUAUUAAACAAAAAUACAUGACAGAAAGUAAAAGUUAGUAGUUAGAUCACUCAUUACGACUGUGUAUUUUUCAUUAUCAGAAAGAUACAAUUUAUGAAUUAAAUUGCACUUUGAUUCAAGGUUUCUUUCUUUGUCAACAAAUAAAAUUUAUAAGUUAACUCUUUACUAUUUUACAUUUGCAUAUCUUUCAAGAUUCAAUUCUAGUAUAGUAAUAGGGUUAUGUCAAAGCACAAAGAAUUGCCUAAUAGAUCAUUAUUAAACAUGUUAUAUUACUAAUAAUGUAUAAACAUCUUUUUAUUUGGUUUUGUUUAUGAAAUAUUAACAAGUAAGUAGACAUAACUAACUAAUAUGAACAAAUUCUUGAGGAGAAAAUUGGUUGGAAAUAUGGAAUUAUUUCGCUACUUAAUUCAUUUUGAAAACAUUACAAGUUAUGUGUUAUACUUUUGGUUAAUUCCACACCUCAUUUUUAAAUCCUUCAUCUAGUGUCCUAGACUGAUAAGAUGAUUUUCAAACCUUAUGUAAUGCACUAAAUAAUAAUUAAGUGUUACUCGUCUGAGUAGGUUGUCACACUCUACUUCAGGCUUCAUUAACUUUAUUUAGCCUUGAACAUAAGUUUCUUAAAAUAGAUGCUUGAUGUGGCAAAUGAACUAAGGUGUUGGUUAUACUUUUUAGUUCACUUAUCAACACUUUAAUAAGAAGCAUUUUUGGAUCUUUAAAUCAAGGUUUAGGUAAUCAAGCUAAAACCGCAUUAAGAACUUCAUAAAGAAUCAAAACUUUACCAAAAGUAAUAACUUGAAAUGAAUUGAAUUUCAAAAGAUGAUAAAUUAACAGAAGAAAUUACACCAUAAUCCAAGUCAAUUUGUUGGGGCAUGAGCCAUCUAUCUAAGGAUGAUAGGCUUUUUGGACAAAAAUGAGAUUACAAAAUUCUGUUUUUGUAUCUCAUUUGCCAUCUCCUUUCUCCUCUUGAAUGAAGAAAAAACUACAAAAUAAAAUUACCUAAACUACUUCGGAGUAGAAAUUCUCCAAGAAAAUUACAAGAAGAAGAAGAGAAGAAUUUGGUUUAGAGAGAGUGUGAGGAAUGGAAGUGUUUGCGAAUAUGAAUGAAUGAAUGUCUUUUGCCUUUGAGGUGCUUCCUAUUUAUAGGAGGUUCUACCAACGGCCAAGCUCCUCUCUUUGACUGUCAAGCUGCUGACCAAACCCUUCAGCAUGGGUUUGGUAAUGACCAAGCAGCUUAGUCACCUACUUUGGGCUGAGUCAUCCAAGUUAGUUGUGAGCUACUGGCCCAGUUAUUGUGAGCUACCUCUACAAAACAUAUGGAGGCUACAUGGAGUGAGGUCAUACAUGAGUUAAUGGUUGCUUGAUGGCUACAUCAACUUGACCAAGUUGUUGAGUGCACACCGCCAAGCUCUCAUAUGGCACCGCUAAGUUGUAUGCUUGAGCAGCUUUGACCAUGUUGAUGGUGAUGUGGCUUGGUGCUUGCUGAUCUGGUCAGGUGUGUGGUUCCAAGCUGGGCGAUCCACGUACUCCACUAAGCUGUCUGCUUGAGGAGGUUGGCUUGUGCCAGGCUUGUGUUCUGACCGUGCCAGGUUGGGUCUAACCAUGCUAGGUUGGUGUCCAAGUCAGCUAGACGUGGGCUUGGUCCAAGCUAAGCUACUUAAUGAGCAGCUUCAAGUUGACUCCAUAUUUUUCCAUAUAGGCCAAGUCUUGUUGAGUCAUGCUUAAGUCUAAGCACAUAGCUUGCCAUGUCAAACUUAAGCAUGUCAUUUGUGGAUCAUUUUGGCCUAUUUUAAGCAAUUUGCUUGUAUUUGAUUAAUUCUUCUCUUUUCUACCUAAAUCCUACAAAAUAUAAUACAAAAGAAAUAAACAAAGCAUAUAUACAAGAUUGUGAUAUCAAAUUCCCCCAACUUAACACUUUGUUUGUCCUCAAACAAGUUCAUCCAAAAUCAAAACUUUGCUAAUUUUUAAGAUAUGAUUAUCAUGAUCUAAAAUUUGCUUAAGCAUGAUCAAAAAAUGUUUUCAAUGAGAUUUUUCAUGAUUUGUGAAUUUUUUACACAUUAUGCUUCAAACAUGAAAUGUAUGCUUUUGUUCAUCAAAAGUGUGUAAGAAUUUACCUAAGCAAAUAUUUUUCAAUCAAAAAGUGUUUUUGCACACAAGUUCAAAAAUGAAACUUUAAAGGGGUAAGUGUUUCACUCAAUUUUUCAACCAUUUGAUUGUAGUAAUUUGAACUUGUUUUUUGUAUCACCUAUCCUCUUAAAUAGCAUAAACAAUCAAGGAUCACUAAGGUCUUGUUUUUUGUUGUAAUGAGGCUUGGUUAGAUUAUCAUGGUUUUUCUAGGUAAUGAGGUUAAGUUCAAGUAAAAAGAGAGCACUUUACUCUACUUUUUUUCAUAAUUUUAUUUUCCAACCUCUUAGCUUUUGAACAUUGGCUUUUCUUUGUCUUUCUCCUUUAAAAAUUAAUGCUCUCUUUUUAGAACAUUGUUUUCAAUUUCGGAUUUCAUGGGAUAAUUCGAAAAAUUGUUUUACUUUGUUUGUCUCAAAGAGGCUUAUCAAAGGAUAAUCCUAAUUUUUUGGUUAGACAUUUUGGCCAUUUGGUUCAACUAAAAAUUAACAUGCCUUGAUCAGUUCCUAUAAAUCUUAUGCAAUUAAGAGAUUUAAAGACUCAAACAAGUUUAAUUAGACAAAUUAAAUGGUGAUUUAACUUUUAUCCUCACAUGUUUGGCUCACUCCUUCAUGAAAGUGAAGUGCAUCAUUGGAUAUUGAUCUAUGUUUUGAUGAAGACAAACAUGAAGACCAACAUGAAGACAAGCUUGAAGAUCAUUCAAAAAACAACAUGCCGAUGACGCAAGUGGUGACUAAUUAGACUUAGGUUAUAAUUGUUUAUUAUCUUUUUAGAAGUCUAAGAUGCUUGCCAUAGAUAUUGAAUCUAGGUUAGGUAAACCUAGGUGUGAGUCUCACAAGACUUAUUAAAGUAAUUUAUCCACUAAAAUGAUAUAUCAUAUAGAAAUAUAUGAUAAUUAGGUUCAUGCAUUUGAAUACAUUGAUUUUGUGCAUUAAAGGUAUUACAUUUGGAAAUCAUGUAUUGCAUGAGCAUAUAUCACAUAGGUAGUUCACCAUGCAUUAACAAGUUGAUUUUACACUGUUUAAUGGAUUAUGAAUUCUGUCAAUCCAUUAACAGACACUGUUUAAUCGGCUAUGAAUAGUGUUAAUCGAUUAACAGAAUCACAGUUUCAACAGAAAAUUGAAAAACUGAAAACAAUUAUUAUCAACAACUCGUUAAUCGAUUAAAUGGGUACUUAAUCGAUUAACUGGGACUUUAGACAGUUUUCUAUUUAACCUGAAAUCUCAGAAAAUGAGGCAUAAGAAUCCAUACAUUUUUACAUCAUUUUCUCUGCAUAUUUUCGAGUUACUCAUUGUCGUAUCUAGGAGAAAAUAUUGCAUGUUGCAUUAGGAGAAACAUUAGAUCAUGCUAAGGCUUUAAGUUUCAUAUUCAUAUUGAAUGUUCUUUGAAAAUCUUUCUUGCAUCAUUCUUGUGUUUCUUGGAAAUAAAAGAGAUAGUUUUUAAUAAUUGCAUAAUUUUAGAAACCUCGUGCAUGUACAUUCAUAUUAGACUAGGAAUUCAUGUGAGUUCUUGCUUAGGUUUUAGUAUUUGAUCUUUAUUGUUAAAUUCGAGUAUUAAGUACUCAUUCAUAACUUAAAGCAUUGUAAUUCAAGGAUUAGGAAAAUCCUAGCUGCGGUUAGUUAAGGUGUUCUUCACAAAGAUUUGGAGGUCUUGGGAUAAACAACGAUACCUUGGCUGGUGCCGAAUCGCGGUAAGAAAGGUUUUCUUGGGAGGCGAUUUCACAAAAGGUCAAACCAAGGGUGACGAAGUUCUUUGGGUUCCAAGAAAGGAGCAUUUGACUCUUGUAAUUGGAAGCGUGUUUUAACGAUACAUUGUGUUCUAUAGUGAAGAAGAAAAUCUCCCAAGAUCAGAAGGGGAGGCCUGAAUGUAGUUUUACAGUGGACCGCAAAACGAACCAGGAUAAAAUCCUUGCACAAUCUUUUCUAUCCCUUUCUCUUUUACAUUUCAAGUUGUAAUAUUGCAUGAUAUAACAUGAUAAUUUUUAUACUGGUUUUGUGCUAUAACUAGUUUAAUUUUGUGUAAAAAUAUAUGUUAUACCAUUGCCUCAUUUUCUAGUAACCUGCCAUGCAAGAGAGCUGUUAAAUGAGAUUUUCUGAUUUUCUGUUUUUACUGUGUUUAAUCGAUUAUGAACAAUGCUUAAUCGAUUAACUGGGCAUUUUUCAGCAAGUGUGUAAAAAAACCAAAAAGCGGAACUUGAGCUCCGCUACAUCUAUUCAACCCCCCCUUCUAGGUGUGCUCUGUCCACUGAUACCUAACACCUCACUUGCUUUGGAUUUACACUUCUUGAUUUUAAAAAAAAUGUUUGCAAAGAUCAUCUUACACAAAUUUAAUUUCCAUUUGCGAAACAUUUCAAGUUAUGACAUUAUGUGAUGUUUUCACAAAAAGUUUAGCACAUAUCUCAUUUUGCUCAAUCAAAGCUUAAGUCAAGAUAUGCUGAGCAAUUUCUAAUCAUGUAAUCAUGUCACAAUUUUUUUUCAUCUAGCCACUUUGAUUCCGGUUUUGAAUUUAUUUUGAGUUUUAAGAACAAUCAAAUUAUUUUUUAAAUAACUAUACAAUCUUAUAUACACUAUUAACUUUCUUUUAAAAAAAUUCAUAUGCAUUAAAUUAUGUUCCCCCUCUUUAAAUGAUGGAUUGUCCUCAAGCUAAUGGAAAUAUUGGUUUUAAAGAGAUAUUUGAUGCAUAUGAAAUUUUUUAAAAGAAAAAUAACAUAUUACUAAACACAAACUUAAUUAAACAUAAAUUAAAAAGAAAUUCAAAAACUAACCAACUAUUGAGUUGCCUCCCAGCAAGCGCUCGUUUAACGUCAAUAGUUUGACACCUGUUCUAGCUGUAGAGGUUAUUCUGAUGCAAUUUCGAUGAUGGAGCCUAAGUCAUUGCCCAAGUAUGGUUUUAACCUUUACCCAUUCACUGUCCAAGUCGUUUGAGGCUUUGGAUCUUCUAAUUCAACUGCUCCAUAUUUUUUAACAUUUUUUAUUACAAAUGGCCCGGACCAUAUGGUCUUCAAUUUUCCCAGAAGCAAUUUUAAUCUUGAAUCAAAUAAGAGUACCUUAUGACCUUUAUAGAAAUAUUUUCUUAGGAUUUUGGAGUCAUGACACUUUUUAGCCUUUUCUUUAUACAAUCUUGAAGAUUUAUAGGCUUGGAACCUCAUUUCCUCUAAUUGGUGUAAUUGUUUCCUUCGUUUUGUUCCUCCAUCUUUCAAGUCAAAAUUUACAAACUUAAGUGCCUAAUAGGCUUUAUGCUUCAAUUCAACUGGUAAAUGACAAGCUUUGUCAUAAAUUAGUUGGAAUGGAGUUUGGCCUAUUGGUGAUUUAAAUGCAGUUCUAUAUGCCCUUAAAGUAUCAUCCAACUUAUAUGACCAAUCUUUCCUUGAGGAAGAGACUAUUUUUUUUUCUAAAAUUCUUUCUAAUUCUAUGUUGGAUACUUUUGCCAGCCCAUUGUUUUGUGAGUGAUAAGGUGCUGCUACCUUAUGUUUAACAUUAUCAAAUUCCAAAACCUUGUGUAAUUUGGAGUUUACAAAAUGAGAUCCUCCAUCACUUAUGAGUACUCUUGCGGGUAAAAAAAAUUUAUAAUUGUUUUUCCAUCUGCUUCUGGUGUUGCUAAUGCUUCUACCUAUCUAGAAACAUAGUCAUCAACGACCAAGAUAUAUUCAUUUGAAAAUGAUGAUGGGAAAGAACCCAUGAAAUCAAUGCCCUAAUAAUCAAAAAUUUCUAUUUCCAAAAUAUUUUGCAAGGGCAUUUCAUUUCUUUUUCCAAUUCCUCGAGAUCUUUGGCAUGCAUCACAUUUUUGAACAAAAUUUUUGGCAUCUUUAAAAAUAGGGAGCUAGAAAAAACCAGACUAGAGAACUUUUGUAGCUGUUCUUUCUCCAUUGUAGUUUCCACUAUAAGCAGAAUUAUGCAAGUGCCAUAAAAUUUUCUGAGCCUCCUUUGAAUCAACACACCUUCGAAUUAUGUUGUCAGUUCCUUCUUUGAAUAAGUAUGGCUCGUCCCAAACGUAAUGGUUGACAUCCUUGAGAAAAUUCUAUUUUUGCUGAUAGUUGAAAUGAUCAUGAAUAAUUCUUGAGGCUUUGUAGUUGGCUAUAUCAGCAAACCAUGGUCUUUCUUGAAGGAUAAAUAGCUUUUCAUCAGGAAAUGCUUCAGCUAUUUCUCUCUCUCCUUUCAUGACUUCUUCAUUGAUUAAUCGUGACAAAUGAUUGGCCACGAGAUUAUCUUUUUCGUUUUGUUACAGAUUUCCAAGUUAAAUUCCUAUAAAAGUAGCACCCAUCGUAUUAACUGUAGCUUGAACUCAAGUUUCUUUAAGAGGUAUUUGAUUGCGGCAUGAUCAGUAAAAACAAUAUUUUGGCCUCAAUCAAAUAACGUCUAAAUUUUUCCAAUGCGAAUACAAUAGUUAGCAAUUAUUUUUCUAUUGUGACGUAGUUAACUUGUGCCUCAUUUAAAACUUUGCUGACAUAAUGUAUUACAUGAAACACAUUCUCCCUCCUCUGUCCUAAAACUGCACCAACUGCGUAAUCACUAGCGUCACACAUUAGUUCAAAAGUUUGGUGCAAUUAUAACAGGGGUUGUUACCAAGAAGUUUUUUCAAAGUUUUGAAUGCUUCUAAACAUGAUUCUUCAAAAUUAAAAGUAGAAUCUUUAAGGAAAAGAUUGCAAAGGGGUUUAUCGGUUUUGGAGAAGUAUUUGAUAAAGCAUUGGUAGAAUCCAACAUGUCCUAGAAAGCUUCUGAUCCCUCUAAGAAUUGUUGGUGGUGGAAUCUUCUCUAUGACUUCUACUUUUGCCUUAUCAACUUCUACCCCUUUUCUUGAAAUCUUGUGCCUCAAAAUAAUGCCUUUGGUGACCAUGAAAUGACAUUUUUCCCAAUUUAGUACCAGGUUGGUCUCAACACAUCUUUCAAAUACUGUCUCUAGGUUUUGUAGGCAUAAAUUGAAAAAAUCUCCAAAUACUGAAAAAUCAUCCAUGAAGACCUCGAUGCAUCUUUGCACCAAGUCAGCGAAAAUAGCCAGCAUGCAUCUUUAAAAAGUAGUUGGGGCAUUGCAUAAUUCAAAUGGCAUUUUUCUGUAUGCGUAGACACCAAAAAGGACAAGUAAAUGUCGUCUUUUCUUGAUAUUGUGGAUCUACAACAAUUUCGUUGUAUCCCGAAUAAUCAUCUAGGAAACAGUAGAAGGUCCAUCCUAAUAAUCUUUCCAGCAUCUUGUCCAUGAAGGACAGGAGAAAAUGGUCUUUUCUAGUGGUUGCAUUGAGUUUGCAGUAAUCUAUAUAUACCCUCCAACCAGUAACAGCUCUAGUUGGAAUGAGCUCGUUGUCGUCGUUUUGGAUUACCAUCAUUCAUCCUUUCUUCGGCACCACUUGAAAAGAACUUACCCAUUUUCUAUCUGAAAUGGGGUAAAUCAUUCCAGCUUCUAACAUUUUCACCACUUCCUUCCGAACAACUUCUUUCAUUGUCGGAUUGAGCCUCCUUUGUGGUUGAGCUACUGGUUAGAAAUUAUCCUCCAUCAUGAUGUUGUGCAUGCAAUAGGAUGGAUUGAUUCCUUUUAGAUCUUUCGAAGUCCAACCAAUCGCCUGUUGGUGCUUCUCCAAGACUUGUAUCAGCUUGUUUUCUUCCAAGGUGGAGAGCAAUUUGAUGGUGAUAACUAGUUUGUUGGAGUCACCUUUUAAAACUACAUACUUCAAAUGCGAUGGUAACUCCUUUAAUUCUAGUUCUGGUUCUUUUUUAUCAUCUCCACCUUGGUUAAUUUCAGGAGAAAUUUGAUUAUCAGAAAAGUUUCUGAUCAGUUGUUCUUUUUCUACAUCCUCGAGAUUAAGUUCUUGCAUCUCCCAAGAAUUAUUAGGUUGACGCUGUUCUGAGCAGAUUUCUUCAAGAAUAUCUAUCUGGAAACAUUGCCCUUUAUCUCUUUGGUGAUGCAUUGCUUUGAAAAUGUCAAACUGAAUUUCAUCAUUUUCUACUCGAACUAUCAGUUUGCUAUUUUCCAUGCCUAUCCCCAUUUUUUAUGUUCUCAUGAAUGGACGUCCCAGAAUGAGUGGGAUUUCCACAUCUUCGGAGAUGUCAAUUACAAAAAAAUCUACAUGGAGCGGGAGUUUAUCCAUUCUUACCAACACAUCUUCUGCAACUCCUUCCUGAUAUUUAAUGGAUCUUUCAGCUAGUUGUAAGGCUAUUCUGGUUGGUUUUAGUUGCAACCCUCCUAUUCUCCUCAUCAUUGAAAGUGGCAUUAGGCUAACACUUUCCCCGAGAUCGACAAGUGCUUUGCCUAUGGAAACUUCCCCAAUUGUGACUGGAAUAGUCACAGUUCUUGGAUCUUUCAGGUUAUGAGGGAUGUCAGUUUGAUGGAUUGCACUACAAGUCGUAUUGAGUUGGAUAACUUCUUCUCUUGAUGGCUCCUCUUCUUUAAUAGCAGUUCUUUCAUAAACUUAGAAUAGGUAGGCAUUUCUUCCAAGGCUUCGGAGAAUUGAAUACUGAUUUAUAACGAUUUUAUUAUUUCCAUAAACCGAGCAAACUGCUCUUCCUUCUUGGCUUUUGAUGGAGCUGUGGGGUAGGGUAUUUUUCUGAACUAGUGGGUAUUAUUUUCUUCCUUUUGUUCCCCACUAGUUUCAUGUACAUCUAAUUUUUUACGUACAUCUAAUUUUUCAAUAACCACUAGACGUUUUUGUUAGGUAUCAGUGGUUACAAUACACCUAGAAGGGGGGGGGGGUUGAAUAGGUGUCGCGGUUAGAACUACCGCUUUUCAAAAAUCAACACUUAAUGCUGAAUCAACCCUAUUUAAUCGAUUAAUGAAGGAAGAUAAUCGAUUAUUUGAACAAUCUUAAUCGAUUAACAAAAAGACAGUUGUAAUCAAUUAACAGAAACAAUUUUAAUCGAUUAACAAAAACAGGAUAAUCGAUUAACACAACAAUAUUAAUCGAUUAAACAGAAGCAGUAAGCAAUUACAGAAACGAUUAAAUGCAGAACAGUUAACCGAUAAUAGAACGAAUACAGAGCUUACAGAUUUGUAUAUUAGAAUAGCAUCCAGUACAGCAAAUGAACAAAAUGUAUCAAUUGAAUUCAAUAUACAAAUUAAUCGAUUGAAAACAGUAAAGAGAGAGAGAGAAAACAAAACCUGCAACGCGAAUUUUUAUCCUGGUUCGUUUGCUGUCCACUGCAAACUACAUCCAGGCCUCCCGGCUGACUUGGGAGAUUUCCUUCACUAUAAUCGAAUCAAUGUAAUUUACAAACACAUUAUCCAAUUACAACACUUAGCAAAUGACAAGAAAUCAAAGAAACUAUCCAAUGGUUUGACUCCCUUCCUACCGAUAAAGAAAACGUUUCUUUCGGCGUAGCCCCAGCCAAAGAAUCUCUCGUUCUUUCCUUUUCUUACACUCUAAGCUAUGAAGAAACACACAAUCUCUACUGGUGAUACGACACCAAGAGAUUCCCUUUACAACAAUUUAUUCAAGAAUUACAAGAGUAAAAUUAAGCUAUACCUAAGCUCAAAUACAACAAGAAGGCUUUACUCUAAUGCACAUCUAACACAAACUCAUGUGAAAUGACAAGUAUUAGUUAUGAAAACAGAAGUUACAGAAUCAUAAACUUCAUGAAAAACGCAUCAAAAUAUGCAUGAACAUGUGAGGGAAAACAUGAGAAAUUAUAACAUGAAAUGCACUCAAUCCUAAAGCAAGGAAUCUCUCAUUUCUAAACUCACUAAUGCACUUAACAAAUAGAUGCAACAAUUAACACGUAGAAUGCUCUAACUCUCUAAUAAAUGCAACAUGCAACUUAUGAGAUUAAUUCUGAAAACGCAGUUUAUAAAGAAUCAGUCCAGAACCCCAGAUAAUCGAUUAAAUACCUUCUUAAUCGAUUAACGGGACUAAAAAUCAUAACUGAUUCUGUUUUUCAGUUUUUCAGUUUCAACAACUUAAAAAUCAGUUAGGUUAAUCGAUUAACGUAAACCUUUAAUCGAUUAACUGCAUUACAAAAACGUGUUCCAGUGGCAACCACUUUACACAGCAGUUGGGUUAAUCGAUUAAAGGUAUGGUUAAUCGAUUAACACUAAAUAAAAUAUGUAUUUUCAAAUAGAAAACAUCAAAUAUGUUAUGCACUUAGAUAAUACAUGUUUGACACUUAGUUUUAUGCCUAGAAUGCAUAUAUACAUGUAUUUAUGUAAUGCAUGAACAUAUUAUCAAAUGAACAUAUCUCAUGGAUGAAAUGAUUUAAAAGAUAAAUGCAUGUGAGACAUGUAUUAGGUGCCCUAAGCCUUCGACUCAACUUAAACUAGAAUCUAGUCUAAGCCUAGUACCAAAUAAAAGACUCAAGCACGUUGGAUUGUUGGUUAUCUUCAAGCACUUUUAGGCACACGUUGUCCUCAUCAAAACCAUGACGUUCAAGGAGAGCUUUCCAAAGUGUUCCUCUUGACAUGCACACUUUCAAUCUCCCCCUUUUUGAUGAUGACAAACUCUACAUCAAGUUCAUCAAUUUUAAAGUAACAAUUGCUUGAUGAAUAAGCUUGAAGAUUGUGUUGGCAAGGUUGAUGGAAUGCGCACAUUUAUCGGAAGCUGUUAUAACGAUCAACCUGCACAAUUGAGAAGCAACAAAACAACCUUUCUCCCCCUUUUGACAUUAAUCAUAAAACAAAGUUAAUGAAUUAAUUUGGGUUUUAACAAAUUAACUUGUUUCAUUUUUCGGUAUAUUGAACAAAUGCGCUUGAUUUGACAAAAAAAUAGCUAAUAGGAAAUGAGAAUGGCAUAAAAGAUUGAAUCAAAUAUUAAGCAAUGUUAGCAACAUCAAAUCUUAAAUGAUCAAGACCCAUUCACUAAGGCAAAUAAGCUAUUUUGACAUAAUUAUAGCAAAAACAAAAACAUUUGCAUAGCAUAAAGAGUAAAGAAAGUCAUGAAAUAGUACAGGCCAUAAAGUCAAAUAAAAGACAAAUAGCAAAAUACGAAUCAGUUCUGAAAGCAACAACGAUAACUAAAUCCAGAAGGUGCCACAAGAUAAAAAUAAACCUAAGGAUAGGAUAACCUAGGUCUAAGGUCAGCUAAACUAAGGUUGAGGCGGAGGAUAGUCAGGCUGAUCAUCAGGCACAGUAGUGUUCUGAUUUCCCUGGAUAAGCACAGACAGCUUCUGAAAUUCUGAGCAGAACAUGGCAUUCUGAGCCUCAGCGGUAGAUUGAAUCACGUUCCUCAACUCCUGAAAUUUGUUUUCGGUGUAGGCAAUCUGACGUUCUUCAUAUUGCUCCAUGCCUGCAAAAUAAGAGUCCUUCAGCCCUUGGAAGUGCAGAUCCAUGCGGUUGUUAAGUCGUUGUUCCAUGGCUUCCAUCUGAGCUAAACCAAACACAGAGCUCUGAGGUGCUGUUCCAGACGACUCCCCCUGAUUAGUUGCAUUCUGAUUACCCAAAUCCUCCUGAUGCUCAUUAUCCGACAAGUCCAGAUCAAAGGUGGUAUAGUCCUCCUGAUACUGCCAUGUAGUACCAUACUUGUAAAUUCCCAUCUUAUGAAUGAGACUCUCACCCACCAAGUGAUCUUUAUCAGUGUACUCAGUAAUGAUGGUAUCAGAAAUGUCAAUGCGCAAAUAAUCAACAAUGCGGGAUAUGAAAAUGCUAUACGGGAGCAGCUUGGACUGAGACAAUGAAACGCUGUUCAUGAUUUUCAGAAUCUCCUCAGGCCAAUUGAUCAUCACGUUAUUCUUUACAGCGUACAUGAAACGCAAAUCAUUCACAGUAGGCUGUGCAUGAUUAGUGUUCCGCUGCACUAAUAUGUAAGCAAUAACAUAAUGCAAUAACCUGUUCUCAACAGAAAGUGACCCUGCCUUGGUCAGUUGACCCUGAAUAUACAGAUGAGGGCCCCGAAGGAAUGACUUGUACACAUCAACGGGAUCAAAAUUGUCCUUGACCCAAGAACAAUCCCCUAUUCCAAAACCAGACGAUGAUAAACCUCCAACAUUCAGAAACAAAUCAUUACUCAGCUCAAACUGACUACCAGAAAUUAUUGACCAAUACUUUCCAUCCUUGUAUCUAAAAUUAGCGUAAAACUCCCUAACUAGAGCAGGGUGGACACGUCCCUUUAAUUCCAAAAGCUGAACGGCUCCUUGAGCCUCCAUGUCAUGCGGAAAACUAAAGUUUUGUUCCGCUAACCAGGUUAAGUCGGCAUACCUGAUGUAUGUAGGCUUGCGGCCUUGAAAUUUUGCCAACCGGGUCUCUUGCAAAAUGAGGGAAUAAUAGGGGUCACCGCGGUCCCGAGUGGAGGGUGAGCCGGUUUCCCUUCUUCGAAUGCGCGUUGCUGUAGUCUUGACCCGCUUUGGACGACUCUGCUCCAUUGAAGAUGAUGAACUCGAAACUGAGAUUGAUGAACAGAGGGGCAAAGCCUAACCUAGGGUUUGGAUUGGAUGAUUCGGAAUUGAGUGGAUUUGGAUGAAAUAGAGCGAUUUCGGAAGGUUUGAGAGGUUUAGGAUGAGGUUUACUUAAUCCUAUUGCACCUGGAUUAGUAUUGUUGCUGUUUCAGAAAAUCAAGGCACAAAGAGGUUGCGAAAAUGUAAAAAAAAGUGCAAAACCGAGACACUGUUUGCCUUUAACGUACUGGUUUUAAUCGAUUAACGGGAUGGUUUAAUCGAUUAAAACAAUGUAAAAUUUGAAUUUUCAAAAACAAUUGCCCAAGUAAUCGAUUAACGGGCUGUUUAAUCGAUUAAUCGAUUAAAAUUUUAAAAAAUUUGAAUUUUCCAGAAAUGAAGCCUAGGUAAUCGAUUAACCAUUGGCAUAAUCGAUGAAAUCAGAGAAAAUUUUGUUUUUAGGCAGCAGAGUGGGGUCGAAGUUUCCACAAAUUCAAGAACACAGUCACCUUUUUGUACAUGGUCACGCAAAAAAUGAUGUCUAAUUUCUAUAUGCUUUGUUCUAGAAUGCAAAACGGGAUUCUUGGAUAGGUUAAUGGCACUUGUAUUAUCGCAUUUUAUUGGGAUCUUUUCAAGUUUAAGACCAAAGUCCUUAAGUUGCUGCUUCAUCCAAAGGAUUUGAGCGCAACACACACCAGCGGCAAUGUAUUCCGCUUCAGCGGUGGACAAAGCAACACAGGCUUGCUUCUUGCUGUGCCAUGCUACUAAUGAACUGCCCAAUAGGUGGCAAGUACCACUAGUGCUUUUCCGAUCCAACUUACAUCCGGCGAAAUCGGAAUCGGAAUAACCCACCAAGGAUAGUGAGGCAUCCCGAGGAUACCAUAAUCCCAUGUUAAUAGUUCCUUUUAGAUAUCUCAUGAUUCUUUUAACAGUUAUAUAGUGUGAUUCUCUAGGUGAUGAUUGAUAUCUCGCACACAUGCAUACACUGAACAUGAUAUCAGGUCUACUUGCAGUUAAGUAAAGUAAAGACCCAAUCAUACCACGAUACUUCGUUACCUCGAUUGCUUUUCCUUUCUCAUCUUUGUCUAAGUAGCAAGCAGAUGCCAUAGGUGUGGAAGCUUCCUUACAUUUGUCCAUUUCAAAUUUCUUGAGUAGCUCUUUGCAGUAUUUCGCCUGAUGGAUGAAUAUCCCACUUUCUAGCUGCUUUAUCUGCAAUCCUAGAAAGAAUGUGAGUUCUCCCAUCAUAGACAUUUCGAACUCCCCCUGCAUCAUCUCAGAAAAUUCUCUACACAAGAUAUCAUUAGUAGAUCCAAAUAUUAUGUCAUCUACAUAGAUUUGUACAAGCAGAACAUGAUUUUCUGAUUUUCUAAUAAAAAGCGUUGUGUCAACCAAGCCUCUCUCGAACCCUUUUUCUAAAAGAAAGGUACUAAGUCUGUCAUACCAAGCUCUAGGAGCUUGUUUGAGACCAUAUAGUGCCUUUUUAAGUUUGUAAACAUGGUUCGGAUAUUUAAAAUUUUCAAAACCAGGCGGUUGGUCAACAUAAACUUCUUCUUGAAUGUAUCCAUUCAGGAAGGCGCUUUUUACAUCCAUUUGAAAGAGUUUGAAGUUCAUUAAAGAUGCAAAGGAAAGAAGCAUUCUGAUGGCCUCUAGUCUGGCUACAGGAGCGUAGGUUUCGUCAUAAUCGAUACCCUCCUCCUGGUUGUAGCCUUUGGCCACCAAACGUGCUUUAUUUCGAAUUAUUAAGCCAGAUUCAUCAAGUUUAUUUCUGAAGACCCAUCGAGUACCAAUUACGGGAUGAUCAUUAGGUUUGGGGACCAAGUCCCACACAUGAUUGCGCUCAAACUGGUUUAGCUCUUCUUGCAUAGCUAUACCCCAGUGUACAUCCUCAAUGGCCUCAUCAACGGUCUUAGGCUCAAUUUGCGAUACAAAAGCUACAAAAUUACAGAAAUUUCGUAAGGAACUACGGGUUACCACUCCCGUAGAUAUGUCACCUAUAACUUUAUCAAUUGGGUGAGCUUUCUUUGUUUUCCACACGGUAGGCAUGUCUGAGUGCUCUUGAGGUUCGAUUUGACCUUCAUCAUUGGCUCCUUUUUCAUUAUCCAUGUCCUUGGAGUAUGCUUCUUCCAAAGCACCUGCAACAUCAUCAGAAACGACCUUUCUCUUCUCUUUUGGAGAAGAUUCGUCAAACUGUACAUGGAUAGACUCUUCAACUUGCAUUAAAUAUUUGUUAAAGACUCUGAACGCUUUGCUAUGAAUCGAGUAUCCCAAAAAUAUUCCCUCAUCGGCUUUAGAGUCGAAUUUCCCUAAGGCCCGCUUUCCAUUAUUUAAUAUAAAACAUUUGCAACCGAAAGCGUGAAGAUGGGAUAUAUUUGGUUUGCGGCCUUUUAAAAGUUCAUAAGGAGUUUUGUUCAAGUUUGGCCUUAAGAGUACUCGAUUUAUAACAUAGCAUGCAGUAUGAACUGCAUCAGCCCAGAAGUACUUGGGGGUAUUACUUUCGUUAAGCAUGGUUCUCGCUAAUUCUUCUAAAACACGAUUUUUCCUCUCUACAACUCCAUUUUGUUGUGGAGUGCGAGGAGCAGAGAACUGAUGCAAAAUGCCAUGCUUAUCACAGAAUUUGUCGAACUGAAAGUUCUCAAAUUCUCCCCCGUGAUCACUUCGUAUAUAUAUUAUUUUUAGGUUAAGUUGGUUUUGGAUUUGCUUGGCAAGAUUUUUAAAAUUUUUGAACGCGUCGCUUUUUGAUGAUAAAAACAAUGUCCAUGUAAAUCUAGAGAAAUCAUCAACAAUAACUAGAGCGUAGUAACUACCACCAAAACUCAUGAUUUGUGAUGGUCCAAACAAGUCCAUAUGGAGUAGCUCCAAAGGUCUUGAGGUGGAUAUCACAUUUUUAUUUUUAAAAGAGUUUUUGGUUUGUUUACACUUUUGACAAGUGUCACAAAUUUCUUUAGUUUUAAAAUUCAAUUUUGGUAGCCCCUCAACUAGUUCGUUUGAUGAUAAUUUAUCUAGAUGCUUUAUAUGGAUAUGUGCAACACGUCUAUGCCAUAGCCAGAUGUCAUCUUCUUUAGAAAUAAGGCAUUUUGAAAAUAAUGUAGUGACAUCGUCCAAAUUAACCAUGUAAAUAUUAUUUAUACGGUGACCAACAAAUUUAACGUUAUUAGAUAAAAUAUCACGAAUGACACAACAAUCAGAAUCGAAGGAUACACGAUUACCUUUAUCGCAGAGUUGGCUUAUACUCAACAAGUUAUGUUCUAGUCCUUCAACAUAAAGGACAUUAUCAAUCAGAGUUUGGGAUGAGUUACCAACUGUUCCUGUGCCGAGUAUCUUUCCCUUGUUGUUGUCUCCAUAAGUGACGUAUCCUUUUCCUUUAAGUGAGAGAUCCAGGAAAUUUGAUCUAUCACCUGUCAUAUGCCUCGAACACCCACUAUCUAAGUACCAUUUUUGUCCAUGUGUUCGGAGACAUACCUGCAAAAUAGAUUACUUACUUUUCUCAGGUACCCAAUUGGUGUUGGGUCCUUUUCUGUUAGUGAUUAGGGAAUUAUCUCCCUUCUUUUUCCAUACAUAAACUCCGCUAGGUAUACCAUACUUUUUGAUAUAGCAUGAAUGAUAAGUAUGACCAUAUGUGUUACAAUAAAAACAAGUAGGAGAAUGCUUAUGAUAUUUGUUUUUAGCUUGAGCUACCGGUUUUCUAUAUGGUCGCUUCUUUUUAGCAGUGCGAGUAUAACCUAGACCAGUUCGAUCACCAACAUUUCUAGUUUGAUUAAGCAGGUUAUCUAAUUGCAGUUUACUGUUUGUGAGACGUGUGAGUUUUUCAUUUAGUUUAAAAUUGUCCUCUUGCAAAGUCUCGCAAGUCUCACAGACAGGUUUUUGACAUAAGUUACUAGCAGAGCAGUUACAUGAACUACAAGAAUAGAUGAGAUCUAAAGUUUCAUUUUCCAGUUUUAAUUCAUCUAAUUCUUUUUGUAAUUGGCUUAUUUUUUGUUCGUUUAUCAGGAUUAUUCUUUUCCUAUCAAUGUUAAUUCUAGCCAAUUUCUUUAAUUCAUCAUGCAACUCGACAUAAGCAUCAUACAAUACAUCAUAAGGAGGUGAAUCAUUCGAAGUGGAUGAGGUGUCAGAAUAUACCUCAUCAUUGCCCUUGCAUGAGUCUGAAUUUGUAUUGAUGUCAGAUCUGGCCAUCAGACACAGCUUUGCUGACUCCUCCUCACUAUAGGUGCUCGAUGUCGAUUCCUCCUCAGGUACAUCCCAAACGAUGUAAGCUUUCUUGGAUUUGAAGUCCCUGGGAGUGCUCUUCUCUGAAUCAACCUUCUUUAGGUAGGUUGGACACUGAAACCUCAUGUGCCCUACCUUUCCACACUCAUGGCAAGUGAAGCGAUCCUUGUUAUUCUUGCCUUUACUGGUUGACUCUUUCGCUUCCUUCUUUUGAAACUUUUUGAGUCCUCCUUUUCUUUUAAUGAAUUUGCUAAAUUUUCGGACUAGGAGACCCAUAGUUUCAUCAUCUAGAUCGGAAUCAGAUUCAUCAUCAAUUUUCUCUUCUUUGUCUUUGGAGGUCGUGGCCUUCAAAGUGAUGCUCUUCUUCUUCCGGUCUGAUUCUUCAUUCAUGGUCAAGCGACCCAACUCCAUUUCAUGCUCUUGAAGUUUUCCAAAUAAAGUAGCUAAAGGCAUAGAAUCUAAAUCUUUAGACUCAACAAUUGCAGUCACCUUUGGUUGCCAUCUCCUGUCAAGACAACGCAAAACUUUAUUAGUUAGUUCACCUCUAGCAAAUGAUUUAUCGAGAGCAACUAAAUGGUUGACAAUAUGAGUGAAUCGCUUUUGCAUAUCACAUAUUGAUUCGCUUGGUAACAUGCGAAACAACUCAUAUUCGUGGGUCAGCGCGUUCAGUCUUGCGCGCUUGACUUCGCUAGUGCCUUCGUGAGUCACUUGUAAAGUGUCCCACAUUUCUUUCGCAUUAUGGCACUGCGAGACCCUAAAGAAUUCAUCAUAUGAUAGGGCCGAUGUGAUGAUGUUUUUGGCGCGCAGGUUAUGCUGGACCUUUUUGCGCUCAUCAUCGGUCCAUAAACUUUUCGGUUUAUCUUUAGGUUGAUCGUCCACAAGAUGUUGUGGAACGUAAGGGCCGUUGACUACGGAUUCCCAAAUAUCCGAGUCUAUGGCCUCAAUAAAAAUUUGCAUGCGCACUUUCCAGUAGGCAUACCCUUCACCACUGAAUAUUGGUGGUCGAUUAAUGGAUGACCCAUCACCACCAAAUGGAUUUGAAGAACCCAUUCCUUUUCCCUUUAGGAUCACGAAUACGCGGUUGAGCUAGCACUUCGUACUAGCUCUGAUACCACUUGUUAGGUAUCAGUGGUUACAAUACACCUAGAAGGGGGGGGUUGAAUAGGUGUCGCGGUUAGAAUUACCGCUUUUCGCAAAUCAACACUUAAUGCUGAAUCAACCCUAUUUAAUCGAUUAAGGAGAAAAGGAUAAUCGAUUAUAAGCACAGUCUUAAUCGAUUAACACAAAAACAGUUUUAAAACAGAAACUAUUUUAAUCGAUUAAUAGAAACAGUAUAAUCGAUUAACACAGGAAUAUUAAUCGAUUAAACAGAACCAGUAAGCAAUUACAGAAACGAUUAAAUGCAGAACAGAUAACCGAUAACAGAACGAAUACAGAGCUUACAAAUUUGUAUAUCAGAAUAGCUUGCAGUACAACAAAUGAACAGAAUGUAUUAGUUGAAUCAGAUAUACAAAUUAAUCGAUUGAAAACAGUAAAGAGAGAGAGAGAAAACAAAUCCUGCAACGCGAAUUUUUAUCCUGGUUCGUUUGCUGUCCACUGCAAACUACAUCCAGGCCUCCCGGCUGACUUGGGAGAUUUCCUUCACUAUAAUCGAAUCAAUGUAAUUUACAAACACAUUAUCCAAUUACAACACUUAGCAAAUGACAAGAAAUCAAAGAAACUAUUCAAUGGUUUGACUCCCUUCCUACCGAUAAAGAAAACGUUUCUUUCGGCGUAGCCCCAGCCAAAGAAUCUCUCGUUCUUUCCUUUUCUUACACUCUAAGCUAUGAAGAAACACACAAUCUCUACUGGUGAUACGACACCAAGAGAUUCCCUUUACAACAAUUAUUCAAGAAUUACAAGAGUAAAAUUAAGCUAUUCCUAAGCUCAAAUACAACAUGAAGGCUUUACUCUAAUGCACAUCUAACACAAACUCAUGUGAAAUGACAAGUAUUAGUUAUGAAAACAGAAGUUACAGAAUCAUAAAACUUCAUGAAAAAUGCAUCAAAAUAUGCAUGAACAUGUGAGGGAAAACAUGAGAGAUUAUAACAUGAAAUGCACUCAAUCCUAAAGCAAGGAAUCUCUCAUUUCUAAACUCACUAAUGCACUUAACAAAUAGAUGCAACAAUUAACACGUAAAAUGCUCUAACUCUCUAAUAAAUGCAACAUGCAACUUAUGAGAUUAAUUCUGAAAACGCAGUUUAUAAAGAAUCAGUCCAGAACCCCAGAUAAUCGAUUAAAUGCCAUCUUAAUCGAUUAACGUGAUUUAAAAUUAUAACUGAUUCUGUUUUUCAGUUCCAACAACUUAACAAACAGUCAGGUUAAUCGAUUAACGUGAUGCCUUAAUCGAUUAACAGCAUUUAAAAACGUGUUCCAGUAGCAACCACUUUUCACAACAGUUGGGUUAAUCGUUGGGUUAAUCGAUUAAAUGAUUGGUUAAUCGAUUAACAGUAAUUAAAAUGUGUAUUUUUAAAUACAAAGCAUCAAAUACGUUAUGCACUUAGAUGAUACAUGUUUAACACUUAGUUUUAUGCCUAGAAUGCACAUAUACAUGUAUUUAUGUAAUGCAUGAACAUAUUAUGAAUGACAUAUCUCAUGGAUGAAAUGAUUUAAAAGAUAUAUGCAUAUGAGACAUGUAUUAGGUGCCCUAAGCCUUCGACUCAACUUAAACUAGAAUCUAGUCUAAGCCUAGUACCAAAAUAAAGACUUGAGCACGUUGAUUUGUUGGUGAUCUUCAAGCUCUUUUAGGCACAAGUUGUCCUCAUCAAAACCAUGACAUAUAAGGAUAGGAUUCCAAAGUGUUCCUCUUGACAUGCACACUUUCAGUUUUUCCGCUUCUGGUUGUGAUACUUUUGCAAUGCUCUAAAAUUGCUGAGUGAUGUUCAAUUAUGCGUCUGAUUUGAUUCUCCAUAUUCUUAAUAGUAACAUUUGUGAUUUGUUGAUGCAUGGCGAUUGUCUACAUGAAUUGCUCUAGUAUUUCUUCUAGUUUAUUUUAAUAUUGGUGAGAUGCUUAGUGGUUAUUGACGAAACAGACUGACUGUUGAUUGGCACAACCAUGACACCAUAAAUGUUGUUCCUCCAAUUGUUUUGGUAGUUUUUGUAACUUAUAGUGCACUUUGUUGAGCUUUGUUGAGCUUUUGUUGAAACUCCUUUAUGAAAUUGUUUAUUUCAAUUUGCAUGUUGAUAUGUUGAACUAUUUUCCUGAAAUAAAACAAUAAAAAGGAAAUUUGUCUAUUUCCGAAGAAAGAUUAGUAAGAAAAGGACAUGAAUUUAAUGAGUUUGUAACUUAUAUUUUUGUACAAAUUGAAAUUAAUUUGUACAAAAGUGAAGAAAAAUAUUUUUAUACAAGAUUAUUAGUAAUAUAGUAUAGUAAACAAUAAUUUCUAUUAUUAGUAAUUCUCCGCCAGCGGCGCCAAUUUGUUGAAAGAGUUUUCUCGCUUGCUUUAUUGAGGCAAGUUUCUGAUUGAUUUAUUUAAUGACAGGUCGAUUCUUUGCUCGUCAUCUCGAAUUUGUUGGAAUAAAUUCUAACGCUGGUAUAAUGGUUUCAAGAAUGUCCCUUUAAUAAAAAACUUAGCUUUAUUGAAUUAUUAAUAUUUUCAUACCAUCUCGAUUGUGUUGGCUUAAUUCCAACGCUGGUAUAAUGUUAUGAAUUUAGCAAUUUAAUACAAGUGAUAAUGACAGAAAAUAAAUGUUAGUUGUGAAAUAAAGGAGAAAAAGUAAAAGUUAGUAGUUAGAUCACCUAUGAAUGUGUAUUUUUCAUUUUCACAAAGAUACAAUUUAUGAAUUAAAUUUCACUUUGAUUCAAAGUUUCUUUCUUUGACAACAAAUGCAAUUUAUAAGUUAACUCUUUACUAUUUUACAUUUCCAUCUCUUUCAAGAUUCAAUUGUAGUAUAGUAAUAGGGUUAUGUCCAAGCACAAGGAAUUUCAUAAUAGAUCAUUAUUAAACAUGUUAUAUUACUAAUAAUGUUUAAACAUCUUUUUAUUUGGUUUUGUUUAUGAAAUAUUAACAAAUAAGUAAACAUAAAUAACUAAUAUGAACAAAUUCUUGAGGAGAAAAUUAGUUGGAACUAUGGAAUUAUUUCUCUACUUAAUUGAUUUUGAAAACAUUACAAGUUAUGUGUUAUACUUUUGGUUAAUUCCACGCAUCAUUUCUAAAUCCUUCAUCUAGUGUCCUAAAAUGAUCAGAUGAUUUUCAAACCUUAUGUAAUGCACUAAAUAAUAAUUAAGUGUCACACGUCGGAGUAGGUUGUCACACCCUACUUUAGGCUCCAUUAACUUUAUUUAGCCUUGAACAUAAGUUGCUUAAAAUAGAUGCUUAAUGUGGCAAGAAGGUGUAGAUUAUACUUUUUAGUUCGCUUGUCAACACUUUAAGAAGAAGCAUUUUUGAAUCUUUAAAUCAAGUUUUAGGUGAUCAAGCUAAAACCGCAUUAAGAACUUCAUAAAGAAUCAAAACUUAACCAAAAGUAAUAACUUGAAAUGAAUUGAAUUCAAAAGAUGAUAAAUUAAGGACAAUAAAUUACACCAUAAUCCAAGUCAAUUUAUUGGAGCAUGAGCCAUCUAUCCAAGGAUGAGAUGCUUUUUGCACCGAAAUGAGAGUAUAAAAUUAUGUUUUUGUAUCUCAUUUGCCAUCUCCUUUCUCCUCUUGAAUUAAUAAAAAACUACAAAAUAAAGUUACCUAAACUACUUUGGAGUAGAAAUUCUCCAAGAAAAUUACAAGAAGAAGAAGAGAAGAAUUUGGUUUAGAGAGAGUGUGAGGAAUGGAAGUCUUUGAGAAUGUGAAUGAAUGAAUGUCUUUGCCUUUGAGGUGCCUCCUAUUUAUAGGAGUUUCUACCAACCGCCAAGCUCCUCUCUUUGACCACCAAGCUGCUGACCGAACCCAUUAGCAUGGGUUUGGUCAUGGCCAAGCAGCUUAGUCACCUGCUUGGGGCUGAGUCACCCAAGCUAGUUGUGAGCUACUAGUCCAGCUAUUGUGAGCUUCCUCUGAAAAGCCUAUGGAUACUACUUGGAGUGAGGUCAUGCAUGAGGUCAUGGUUGCUUGAUGGCUAAGUCAACAUGACCAAGUUGUUGGGUGCACACUACCAAGCUCUUAUGUGGCACCGCUAAGUUAUCUGCUUGAGCAGCUUUGACCGUUCUAAUGGUGAUGUGACUUGGUGCUUGCUGAUCUGGUCAGGUGUGUGGUUCCAAGCUAGGCGGUCCACAUGCUCUGCUAUGUUGUCUGCUAAUAUACAAUAUGCACUUUUCUAACUCGUGUUUGUUGUGUUUCUUUUGUUAUGUAGAAUUGAUCUAGUGAAUACAACAAAUAUGAAUGUUGCUAGUACCAAACAAGUUUCACAAGAAAGUUUGCAUCAAGUAAAUGUGGAAAGUACUUCUAAUCCUACACAUGAGCCUUCUUAAUCUCAUGUUGGACAAGAUGAUAAUACAGAAUCAACAACACAACCACCACCAAAGAAACAUAGAAGUAUAAUGUGGGAGCAUUUUCAAAAGAUUAAAGUGAAUGGAGUUGACAAGGUUGAAUGCAAAUAUUGUAAUAAACAACUAGGCGAAAGUUGAAGGAAUGCAACAAAACACUUGCACAACCAUAUGGAGUUUUGUGUUCAAAAAUAUAUUAUGACGAGAGGUCAUGACAAAGGGAAGUCAUUAAUAAUGCCUAAAGCCUCACAAAGUGAGCAAGAGUUGGGAGUUGGAACUUAUUAUGCGGAAAAUACAAAAAGGGAGCUUGCGAAUGCAAUUCUUAUCAAUAGUGGAUCACGUUGGUUUUAUGAGGUACUCGGCUUCCCUCCAAUCAUUGUUUAAAGUUCCUUCUCAAAAGAAUAUAAAGAAGGAGAUAUUCAAAGUAUAUGAUUUUGAGAGAAAAGUACAAUGCAAAUGCUAGAUAAUCAUGAAGGAAGAGUAGCUAUUACCUCAAAUAUGUGGACUUCAAGGAAUCAAAAGAGGGGGUAUAUGGCGGUCACAACUCACUAUAUUGAUUUCUCUUGGACUCUACAAAGUUGAGUAUUGAGGUAAUUAUAUUUUAUAACUCAAUAUUGUGUUAUAUUACAAAUAUUGUAUUUUAUAUUUUGCUCUUGAACUUUGCCAUUGAAUGUGAGUAUUGUUAUUUUAGGGUUAUUUAUGUUCCUGCCCCUCAUACUAGUGAUAUACGUUCUCAUGCGCUGGUAGAAUGCUUUAUGGAUUGGAACAUUCGUCAACUAUUACUCUAGAUAAUUGUAGUACAAAUGGUGUUAUGAUUCCAAAAAUCAAGGAUAAGUAGCGAUUGGAAAAUUUGUUGAGGAGACUACUAAACAAUUGCAAGUUCUUUACACUAGAAGUUUAAGGAUGUAUUUAAUCGGUUAAGAUAGUGUGACACUUAAUACAUUUGUUUUCGAAGUAAUUCACAAUGGCAAUUUGCAGAGGAUGUUUUUGAGCGAAUACAAUUGUUUAAUUCCAUAACUGAGAUAAUUUCUGGUAUUAAAUAUCCAGCUGCCAACAUAUAUUUUCCUAAGAUUUAUCAUGUUAAGUUAUAAAUAAGAUAAUGGAGGAACUCCUCAAAUGAGUUCAUUAAAAGGAUGGCAAAGAAGAUGAUGGGUAAAUUUGAAAGGUUAUGGAGUCUGAUUCAUGAUAUUAUGGGAGUUGCUAAAGUUUUGGAUCCUAGAUAUAAAAUGACAUUUCUUGAAUUUAAUUUUUAUAAGUUGUAUAACCAUGAGGUAUGUACACAAGUUAGCAAAAUCUGAGAGUUGUGUUAUGAUUUGGUGUUUGAUUAUCAACAAAGUAAAAUAUCUAGUGAAAGAUCUCUAUUGUUAGAUAGAACUGUACUAAUGAUGAAUCUUUGGAUGAAUAUGAUGUUUUUAUUGAGAAGAGAAGAGAAACUAGAAGCUUAAAUGUUAAAUCUGAGUUGGAUCAUUACUUGGAGGAGGAUAUUAUAAAAAGGACACAAGAUUUUCAUAUUUUAAAUUGGUGGAAGACAAAUGGAAUCAUGUAUCCAACACUUCAAGCAAUUGCAAAAGAUUUGUUAGCUAUUCCUAUUUCUAUUGUACCUUCUUAAUCUACCUUCGAUACAAGUGGUCAAAUAUUGGGCCCUCGUCAUAUUCGACUUAAUUGGACUACGUUUGAAGUUUGGUGUGUGCUAAAAGUUGGUUAUGAUCUACUGAGAAUGCUGGUAAAGUUUUAAGAUGUUAAAGUGUUAAUUCAUAUUUAAUAUCUUAUACCAUGUAAUGUAUUUUAUGGUAUCAUUUUUUUUUUUUUGAAUAUUUUUAGGAAAUAUGAAUUCAUGUCUCGCACAAUAAAUGCUACUAUUUUGAAUGAAAUGGAGUCUGACGAUGAAGGUAUUUCAUACUUCAUUUGUUUUAAAUUCUUUAUCUUAUGAGUAUAUUUCAUUUCAGAUUAAAUUUUAUUAUAGCUGAAGUGAUGAACAAUAAUUUGAGUUAUCAUAUUGAAGAUUAAUAGUUGCUACCUAUUACAUCCAGAUAUUGAAGAAGACUUGUUAAUGAAUUUUAAUCCCCUCAGAAAAACCCCCAUUCACUUCUAAUCCCCUUAGAGAAAUCCUCCUCCACUUCUAAUCCCCUCAGAAAAACCCACAUUCACUUCUAAUCCCCUCAGAUAACCCCACAUUCACUUCUCAUUCAAUCAUCACUUCUUAGCUCUCCUUCAUUUCUCAUUCAAUCAUCACUUCUUAGCUCUCCUUCAUUUCUCAUUCAUUCAUAUUCAAUUGAUGACUCACAAUCAGAAUCAAAAUUUUCACUUUCAGCUCGAGGAGUUGGGAUCCAAGCUCCACACUCCCCUCUUCUAAAGCUUUCGUUUUAUAUCAUUAUUAUUCGUUUUUAUUACUUCUUUUCCCGAAUUCUCCAUCUCCCACCACCUUUUUCUUAAUCAUUCUAAUAAACCAAAACCAAUUUUAUGUUUAUAUUUCAUAGAAUUUACUUCCCCCAUGAACCUCAAAUUUUGAAUAGUAAAGCCAUCCAAAAAAGGUAAGGUUUUAAUUGAAACUUGAAAGGGAAUAGCAUAGUGCUGCACUUGAUGAAAGAAGAUCACAAAAAAUACAUUUUUGAGAAAUGAUGGGCAAGGCUUUAAUGGGUAAUAAAAUUUAUUUACUUCACACUCAAAUUUUGUAACUGGCUUAGAAAUUUUGUAAAAACUUCACUUCUUCAAUAAUUGCAAAAGAAUAAAUAUUAUUGAUGAGGAUCCAAAUGAAAAAACAAAGAAUGAGAGUGGAAAUAAUACCUUAUUUGAGAAAAAAAGAGACUAGUUGAGGAGUGAAGAUGCAAGCGUACAUCAAUGAGCAGAUUAUGUAUGCAAGCAUGCCUCACAUAGAUUUUGAUGAAUACAAAGGUUGAUAAAAGAUAGAGUUUGAUAAAGACAAAUAUCGACAACAAAGCUUGUAUAUCAAGGACAAGCUUGAAGGGUUGAACAAAUCAACAAACAACAAAGUCAACAACAAAGUCAAGACUCAAGUUCGCACAAGCUAAAGCAUUCAAGAUGAUUUAGAGGCUUAGUGUUUUUAUAUCUGUAUUAGAUCUUAAGAUUUUUUCUUAGGAAGAGUCCAUUCUAGGAUGAAAUCUAAUGUCAAUCAUAACUAAAAUGAGACUUAUAUGCAUACAUACAUGAUCAUACGAUUCUAUUGUGGUUAAAAGGAGUUUUAAAUCAUAUAUCAUUCAAAGGCAUGCAUCAUACUUUUACAAAUCAUGUAGAAGGUUCAUAUCUUUUUGAGAAACCUUUAAUCGAUUAAGAGAUAUUUUAAUCGAUUAAGCAUUGAAAUCUUGGAAAUCCGUUAAUCGAUUAAGUAUGGGAUUAAUCGAUUAAAGGUUGUUACAAUUUCUGGUUUCUAGUAUUUUAAAGAAUUGUUAAUCGAUUAAAUUUAUUGAUAAUCGAUUAAUUGCAAACAAAAUUAUAUAUUAACCCAUGUUUUUCAUAUUGCUCAAUAACAUACAUGAACAUAUUUUCAUAGAAGUUAGAACAGAUACAUAAAAAACAGAUUUCACAUUGUUCUAAAAAUCAUUGCUCUUUCACUUUCAUAUCGUUAGAGAGAUUUCCAAAGUGUUCUUUUGAAGAAGAGAAAAGGGAGAAUCUUUAGAAAGAUCUCAAAAGAGCUUCAUUGUCAAAUGUUUUGUAAAAAGAAACCUUGCAUCUCACAUUUUCUGUAUUCUGAGUUGUGAGAUUUGUAGAGGGUUCUUAGAUUCAAGAAGAGUGAUUAUUCUGCACAUAUAGGUGCAUCAAUAACUUGAAAUAUUUUUAGGCAAAGCAUAAACAUAUUCUCUUGUUGUGUUUAGUAUCACCAUUGAAAGAGAAUCAGUGUAGGAAAACCUAGAUGUGGUUAGGUAAGUGUCUUCACGAGGGUAAGAGGUCUUAGUUCGAGGGAAACAGAGACUGGGGCUAGAGUUGCAAAAGGUGUGAGUAUCUGAGUAAGCAAGUUGAGUAGUCAAUCAAACCAAAGUGAGAGGCUCAUAGGUUCCAAGAAAGGAGUGUCUUGUUUCUUAAUAUUGGAAUUUUGUUUGUAAAAUAACAUAUAAUUUCCAUAGUGAAAAAAUCUCACAAGAUAAAAAAGGGAGGCUUGGAGGUAGUUUGCAAGUGGACUUGCAAACAAACCAUGGUAAAACUUCUUUUGAUGAAUACAAAGGUUGAUAAAAGAUAGAGUUUGAUAAAGACAAAUAUCGACAACAAAGCUUGUAUAUCAAGGACAAGCUUGAAGGGUUGAACAAAUCAACAAACAACAAAGUCAACAACAAAGUCAAGACUCAAGUUCGCACAAGCUAAAGCAUUCAAGAUGAUUUAGAGGCUUAGUGUUUUUAUAUCUGUAUUAGAUCUUAAGAUUUUUUCUUAGGAAGAGUCCAUUCUAGGAUGAAAUCUAAUGUCAAUCAUAACUAAAAUGAGACUUAUAUGCAUACAUACAUGAUCAUACGAUUCUAUUGUGGUUAAAAGGAGUUUUAAAUCAUAUAUCAUUCAAAGGCAUGCAUCAUACUUUUACAAAUCAUGUAGAAGGUUCAUAUCUUUUUGAGAAACCUUUAAUCGAUUAAGAGAUAUUUUAAUCGAUUAAGCAUUGAAAUCUUGGAAAUCCGUUAAUCGAUUAAGUAUGGGAUUAAUCGAUUAAAGGUUGUUACAAUUUCUGGUUUCUAGUAUUUUAAAGAAUUGUUAAUCGAUUAAAUUUAUUGAUAAUCGAUUAAUUGCAAACAAAAUUAUAUAUUAACCCAUGUUUUUCAUAUUGCUCAAUAACAUACAUGAACAUAUUUUCAUAGAAGUUAGAACAGAUACAUAAAAAACAGAUUUCACAUUGUUCUAAAAAUCAUUGCUCUUUCACUUUCAUAUCGUUAGAGAGAUUUCCAAAGUGUUCUUUUGAAGAAGAGAAAAGGGAGAAUCUUUAGAAAGAUCUCAAAAGAGCUUCAUUGUCAAAUGUUUUGUAAAAAGAAACCUUGCAUCUCACAUUUUCUGUAUUCUGAGUUGUGAGAUUUGUAGAGGGUUCUUAGAUUCAAGAAGAGUGAUUAUUCUGCACAUAUAGGUGCAUCAAUAACUUGAAAUAUUUUUAGGCAAAGCAUAAACAUAUUCUCUUGUUGUGUUUAGUAUCACCAUUGAAAGAGAAUCAGUGUAGGAAAACCUAGAUGUGGUUAGGUAAGUGUCUUCACGAGGGUAAGAGGUCUUAGUUCGAGGGAAACAGAGACUGGGGCUAGAGUUGCAAAAGGUGUGAGUAUCUGAGUAAGCAAGUUGAGUAGUCAAUCAAACCAAAGUGAGAGGCUCAUAGGUUCCAAGAAAGGAGUGUCUUGUUUCUUAAUAUUGGAAUUUUGUUUGUAAAAUAACAUAUAAUUUCCAUAGUGAAAAAAUCUCACAAGAUAAAAAAGGGAGGCUUGGAGGUAGUUUGCAAGUGGACUUGCAAACAAACCAUGGUAAAACUUCUGUCUCAUUCUUCUCAACCCUUAACUCUUUACAUUUCCGUAUUACAUGAUUUACUUCACUUGAACAUGCAUACCAUUAUGAGUUAUUUGCAUAUUUUGUUUUGUGCAUUUACUGUUCUUUAUCAUCUAAAAGAAGUGCAUAUAAGUUUAGUUGAAUCUUGGUAAUUUUGGAGAUAAAAGAAAAUUGUUUUCAUAGGACAAGAACUGAAUUAUCAAUUAGGUUGUUUAGAUAAUCGAUUAUCUGUAGGACGAGUUAAUCGUUUAUAACUGGUGUUAAUUGAUUAAACAGUGAGUGAAUUUGUAUAAUUUGUUUUCUUAACGAGCAACAAUAAUUGUGUACCAUAUCACCUAUUCACUACCCUCUAGGUGAGUUACAAAGCCCUGUGGGACCCAAUAAGGAGAUAGAAGAAGAAAUGUCACUAUGUAAGAAUAUGAUAGAAUGAAUGAACAAGAUUCAUGAAAACCAUGUUUCUGGUGGGAGAAGAAAAUAACUGUUGAAAUGUUCAGAAAAGCAAAAGAUAAAGAAUGAAAACUUAAAAUAUUAAAAUGAGGGACAUGUGUUAGUAUCUAAUUGGUUUAAGUAGAUGAGUUAUCUCCUCAUACUAUGAGAUAUUUUAUUCCCAUAACUAUAAUGCAUGACAAUAAUUAGAAUGAAUAUAAGAUACUCUUUACUAUUUGUUCCUUACUAUUAAGAGUGGAUGAUCGGAAGUUGAUGAUGGAUGGUCAGAAGCUGAAGAUGGAUGGUCGGUAGAAUGUAGGAGAUCAGGUAACUUGGUCGGAUUGUCAUCUAGACCCGUAGAGGGAGGUACCCAAAAAGGUUCUCCGAUGCUCAAGUCAGUAGAGUAUUUUAGAGAGAUAAGGGAGUAAAUAAGAGAGAAGUUAGAGCAAUAAGUGUAGAAAUAAAUGAGAGAAUGAGAAUUAAUUAUAAUCUAUGUUUGGUCUCUUCUAUUUAUAGAGCUUAAGAAGUGUUGAAAUGGCAUCUGGUCAUUGGCUAGCUUUAAAUGGGUACCAGGAACAUACUCUGGUUGUCCUUGCUUGACCUGCGGAUCUCCCGUUGUCGAUAUGUCAGGGUCAGGUAGAAUGUUCAAGCGGAGUGACAGGUGGUUUGUUUCCUGACAUUGAUGGCGAGUCAGUGGCGCAUUAAAUGAUAUGUCAAUAGUGCAUUAAAUAGUAUGCAUGAGGUACAUUAAAUAGCAUGUUAAAGGUCUUAAUAUCGUGUCAGGAGCAUUUAUUGCAUCUUCCAUUGGUGGACCCAUCUGGGCGAACGAAGGGGACAUGUAGAGUACUCCAUGGGAUACUCGGGAAGAAGGGGGUAGCCCGGGGAUACCGGACUCACAACGCGGGUAUGAUGGGACUGGAAUUGUUGCCUCCAGUCUACUAGGCCGAUCAGAGACGACCGGGCUAGUAGACUCUAUGGGGUUAGUAGUGUGGGUAUAACCGGGAUGGAACAGUUGCCUCCAGUCUACUAGGCCGGUCAGAUACGACCGCGCUAGUAGAUUCUAUGGGGUUGGCAGCGUGGGUAUAACCGGGCUGGAAUAGUUGCCACCAGUCUACUAGGCCGGUUAGAGACGACCAUCUAGUAGAGUCUAUGGGGUUGGCAACGCGGGUAUAACGGGACUGAUAGACUUGGAUCAUAAUGUUCUAAUUUGGCGCGAUGGGAUAGAGGUACGACUUCUAGGUAGGUAUAGGGGUAGGUCGUGAUGGAUUGGGGUUUUUUAUUAGACACGUGCAGGGAUGUUUGGCGUUUCGUCUGAAACUGGAACGAUAGAUCGACGCGUCUGUUCGUUUCAGUUAUGUUGCCUAGGUUUCUAUGUCACUAUUAGAUUGUCCUCGAGUGAUUUUGAACAGGUGGAUGGCCCUUGGGGAGGUCUGGGCUUUGGUCCCUCUCUAUAAAUAGGGGUUCCCUUCUUCAUUCUUCUUCACUUUGCCUUCUAAGAAAUUGUCUCCUGCCGAGCAUACGCAUUGUUUGAAUUUGACCUUCGAUUUUCUUCAAGAAUCUUUUACUUCCAUUAACUCAGUAACUUUUUUCUCUCUUUUGCUUUUUUUAAUAACAUUCUAAGCAGUUAUGGCAUCGUUAGGCGGGGAUUCAAUCCCUGAUGAGGUGGAGGUCUUAUCUGGGCCUCCACCUAGUUUUACUAACAUAACUCGUCGCUGUCGCCAACGAGCCCAGUGCGUUGCCGCCCUGGUUAGUAGUCAUUCCUCUUGGUAGUGAUGUAACUAGCUAUCCCUGUCGGCCUUGCUGCGCGAUCUAAGGGAGAAAAAGGCCGAGCAUGGGGCCGCCUUGAUUGACCGGGCGACUUUCUCAGAGAAGUGUUGUCCGAUCUUGGAUAAUAUGUCCAGCUCAGAUUCUGAAACUACUUCUGAUGACAAGUCUACUAUGGGGCAAAAUUUUGCUGAUCGGGCAGAUCAGUUUAUGAUCCUGGAGCACAUGACGGGUACUGAGUGCUGCUGUUAGUGGGUCGAUCAAGAGGUUUGGGGAACCCCAUCUUAUUUCCCAUUAGAUGUACGUCCAGUGAUAGAGGUGCUGACACGACCGAAUAAUGAUAUCCAGUGGUACGCUCCCAAUACUCAAGAGCGAGUUUGUCGGGACAUCAUAUUUAAGACAUAAAAUAGGUGAAGUUUUUACAUGUACGAGCAAGUCUGACGCUAGAUAGGGGUGAAAAUCCCCUUUGAGGGGUGGUACACUGAAGUGUUGCAGCACCUUCAGGUGGCCCCCUCUCAGUUGCACCCCAACUCAUGGGCUUUAUUCGGGCAUUUAAACUUUUCUCUGAGGUCAUGGAGGAGCCUUGCAGGCUCUAGUUAUUCUUUUGGAUGUUCCAGGUGACACAUAGCUCCAAUAAAGAUGAGGCUUAGGUUGGGCGUCGUGAGUGGACGUCUCUUUAGUCCCAGAACAAGCGGGCUCUAUUUCUUCCCUUUGAGGGUUCUGUGAAGAAAUUGAAGGGCGGCUAUUUCGUGUCGAGGCUCGGAGGACCUGUCAUACCUGGGAGUAUGGUCAUGGCAACGUCCCUCUUUUUCCCUUUUCUUGGAAUGGGGGGAUUCAUCAGGUGCCGACCAACUCCUUUGGUUUCUCCUAUGAUCAGUUGGAUGAUUAGGAGAGGAGGGUGGCAGAUGAGAUGUUAGCCUGGCUUGAAGAGGGUCGUUCAAUCCUUUUCUACAAACUGGUUUAGCGCGACCAAGUCUUCGAGGAGGCAGUUAGUGUGUGUCCGACUAUCUAUAUCUUGUUUGCAUUUGUUGGCAUUUAUUUGACUUUUUUCGUUUGUUUCUUUCAGAAGUGGCUUUGGGGGGUCAGGCAGACUGAAGCAGGCUUCUAAAGUGGGCAACUGCUAAGAGGAAGGACGCUGAAAGCAGCAAGUGUCUCAGGCUGAGUCUACCUACCCGGGUUGAGGGUCCCCCUUCUACUCCUCGAAGGGAAACUUCCCAGGCAAGCGGUUCGGAUGGGGCCACUAUGGACUAGCCAACUCCCAUCACAAUGGUGCCUCCUAAAUCUGCCUUUGGUCAAUCGGUUGACCUUACUAAGUAGCCUGAUAGCCCUCAUGAAGCAGCCUCGGAGGAGGGCACACAGUCGGGCAAGUCUUAUGGCAAGGGUAAGUUCAGCCCCCUCCUCCUUAAGACUACUUACAACAUUCCCGGGAUCGUUGAAGAGGGUUUGGUCAACCUGUGGGUGAAGGAUGUUAUGGAUGGGGUACCCCUAGUGGACCUACUGAGGAGGACCUGGGAGGCUGGGGUUAUGCUGGCUUUAGUCGCCAAAUACCUUGAAGGUGAGGGAGUGCUCGCCACCCAGGUCGGGGAAAAUGCUUUGGCCAACCUUCAAAAGCUUCAUUCGGGUGAGCUUCAUGAGUUGAAAGAGAAGCAUGCUGAAGUUGUGCAGAACUUGGAGGCUCAUAACAUUUCGGUUGCUGAGCAACUCUUUACGGUGUCCCUCCUAUUGAAUGAUGCCCCAGAAGCGGAAAUGCUGGCUAAGGUAGACGUGGGUGCCGCUAAAUGGGAGGCGCAAGCUCUGGCUGAGAACGCCCGGGUGCAUAAGGAGCUUGAUGGCCUGAAGGCUGCCUACCUGAAGCUGGAGGAUGAUGUUGAUGGGGCGACUAAUGCUGGCUGGGAUAAUGCCUUUGCCCAGGUCGGCUUAGUUUAUCGUGAUGCUGACUAGUCUUGGACUAGGAUAGAUGCUCGGGUUACCCUAGAGGGCGAGCUCGGUGUUGAUAAGAUGAAGGACUCGUUACCCUUCUAGUUCUGACGAGAGGUGGUCGGCGGAAUUAGGUUUAGUUGUUUUCAUUUUGCUUCUUCACUUGUAAUUUCUCAUUUUCAAUGAAGACCUUUGUUAUUUUAUCUACCAUGUUAUUUCGUUUCUGCACUAGUAAUGUCUUGUUGACCAGAGUAAAUAAAUCGACUAAUCAACCAUUUGGAUAACUAAUCGGUCGGAUAAAAUUAAAUCGACUACCCAACCAUUCGGAUAGCUAAUCAGCCGGAUAAUCAAAUCAACUACCCAACCAUUCGGAUAAAUAAUAUGCCGGAUAAUCAGGAAGAUCUGGCUUACACUCUAAUCGGUGUUGAAGUGAGGGUUGACCGAAUAUCAUUAUUAAGAUAUGGGACUUGAAUGAGAAUGAUAUGUUAACCGAUGAACUGAUAUUAAACUUGAAUGAGAAUGUGGAAUACCCAUUAAGUAACGAUUUCUCGGUUAAAAUGUUGUUAAAUGUGAAUGAGAGUGACAUACCCAUUAAGAAACAGUUGUUUGGUUUAAUAUUUUGCUGAACUUGAAUGAGAAUAACCAGUGAACUGAUAUUAAACUUGAAUGAGAAUGUGGAAUACCCAUUGAGUAACAGUUGCUCGUUUUAAUAUUUUGUUGAACUUGAAUGAGAAUAACCGAUGAACUGAUAUUAAACUUGAAUGAGAAUAUGGAAUACUCAUUAAGUAAUAUUUGAUCGGCUUAAUAUUUUGUUGAACUUGAAUGAGAAUGAAAUACCCAUUAACUAUUGAAAUUGUCGUCAAAGGGGGACUAGCCCAUGCCUCGUAGAGUGAAUAGCUGCUAGAGGGGGACUGGCCCAUGCCUCUAGGGUUACAUUAUUGGCGACCAAGAGGGCUUGGUCCUGGCUUGGGUUUGUAGAGUGAAUUGCCACCAGAGGGGGACUAGCCCACACCUCUGGGGUUAUAUUGUUGGCGACCAAGAGGACUUGCUCCUGCCAUUGGUUUGUAUGGAGAAUCGCCAACAAGGGGGACUGGCCCAUGCCUCUGGGGUGAUAUUGUUGGCGACCAAGAGGACUUGCUCCUGCCUUGGGUUUGUAUGGUGAAUCGCCGCCAGAGGGGGACUGGCCCACACCUCUAGGGUUAUGUUGUUGGCGACCAAGUGGACUUGGUCCUGCCUUGGGUUUGUAUAGUGAAUCGCCGCCAGAGGUGGACUGACCUAUGCCUCUGGGGUUAUAUUGUUGGCGACCAAGAGGACUUGUUAAGACAUUGGAAUAACACCUUGUUAAAGGCCUGACACGAAUUUACGUUUCCAAGCGAAAAAUUGUCGUAGGUUUGUCGCAUUCCAAGUAUGGGGAUUUCUUUCCCUGGUUACUUGGUAUGGCCCUUCCCAAUUGGGUGCUAGUUUGCCUGUUUUUUUCCGAUGUCAGCCAUCCUGAGUAAUAAGCUGCCUAUUUUAAAGUCUCAUGGUACCACCGGUCUAUUGUAUUUUUCGGUGGCUCUUCUUUUGACGAUGGUCUCUCUGAUUCUGGCUCGGUCUCUCUUCUAUUCGAUCCAAUCUAAGUUGUGCCUCAAGAUGGUCGAGUUGGUCAUUUCAUCAAAGUGUACUAUCCGCCAAGUGGGUUCGCCGAUCUCCACUGAGGUCAUAGGCUCGGACCCAUAAGUAAGGUUGAAAGUCGAUUCCCCGGUGGUGGAGUCAAGAGUUGUAUGGUAAGCCCAUAGGACAUGAUGUAACUGUUUCGGCCAUAAUCCCUUGGCUUCUUGUAAUCUUCUUUUUAUCCCACGAAGGAGGACUUUGUUAGCCGCUUCCACCUGACCAUUUGUUAGCCGCUUCCAUCCGGAUGUUGACCGCCAUGAUGUUGGAUAUGGGUUCAGCUUAAAUGCACUUAGUGAAGUAGUCGAUCGCCACUAUCAGAAAUUGAAGUUGUCCGGUUGCUGGUGGAAAUGGUCCCAUAAUGUCCAUACCCCAUCUGGGGUCAUUGUUGUAGUUAGCUCUUCAGGACGGGCCUUGUGGACUUCUUGGUAAACUCAGUGGCAUCUUUGUCCAUGGCCGGCCAAUAAUAUUCGGCUCGGAGUAUCUUCUUGGUAAGUGAUGUUGCGCCGAGGUUAUGACCACAACUCCCUUCUUGGAUUUCUUGGAGGACAUAUCGAGCCUUAUCGGGGUCGAGACUUUUAAGCAUAGGAGUAGAAAAUCCUCGGCGAUAUAACAACCUUUUAUUAUGGUGAACCACGAACUAUACCUGAAGAAUCUUUGUCCAUCCUUCUGAUCCGCUGGGAAAUCGUUGUUGGAUAAGUACCUGAUAUUGGGUCGGUCCAGUCGUCUGGGAUAUGUGUUUGCUCGACGGCUAUGACACUUGGCUGCAGAAUUGUCCCUUGAAUCACUAAUUUGUUGUUACCCGGGUUCUUCGUGCUUGCUAGUUUGGAGAAAAUGUCAGCCCGGAUAUUCUGCUCCCUUUGGACAUGCUGGAUGGAAGCUAUUUCGAGCUUGGCCAUUAAUUCCUUAACCUUGGCGAGGUAUUUCCCGAGUAACACAUCUUUUGUCUGAUAGGCCCCCGUAAUCUGAGAGACUACAAGUUGGAAAUCAUUGCAUAUGGAGACCUUUCUGCCCUGAUUUAUCUGGCCAACUGUAACCCGACAAUGCAUGCUUCAUAUUCUGUUUAUGUCGGAAAUGUGAAUGUUAGUGAGUGCUCAAUGGUCAUCCCCUGGCUGUUUUCUAAUAGGACCCCUACUCCGCUGCCCCGUGGUUUGGAUGAUUCGUCAACAUAGAUAGUCCAUAUUUACUCAGAAUUACCCAAUUGUGUGAUCAAUUCGGCAACGAAAUCAGACAGGACUUGGAUUUUGAUAGUCGUUAUGGGUUCGUACCGUAUAUCAAAUUGCGACAAUUCAAUAGAUUAGGAAAUCAUCUGCCCGACUAGCUCAGGCUUGUAUAAAAUCUGGCAGAUAAGUUGAUUGGUUCUGACCAUCAUGGGGUGGAAUUGAAAAUAUUGUUGUAGCUAUCGUUUUGCCAUCAAGAGGGCGUAGGCGACCUUUUCCAACUUCUGAUACCUGAGCUUUAGGCCUUGUAAUGCCUUGCUGGUGAAGUAUACUGGGUGCUGACCAUCUUCACUCUCUCUAAUUAGAGUGGUUGCUACGGCCCCGUCUGUUACAGCUAAGUAGACAUACAAUGUCUCAACGGGUGUAGGCUUAGAAAGCAUGGGAGGAGGAGUUAGGUAUUGUUUGAAAGUUUGGAAAGCUGCUUCACAAUCUUCCGACCAAGUAAAAGUGUUGCUCAUUUUUAGGAGCUGGAAUAAGGGGAGGGAAUUUUUGGCAGAUGUAGGAAGAAAUCUGGCCAAGGCCGCCAACCGUCCAUUGAGAUGUUGGACUUCCUUCACUAAUCUUGGGUUGCGCAUGUCUAUAACUUCUUGGCACUUUGAUGGGGUGGCUUCAAUACCCCGACUUGUUAACAUAAAUCCCAAGAAAUUGUCGGCUUCGACUCCGAAUGUACACUUUUCUGGGUUGAGGUGCAUAUUAAAAUUGCACAAUCGACCGAAGACGACAUUUAGGAUAGUGACAUGAUCUUUUGUUGGUAAACUCUUGGCGAUCAUGUCGUCCAUAUAGACCUCCAUGUUUCUUCCAAUAUGAUCUCCAAAAAUGGUGUUCAUCAUUCUCUAGUAUGUGGCCCUCGCAUUCUUCAGACUGAAUGGCAUGACUGUGUAACAGUAAGCCGCCUUGGGUGUAAUGAAGGCGGUCUUGUCUUGAUAUGGGGGGUACAUGGGGAUCUUAUUAUAUCCCGUAUAAGCAUCCAUAAAUGACAGAAAUUGGUACCCAUAGAGAUUGCCUACAAGAUGAUCAAUGUUUGGGAGGGGGUAUGGAUCUUUUGAUCACACUUUAUUCAGGUCUGUAUAAUCCACACACAUUCACCACUUUCCAUAUGGUUUUCUGACUAGCACGACGUUGGACAACCAUGUGGUGUAAGCUAUUUCUCGGAUAGAGCCGGCCUCUAGUGGUUUUGAGAUCUUUUGCUUAACCUCAGAUAUUCUUUCAGCGCCCAUCUUUCUUUUUUCUGGACCACUUGUAACACCACGAAUUUUACGAUUUUGAAUUAUAAGAUUUUAUUAAUAUUUUUAUUAAUUAUAUUAUCGAAAAUGAAUUUCUGGGAAUUUUCGGUAAAGAAUUAGACGAAACUCUAGUUGAGUUUUAGUCUUGUAAUUCUAUUUCCAAUUUGGUGGUAAAAAAUUUCAUAAUUUUCGGAGACAGUCGGUUUCGGACCGCUGUCGAUGUCGAAUCUCACCCGGUACGGCUCAAAAAGUAGUUUUUGAGUUCUGUAACUCAGAAUCGAAUUCCGAUCGCGCGGUUGGUUUCGUAAUCACAUUUCGAGUCGAGAUAGACCCUGAGUUGGUCCAUAACUAUUUUCUAAAAUAUUUUCACUCGGAAUGCAGAAAUUCGAAGUUCCAACAGUAAAGUAAAAUCGGGCGAUCAUUUUUGGCUACUCAAAUAUUGACCGACAAUACUCGAGCAUGGUUUUAAUCGCGCACGUUUUUCCGAAGUCGUCGCGUCACAUGAGUCACUUCACAAAAUCUACCUACUAAAUCUUAUAGAUUUCACUCAUUAAUGCUUUGAUUUACUAGCACCAAAUCCCCUAAAUCACUCACUUAACCCAUGAUUCACUCACCCUCUUGGAUUUGCUAGAUUGCCUUGGGAAAUGGGUUUAGAAAUCAGAUUUCUCCCACCCCACAACUCUACAAAUACCCAUGUAUCCUCAUGCACUAACACUUUGCAAAAAUUUGGCAAUUUGAAGAUUUGAGAGUAAGUUACUCUCAUCAUCUUUUCUUCUUCAUUUUCUUCUUCUUGCAAUCUUCAAUCUCUUCACAUUUAACCAAUGGAUGUUGAUGAUAUUGAAGUACGUUGUUCAUGAGUAUGUCAAGAACAUAUUCAACCGUUGAAAUUUUCUAAAACANNNNNNNNNNNNNNNNNNNNNNNNNNNNNNNNNNNNNNNNNNNNNNNNNNNNNNNNNNNNNNNNNNNNNNNNNNNNNNNNNNNNNNNNNNNNNNNNNNNNGUUUUAUUAUGGUAGUUACGAAGAUUUCCGGCAUUUGAACCUUGCACCCCAACCGAACCAUAGUGAUUUCGUAUAGCACGCUUCAUUAAGGUGAGAGAGAACACAUCGUGACAUAGUGGUGUCCGAAUAUGACACCCGGAUCCUCUAAACCAUCUCAAAGGAUUUGGGGUUAACUUGGGUUUUAAGAUAUGUUUUAAUGCUUUUGAAUAUAUAUGAUUGUUGAUGAAAUGUGUUGAACGUUGUUGGGAACUUUUCUGUGUGCAGGUGUUUGAAAAACCAUGUUUAAAUGUGUUUCGGUUGGCGAAAAGGGCAAAAUUGGUAUUUUGUCCAAGUCCCUAUCGCUUGGGCAAGAAACUCUCGCCUGGGCGAGCACAGUCUCGCUUGGGCGAGGGGAAGUUUUGGUUCUGGGAUUCCCUCGCCUGGGUGACAGAAUCUAAGUCCCUCUCGCUUGGGCGAGGGACUUGGCGAGGGGAAGUUUUGGUUAUGGAAUUCCCUCGCCUGGGCGACAGAAUCUCGCUUGGGCUAGAAUGCCCGAGAUUUUAAUGAGCCCUUGGAACUCUCUCGCUUAGGCGAUAGUACCUUCGCCUGAGCGAGGAAGACUUCAGUUUAUUUGAGAUUUAAAGAUGAAUUGUCGCUUGGGCGACUAGUCCCUGCUUUGGUGAGGGACAGUGUGGAAAGAUUGAAAUAAGAUGAUGUUGUGAACAAUGCGAUGAACCCGGGUAGGGUGUGUUGUGAUAUAAAAGUUGUGGAAUGAGAUCGUGGCUCAGAUGAGAAACGUGACUCCACAAAAGUGUGAAAGCAUUGUUUACGUUUAUGCAUUGUUAGGCAAGUACCCGACUUGAGGUCGUGAACUAGGGGGGUACCCUAGUAAGGAUACAUGAUAUCAUGAAACAACGACCGACCGACCGUAAGAGACAUGGUCAUUUGAUCGUCCAGGAUUAUUCGGUGAUGGGUUGUAGUGAAUGAGAUGUUACCUUGAGCAUGUACAGUUGACGUACUAUCGGGUCCCACGAGAAGCAUUCCUUGUCGAGAGAUGGCUUAAGGAUGGGCCGAUCAUGUGUUUGAUUAAUACAUUUGCAUUUGGCAUUGCAUUGUGACCAUGAAGUAGUGGAGAGGAAAUAUACGGGAUGACUUAGAGCACCGUGAUGUAAGUAGGGGCGCCACUGAUUGGACGGUGAUUCACCAACAAUGUCUUGAGGGCAGGGACGGCACUGAUUGGACGGUGAUUUGCCAACAAUGUCUUGAGGGAGAGUCUGGGAGAGACGAGUCCCUUGUAUUCCUGAGGAGGUACCCUGUUGGAUCGGACAGUUCUCACAGGCCAAACUAGGCAAUCUCUGACAACCCCUUGAUUGCAUUCAAGAUCGAUGAGAGGGAUGCCUAGAAAGCAUUUGUACGACCUAGGUCCGGGUAGGACUGUUCCUGAGGGAACCGAUCGAUCUAUUUUUAAUUUCUUGCGAGGAUAUGUUAUUUCGGGUGCGUACAAAGAGCCUUGGUAUGGGACAUGUACUCUCGGUUAUUUCCAAUUAGGAUGUUGGAUGGAUAUUGGUGUAAGGUGGAUAAUCAUGACUUAUCAUGCAUACAUUAUGAUUGUGGAAGUGAAUUCCCACAUGUGAGUUACAAGCAUUGUGUAUUCCUACAUUUAUGCAUGUGAUAUGGUUAUGAGUAGAAUGUUGAUUAUAUUACUUGAUAUAUUGGUAUUGGUGGAAUAAAUGGUAAUUCAUGUAUUUCUUCAUGAUGUAAAUGAUAAAUGAUGAAUUAUAUGUUAAAGUAUAUAUUAUGUCCGAGUGUGAUAUUCUGAGUAAGUCCACGCCGUCAAUGAAUUUAUGUUCAUUAGAUAUUCUGAGUAAGUCCAUGCCGAGUGGCCAGAUUGUUUGGAUGUUCUGUCAUCCAGUAGAGCCAAGAGGAGCAGUGGUCUUGGAGGAGGUCCCUACAAGAAGGCUCCUGUUUUGAGAAUGUCAUCCCCUCCGAAUUAUGCCGAUGGGUUAUGGCAUAAUGAAGUGGAGGAAGAGGAGGAAGAGGAGGAAGAGGAGGAGGAGGACGAGGUCAUUGAGCUCGUCAACGUAGAGUGCUCGGUGGAGGUGAUCGACCUCGUGUCUGACUCGGAAGAGGAGGAGGACGCGAGUGGGGGGUCUAACAUUCCUGGAAUCUUUUGAGUCAGCUUGUGCGCCAGUCGAUGUCCCCUUUUUGUUUUUGGUGGGGGGCUGUGUUUCUUUUGAUUUUGUAUAUGUUAGUUGCGAUGUAGUUUCCGCCUUUGCUGACCUAGUCUGUAUGAAUUGACUAUGACUUAACCGAUUAUAUACAUCGUAUUAUUCAGGAAAUUGUGAAUCAGGUUAAGUUAUCAUUCGAUAACGAUAAGUUGAUUUUCCGCAUUCGAGUUACUUAAAGUGAUGUCCCGGAAAAGGAAUGUUUGAAAAAGAGGCAAUUUUUAUAUAAUUCAUUUCAAAAAAAAAUAUUUACCCAUUUUUCCGCAAUGUUUUUUAGAAGUAUUUUUCGAGACGUUACACCACUGGCCUUGCCUCUGGAUUUGUUGUGAGACGAUGGCAGGCCACUAAGGGGUCAAUGUUAGGCAUAUCCGCGACGGACUAGGCAAAAAGAUCCUUGUUGGUUUUUAAGCACUUGAUCAAUUUGUUCCUUUGAGCUUCGCCGAGAGCACAGCUGACAUAUACCAAAUUUUCCUUUAAGGGGUCGAGUUGUAAGGAGGUUUUUUCUCCUUCUGGUUGAGGCCGUAGGUCUUCUAGUGCUUGUAGUACAUACAACAUUUUGUUCCAAAGUUCCUUAGGGUGAAUCCAUUGAAUGGCUUUUCCAAUUGACCAAUGGUAUGGUUUUUAUUACAAUAUUCUUUAAUUUGUGUAGGGAUAUUGAGUCUAAUCCGAGUACUCAUGGUGUUUGAAUCAAGUAACCAUUCAUACAUAAAGCAGUUGCACACAACAGCAGGUUUUGUGGCUACCUUUUUCAUGUGACCUUUGAAUGACAACAGAGUUUCUGUAAAUAUGAUUGGCCUCAUGUUGACUCUACUUUAUUGAAUUUGAAAAACACAUUGAUUUCUCUUUGGUCCACAAUAUCAUAGAAGAACGAGAAAAGGACCAUGUCAUAUAUGGCUAAUGUAUAUUUAGAUUUAAAGAGUUCCCAAUUUUCUUAUUCAAGCAUUUUAUCAAGUUGUUUUUUCAAGAAGAUAGUCUUCAACCCAUAGUCCUCCUCUUGCUUAAUCGUAUAAGAUAACCCUAGGAAUGCCCCAAUUAGUUAUAUAAAAUCACCACUGACAUCCUCAUUCUCGGUGAACUAACACAACUUGAGUGUCUUUGGUACCCUAAUGUCAAGGAGGAUCUCAAAUUAUUAAUGGUAGGGGGCGCAUAUAGAUUUGGGAAUUCGAAGGUUCUAGUGGUUAUGAUCCAAAAUUGUAUCAUUUUCCUCAUGGCUUUUAAAGCAUCUGGAAAAAAGUCACCAACAAAAUCAUCAAAAAUAAAAUAAUAUUGAAGACUUGAUCUAUGGAAAGAAAACACAUAGGUAGAUAAGAUUUUUUUAUUGAUUUCUAGAGUAAGUCAUAUUCCUUACUAAGUAUAUUACUACUCUAUAUCAUAAAUUAUCUUAGGAAUAAUUUUCAAAAAGUUUUUCACUAACUUAAACGAGGAUGAAAAUGAGUUUCAAAGGUUUAAAAAUAAACUUUUAGAAAACUAAGUAACUAAUAAGUACCAAGAUGUACUUAAUUUUACACCACUUUUCAUGGCCCUUAUCUUAGUGAUAUUGAUUAUUCAUAAGGAUAAACCCAACAUAUAACUUAAUUCUUCAAUAAAAUAUAUAUUUUAGUUAACACCACCUGGUGUCCAUAGUCACUUCAUUUUCAUGGAGUCAAGUACUUAUUUUCAUUUGAAGAGGAGGACAAAGCCAAGUCAUAAGCUAGAAAACAACAAAAUCCAAGUUGGAAGAAUUGUGCACCAACCCGCUAGGCGUGGCAUGCUAUACGCUAGGCCCGUAUGCAUGAGCCAAGGUUGCUUCAGCUUGAAGGAAUAACUUACCCAUUCAUGAAGAAAGCAUGCUAGGCAGUUCGAAAUAGGUGCUAGGUGUGACUCACAACCCAAGGAAGGCCAACCAAGCAUGAUGUGAUCCAUGAGAAAAGCAAGCCAAACUUAAGUAGUAGGUGUCACCAUGAAUACGUGUAGACAGGUAGGCUAGGCAUGUGAGCAGCUUGCCUAGCUCACAACAGGAUGAGCCACAACAGGAGCAGGGUAGCCGCAUGAUGGUCAGACCUGGCCAGCUGAUUGGCCAGACGAGCCAAGCAGCGUAACUUGGAAAAACAGUUGACGCCUGCGAGAGGGCUUAGAGAUUCAGAAAAUAUCUGUAUAAAGGACCCUUUCCGGAUCUUCCUAUGCAUUCUAAUUUCAUCCAAUACUUCCUCAUACACUCUUAUUUUAAAAUUAGCUUUGGUAUUUUACUUCUUCCUUAUGAAAUUCGGAGGGAAUAGGAGUUGGAAAAGGUGUAAUCUAGGAGCUUCUUCUUGGAUCAACAAUUGGAGUCAAAGCAUCCUUCAUGGAAGGCUAAUCAACUUACGACUUUGGACUAUGGUAUAACAUUUCUUAUUCCUUGUAUUCAAUUUGAUUUUACUAUGAAAGUUAUGUAUUUAUAUUCUAUUAUUUCAUUCCAUCUACUCUUAAUGCUUAUUUUAGAUUGAUCAUCUAAAAUAUGUUUUCAAAGAUCCAAAUUCUUUUGUUGCGUGAAAUAACAAAUACUCUCAUGCCACAAUGGUGUACUAGAAUAUUUGCCAUUUCCAAGGAUCUAUUUUAAGCAACUUGUUUUCAAGGGUGCCAAAUAUCUGGGAAUCUGAAAUAAGUGGUGGCAGUCUUAUUUCCUAUGAAGGAUACUUGAUGAGGGUUAAUAUAUUAAACAAGGUUUGAAAAUCAACAAGCCUAACUUGAGAGGGAGGGUGAGUUAAGACAAGAAUAUGGUGGAUUGAAUCACAACAAAAUAGCUUGUAUAAACUAAAAUCAAGUUGAUACUUAUAUGUUAAGAAAAUUUAGAUUCAUAUGUCCAAACCAAUUAUUCUUCUCUUGAAUUUGUAAAUAUGUAGUUCUUUACUUUUCAUGCAUAUUUUUGCACAACAAAAACGAAUCAAUCAACCAAACUAUAUGCUUCAUUGUUUAUGAUUUAAAGAACUAAAUUAUACUUUAAUAAUAAUCUAUGUGGUUUGACAUAACCCUAUAUUAUACUACAUUGAAAUCUUAAAAGAGAUUUAAGAAUUAAUAUAGUAAAGGAAAUUAUAAAUUUUGUUUGUUGAAAACCAAAGAAUAUACUCCAAGAGGCUUACUUCCAAACCUGUCAACAAAAUGGUGUAGUUGCCGGGGAUUUUUUUUAAGUAAACAUAGUUAUGUUUGGUAAUUAUAAACAAGUAUAAAUUUUGUAAACUUUAUAAAUCAUUUUCGGGUUAUGUACAUAUAUAUUAACAUGUUCAUAUUUAAUAUUUUUCAUACUUAUAAAUGAAUUUUUGCCACCUAACUUGAUCGUUGGAAUAGUUUGUCUUUGUAUGCGCCAUAGGAAUUCUUCUUCACCAUUACUUAUUGAUCCUGAUAUAGAAAGGAAAUUGAAGAGGAAGAAAACAAAAGCUAAGAUCAAGCUAUACAAGCAAUUCAACCCAACCAAAGGGAUGACACAAACUAACAACUCACAAAAUUCAAGGGCCAAAGCCAACUCCCUAGAAAUAACUAGAGGCUUCAUCAAUUUAACUCCAUGGAAUAUAAUCAGAAUAGGGAGGCUAGCAAGGACACAAAAGCCUCUAGAAGUGAAAACCAGAUUAGUACAGUUAAUGUAUUCUAACCCUUUUUUGUAAGGCUGGACUAUGAAGAUCCAUACUACCACUUAACUAAAUUGUUUCUUGAUCUCCAUCCUCAUGUCUGAGUUGACAGGAAUCAAGUGGAGGAGAAACUCAUGUAGCGAUACUUUCAUCAUGGAAAGUUUAUGGAUAUGAAAACCAAUAUUUCAACCUUCACCCAAGGAGUGGGAGAAAAUUUAUGUGAAGCAUGGGAUAGAUUUAAAUCUAUGCUCAGGAAAUGCACCAAUCAUGGAUUUGACGCUCAAACACAAAUCCAUAUAUUUGUGAAUGGUCUUCAACAACAACACAAAUGGAUCUCGAAUACAAUAGUUGGGGGGACAUUUAUUAUCAAAGCCGCCUCAUGAGGCUAUUAUAAUAAUCGAGUCUAUGGCCCAGAAUGAUCAGAAGGGUCAACAUCAAUGGGGACCACCAAGAAGAGGAGGAAUCAUGGAAUUGGGCUUAAUGGAUGUUGUGAUAGCCCAAAAUAAGCUCCUACAACAACAAUUGGAUGAGGUAAAAUAAAAACUGAAUGAUUUAUCUAAACAAUUGAUAGACAUACAUGUACACUCUCCUAGGAAACCAGUCUACCGAUGAGAAUAAAAUGAGGAUCAAGUUUGCCAUGUUCCACCCAUGGAAGAGGAGGUGCACUUUGUCAAUAAUCCUCCAAGGCAAAACUAUCAAAAUAAUUACCCAAGGGGGGAGGGGGGUAAUUCAUAUGAAAUUAAUCAACCUUGGAGGCAGAAACAAGGGAACUCUUCAUAGGGGCCACAACAACAACCACCACCAUACUAACGAGACCAAUUUUAACAUCCUAACCAAGACAAAAGUACCAAGCUGGAGGACAUUGUGUAUCAGUUCAUGCAGUUGACCUUGUCUAACUAGAAAAAUGCAUAUGCUUCUCUAAGAAACAUGGAGAUCCAAAUUGUACAACUAGCAAAGCAACUGGCGGAGAAAGGAUCAUUCUCAGCCAAUAUUGAGGUAAACCCAAGAGAGCAUUGUAACGAAAUCCUUAAGCGAAAAGAUGUCGAUAAUUAAGGUGGUUGAAAAGUUGUACGUCAAGCUAUUGACAUAAAAGAAGUGUUUGAUGGGAGGCAACCCGGUAAUGUAUUCCUAUCUAUUUAAUAUUCUAAGUUUCUUAUUAAUUUUCUUUGGGUUUUACUUUUGAGAAAAGAAUAAGUGAAAUAAAUUGUUUUUGAAGAAAUAUUUUUUUAUCACAAAUGUAUAAGAGUAAAAAAUAAAAGCGGAAAGAGCACCAUGCACCAUGAGCCAAGCCUUAUGCGCUAAACAUGUGGCCACACAACCAAAAAAGUUUACUAAAGCCAAGGUUAAGGGCAACACCUAAACUAAGACACACCAUGUAUACAUCAUAUAUGUGCCCAGACCAAAUUCUGGUGCACCUGGUGAUGGACCAAGGUCAUACACCAAGGUCAAUCUUGAUGCACAAAUGUGAAGAGUGAACAUUCGCCAGGAAUACACAGUCAGAGGCCAAACUGAUGCGCCACACUAAUGCACGAAGUGCUAAGCCAUGCGCCUAGCCAACUCAUAACCGCUGGGCAGGAAAUUCUAUCUGCUAAGUGCACUUGGGCAGGUUGGGAUCUUCCCAAGGGAAUCUUAUCCACUUCCGAGUGGAUUUCCCUUAUUCACUAACACACAUCCCCACACCCAUUCAAAUCACUUUGACUGAAGUUCAUCUUUUCUCUCUCAAAGUUCAUCUUCAGCCUUUCACCAACAAGCAACCAGGGAAAAUUACUGGGAUAGUGUAGUUUGACUACACUAUCCCAGCUUUGGGGUAGGUUUUGAAUUAUUUACGGGAUUGNNNNNNNNNNNNNNNNNNNNNNNNNNNNNNNNNNNNNNNNNNNNNNNNNNNNNNNNNNNNNNNNNNNNNNNNNNNNNNNNNNNNNNNNNNNNNNNNNNNNAAAGGGAAAUCGUGGGUCUGGUCCACGACUUUCCCCUGGAGUCGUGCCUGUCAUCCACGACUAUGCCAAAGUCGUGGACCCCAUCCACGACUUUCAAAAAAACUACCCCAAUCCCGUAAUUAUUUGAAAAGGUACCCCAAAGUUGGGAUACUGUAGUUUGACUACCCCAAUCCCGUAAUUUUUCCCAAGCAACCAUGUAAGUACUUAUUCUUUUAUUCUUUCCUUGAAGAAAAACAUCAUUAAACACUAAGAACUUCAAUUAUUUGGGAAAUUUUCCAAGAAAUUUUCAAAAAUCAUGAAACCCCCAAAUAUAAAGUUCUAAGACAUACAAAAAGAGCAAUUGUCCAUGUAUAUUUCAACUUGAGGAAAUUUUUAAUGGAUGAUUUCAUAUUUAUUUGUCAACACAGACAUUCUGGAUUCAUUUAAAAAAAAUGAAUAGGAGCUACUUAAACACAAACUAAAAAGUCUACGUCUACCCAAAGCGUGAAGUUUUUUGACUUGUUUGUACUUUAAACACAUUUUUUGGUUUCUCUAGGAUUCGUAUGAUUGUUAUAUCACUUUGUAUACAUUUUAAAAGUUAUUUAAAGUGUUUUGUUAUCCUUGGAAUUCUGUUUGGAGAAUCAAAGUGGUGAUGUUUUUCAAAAUGAAACAUCUACAUGCAAACUGAAUUAUGUAAGCUAUGUGUUUGUCAAUUUGCUCAAGCUUGGCGUGUGUAAACAUGUACUUGUGCGUAGUUUAAAAUGAUUUUGUUGCUGAUCAAUCCAUUAAAAACAUGAACGGAAAUUCUUCAACACCCAGAGGCAAAAUUGUUAAUAAUAUUUUAACAAGGAUUUGCAAAGAAUUCUUGCCAUGUCUGAAACUGUUUUAAAGGGACUCAUACAUCUUGCUUAGCUAACCUUUGAUUAUGAAUGUUGCACUUGUUAAGCAUCGGGAAGAAAAGACAAGGGCUCAAAAAAUCAAGUGAUGUUCCCAACUAUGAAAGUGAAUAUGAGCAAGGACAGGGGGUGUUCACGGGAAACAAGCAUAAGUCAAGGCUCACCAAGGCCAAAUUUGAAGAAUUGACACCAAGUGGAUCGUUGGUUCUAGAAAAUAUUGUGGACCUUCAAGAGGAUGAAUCCCCACAAUUCAUCUUCGUGAUGGCUAAUUAUGGUUGGCAAAUAUUGGUUCAUCCAUGACAAACUUUUUCAAUGGAUGUGGUGAGUGAAUUUUAUGUUAAUGCAUUUGUUACAAAAGAGGCACAAGAGAACUGAUACACUUGGGUUAAUGGAAUUAAAGUAUUCUAUUAAAAGUUCAUGAUCAAUGAAUACUUAGGUUCCCAUUGUCUAAUCAAUCUGGUGAACACUUGUGCAAAUACCAACAAAGGAUGUUGGUUAGCAAGGAAGGAAAAGAAGGGGUUCAUGAUGAAAUGGAGGUAAGAAAACAAUUUUGUAUUCUCUGCUUGGAACCCAAAAAGAGGCAGCCAUAAGAAGAAGUCCAAUUUUAAUGUUAUGCAUGAGUCAAUUGACUCAAAUAUUUACAACCUAUAUAUUGUCAAACAUUUAGUCUGCCUCUCAUGAUUCUGAUUUGCCAAUUCCAAAAUCAAAGUUUACUUAUUCAGUUUAUAAUGAUGACUUCAUUGAUGUCUCUGUCAUCAUUUCUGAUGCUAUUGUUGAAUGCAUCAACAAAGGGGUAUUGACCAUGUCUCUCCCUCUUUAAUCACUGAUUUAUGCAACUACCAAAAGGUACUUGGGCCUUAUAUGGAAAUAAUGGCACUCAAGUCAAAAAUCAAUGUCUCCUAUAUAAAUAAUUAUUGCAAGGAAAGAAGUUUGGCCUCCAUCAAGGCGGAACUAAGAAGAAGGAAAGGAAAAGAAGGGCACUCCUUACAGACACAAGAACAACCACCACCUCCUCAACAAAGUGAUCCAUCCUUGGCUGCCUACAUGGCACAAAAUGCCUUAGCACCGUUCAACAUGCAAGAAUAAAAUAUAGAGGCUUAUUACCAUGGCAUCUGAGAAGUGUAUUAAGGGCACUAUAAUCAAUGACCAUCUGCUGGAUUUGAUGCACAUAAGAUGUGGCCUAGGGACAGACCACAAGAAGGAGAAGGGGCAGUGUACCCAUGCUCAAUGAGAUGAGCAAUCUUACUUCACGGAUGAGGAUUGAAGUUUCAUGAUAUAUUCUUAGCUUCACUCUUUCCAUUACAUUCUUUUCUCAAAAACUUUGCUAUAAUUUUUCAUUUUAAACAUGAUUUUCUUUGGAC
rnacentral:lncRNA from 1 species